UAACAUGAAAAUUUCAACCAGAAGGUGGUCUGCUAAUCUUGUUUUCUUGCUUAUUUCUUCAGGUUUUCACUGGCAAUUUGUUGAUGCAUUUACAGAUGCAAUCUUACAAGGUCAAUCACUCACAACCUCUCAGACCAUCGUAUCCGCUGGUGGUAACUUUGAAUUAGGUUUCUUUUCUCCUGGAAAGUCCACAAAAUACUAUGUGGGGAUAUGGUACAAGAAAAUCUCAGAGCAAACCAUUGUGUGGGUAGCUAACCGAGACUAUUCAUUCACAAAUCCAUCCGUGGUUCUUACUGUCAGCACAGAUGGCAACCUCGAGAUUUUGGAGGGGAAGAUUUCGUACAAGGUGACAAGCAUAUCAUCAAACAGCAACACUAGUGCCACCCUGUUGGAUUCUGGAAAUCUUGUUUUGAGAAAUAAGAAGUCAGAUGUCUUAUGGGAGAGCUUUGACUAUCCAUCGCACACUUACCUGCCGGGGAUGAAGCUUGGGUACGACAAAAGGGCUGGAAAAACAUGGUCAUUGGUGUCAUGGAAGAGCGCAGAAGAUCCCAGUCCAGGAGAUUUCUCCCUGCAGGUCGACCCUAAUGGAACUAGCCAGAUUUUUAGCCUGCAAGGACCCAACAGGUAUUGGACUACUGGGGUGUGGGAUGGGCAGAUUUUCACCCAGGUUCCUGAGAUGCGUUUGCCCGACAUGUAUAAGUGCAAUAUAUCCUUUAAUGAGAAUGAAAUCUAUUUGACUUACUCUCUUCAUAAUCCCUCCAUUCUGAGCAGACUGGUGCUAGAUGUGUCAGGCCAGAUUAGGUCUCUGAAUUGGCAUGAAGGCACACGUGAAUGGGAUUUAUUUUGGCUUCAACCAAAAACACAGUGUGAGGUUUAUGCUUACUGUGGGCCUUUCGGAACCUGCACUCGGGAUUCUGUUGAAUUUUGUGAAUGCUUGCCAGGUUUUGAACCUCGCUUCCCUGAAGACUGGAAUCUGCAAGACAGAUCUGGAGGGUGUGUGAGGAAAGCAGAUUUGCAGUGUGUCAAUGAAAGCCAUGCUAAUGGGGAGCGAGACCAGUUUCUUUUGGUGUCUAACGUGAGACUGCCCAAGUAUCCAGUAACACUGCAAGCAAGGAGUGCUAUGGAGUGCGAAUCAAUUUGCCUGAAUCGCUGCUCUUGCUCUGCUUAUGCUUAUAAGAGAGAGUGUAGAAUAUGGGCUGGAGAUCUUGUAAACGUGGAGCAGCUACCAGAUGGUGACAGUAAUGGUAGAAGUUUCUAUAUCAAACUUGCUGCCUCUGAGCUAAAUAAGAGAGGUAAGAAAAAAGAGUCAUAGUUGUUAUUGUAGGAGGACAUAAAGCAUAUGGGUCUUGUUUUAUUUUCAAUAUAAAAUGGCCAUCGAUUCAGCUAAAUUUAAUAUGAUAUAUUUCCUUCUACAGUUUCAAGCAGCAAGUGGAAGGUAUGGCUAAUUAUUACACUGGCCAUAUCUUUAACUUCAGCCUUUGUCAUUUAUGGGAUAUGGGGAAGGUUCCGAAGAAAAGGUCAGUAUUUCUCAUGGACAGACGGAUGGCCAAGCGAUUCAACCGUUUUUAGGUUCCAUCUACAAAUAAAAAACCAGUUCUUUUCUGAAAUGAGUUCAUUAGCACUGUUAUUGAAUAGUUAAGGUAACAUUAGGAUUUCAUGUUCUGAUUACAUGUACUGUGUAUGUGGAAUCCAAUGUGAGAAAUAAUUUAUUCACAUGCCAGAAUUCCUACAUUCAUAUGAUAUUUAAUGUCUGUUUGUUCUUUACCAAGCAGGGGAAGAUUUGUUAGUAUGUGGAAUCCAAUGUGAGAAAUAAUUUAUUCACAUGCCAGAAUUCCUACAUUCAUAUGAUAUUUAAUGUCUGUUUGUUCUUUACCAAGCAGGGGAAGAUUUGUUAGUAUUUGAUUUCGGUAACAGCUCAGAAGAUACCAGCUAUGAGCUUGACGAGACAAAUAGACUUUGGAGGGGCGAGAAAAGGGAAGUUGAUUUGCCCAUGUUCAGUUUUGCGAGUGUAUCUGCUUCUACAAAUAACUUCUCUAUUGAAAAUAAACUAGGAGAGGGCGGUUUUGGAUCUGUUUACAAGGUUAGAUUACAACCCCUGACAAUAAUGUUCUACAAUCUAUCCUGGAAUGUAAAGGCCCACUUGAUAUAUACCAAAUUUCUUUUACUUGCUGUAAUUGUACUUAGUUGAAAUUCCAAAGACAGGGAAAGUCACAAAGAAGAUAUGAAGUAGCUGUGAAAAGGCUCUCUAAAAGAUCUAAACAGGGAUGGGAGGAGUUAAAAAAUGAAGCCAUGCUUAUAGCCAAGCUGCAACACAAGAAUCUUGUGAAAGUUUUGGGAUAUUGCAUCGAGAGGGAUGAGAAGAUAUUGAUUUACGAGUAUAUGUCCAACAAAAGCUUGGAUUUCUUCCUCUUUGGUUUGUAACUUCCACAUACAUAUACUUCCAGCUACUAUAUAUUCAAUGAGAAAACUUUACACAUUCAUCAUUUUUCACCACUUAUUUGCUAACAUCUAUUUAUUUGGUGUAAAAUGGAGAUAGAUCCUACAAAACAUGGGAUUCUAAAUUGGAAGACACGAGUUCACAUCAUUGAAGGGGUUGCUCAGGGACUUCUUUAUCUGCAUCAGUACUCCAGAUUGAGGAUUAUUCAUCGAGAUUUAAAGGCUAGCAACAUUCUUCUGGAUAAGGAUAUGAAUCCUAAAAUAUCAGAUUUUGGAAUGGCAAGAAUAUUUGGAGGCAACGAAUCAAAAGUAACAAAUCAUAUAGUUGGGACUUAGUAAGUGAAACUUGACAAAUUAUAAAAUAUGUGAAUGUUCAUACAACAUUUGAAAUCAUGCAGCUAUUGAAUGAUUUUUCUCAUUAAUAAUCAAAUCCAGUGGCUAUAUGUCCCCUGAGUAUGCUUUGGAAGGUCUAUUCUCCACUAAAUCUGAUGUCUUUAGCUUUGGGGUCUUGUUAUUGGAGAUUUUGAGUGGCAAGAAGAAUACUGGAUUUUACCAAACCGACUCGCUCAAUCUUCUUGGAUAUGUGAGUAACACAAUAUUUAUUCACUUACAUAACUAUUUAUGAUGUUUUGAUAUGCUAAUUCCUAGUUUUCAAUUCCCUUGUUAUAUUACCUAUCCAGUUGUCUUGGGAUACUAGUAAAUUUUCACAUUAUGUCUACCACUCAGUUUCAAGGCUUAUUUUAUAUUGUUGGCUGAUAUAAAAAGGACUUUAUUAUCUUUUACUUUUCGGGAAUUUGCAUCAAUGGAUAAUUUUCUUCAUUUAGGCAUGGGAUCUGUGGAAAGAUAGUAGGGGGCUGGAGUUGAUGGAUCCAGGGUUGGAAGAGACAUUGCCAACACACAUUCUGUUGAGGUACAUCAAUGUAGGCCUUCUUUGUGUUCAAGAAAGUGCAGAUGAUAGGCCUACCAUGUCUGAUGUUGUCUCAAUGCUUGGCAAUGAAAGUGUACGUUUACCUUCUCCAAAACAACCGGCAUUUUCAAAUCUGAGAAGUGGGGUGGAACCACAUAUAUCCCAAAACAGGCCUGAAGUUUGUUCCUUAAAUGGUGUGACACUUUCAGUUAUGGAAGCACGAUAAUGGUUCAGAACUUAAUAAAUAAUAUGCUUAAAUUUUAGCAUAUUGUCUUGUAUUGUUCUUGGUGAAUUCAUAGCUCAAAUACUAAAAUGGACAAGUGACCUUAUGUGUGAAUUUUUCUUCCAAAACAGUUUAAUAAUCAUCUUGUACUCAAUCCCUAUGGAUUCAGACCUGUGUCUCAUCUUUCAAUCUGGAAUUGCUACUAAAUCUGACUUUAUCCGGUCAAAUUUGGAUUUAAUUUGAAAAUGAUCUGUUCCAUUGUCAAUCCAAAGAGUAAAAUGCAACUUUUUUCAUUGCUUAGUAGCUAACAAAAGGUGCCUUUGGGGCCAAUCCAGCUAUAGAGAAUCAACCACCCACCUUCCACUUCCUCUCUUAUGGAUGUUUCUGAAUGCCCUGGCAUAUGUAUAUCAUGUACAUAUACACCACCAAUUUGGCCUGGGAUGAGUUUCAUCGAAUAUUUCAGGAGACAACAUAAAACAAUCAAAAAGUAGAUAAUUAUGAACUAAUUGGCCAUCCAGGACAGAAAAUCCAUCUCCCAAUGGGGCCUUAAAGCACUUGAAUUUACUGUUCAUUCCAUCAUUAUUUUCGUUCUAGGCAUGGUCUAGAUUGAAGAAAGGUCCCAUACAAAUUGGAAAAGUCAUAGAAGGAAAUAUAUCUAGGAGGGAAUCCUAACAAAAGGUCUUUCAAAACUGCUACACCUUGCUUUGAAUGGUACCUGGUAUCUACAUUGAAUGAGUGUUUUUCCUAUGUCCCACCAUUAAAAUGAAUGGGAGUCUUGCAAAUUACAUAGAUUUUUUUUUAUAAUGUAUUAUUUUAUAAAUUUCAUAGAAUUAUUAAUUUAGUAUUUUAGCCCCAAAGUCCCUAAAAAACAUUAUUUGCUUGAGGGGUUCAUAUUAUCAUGUAUUAAUUUAUUGAAAUUCUACUAUUUUUUCCUUAAUUAAAAAGUGAAUUUUUUAUUUUAUUAUUUUAUUUUUCUUUAACAAAAAAAGUCACUUUUUCUCUUUUUUCUUUGAAGUCCUCUAACUUCAUAACACUCGAACUCAUUUUCUCAUACAAAAUAAAAUUAAUCAAAUUCAAAUUUGAAACAUUGAAAAUUAAUCAAUAACAUAAAAAUCAAUUAGAGUUACCUUUGUUUGAUUUGAAACAAAUUAGAGUUACCUUUGUUUGAUUUGGCUACCAUUAAUACUGCUACUAACAACUUCUGUGUCAUAAAUAGAACUGGCACAGGCAGCUUUGGUCCUGUUUUCAAGGUAACAUUUGAUUGUAAGACAAAGUGUGUUUCCUAUGAGACAAUAUGCAGGGCAGUUUGUCAACAGGACAAGAAGUAGCAGUGAAGAGGUUGUCAAAGAAUUCAGGACAGGGUCUUUAAGAGUUUAAUAAUGAGGUUUUUUUAAUUGCCAAACUCCAACACAAGAAUCUUGUGAGGCUUUUAGGCUGCUGCAUUCAGUUCGGAUUAUUUUAUUUUCGGUUUGAACUUCUCAACCCUUUAUAUCUCUUUGGAUUGGUUUGGGUACAUGAUCAUCCAUACCUUACUCAUGCAUCUAUAGAGUACAAAUAGUUAUAAUCACAAUUUACAAGGGUUGAAAUGAUGUGCAGAUCAAAACAGAAGAACGUUAUUGCCAUAGAAAAAGGCACUUUGACAUUGUUAUGGGGAUCGUGCAAGGACUUGUUUAUCUCCACCAAGAUUCCAGAUUUCAAAUCAUUCAUUGGAAUCUUAAGGCAAGCAAUAUACUGCUAGAUGAAAACCUGAACCCCAAAAUUUCAGACUAUGGCUUGGCAAUAAUUUUUGGAGGGGGAUGAAAUGGAAGCAAAAACAGAGUAAUUGGAACAUAGUAAGUUCUGUACUUCGACUUUAGAAAUGAUGUGCUUUUCCUUGAAAUAACUUAUAUUUGAAAUCUUCAUGCAGUGGCUACACGUCCCCAGAGUAUGUGCUUGAUUGCAAAUUUUCUGUUAAAUUUGAUAUCUUUAGUUUUGGUGUGCUUCUGCUGGAGAUUGUGGCUGGUAUAAAGAACAGGGGUUUCUAUCAUUCAAACUACCACCAUAAUCUUCUGGGACAUGCAAGUAGAAAGAAUGAAAAUCCACCUCUGUCACACAUACACAUCAAAGACGCAUGCCCUCUCUUGCUUUUCUGACAAAGUAUAUGGCUUCCAAUUGCUUUAGACAUGCUUUGGAAACAAGACAAGGCCUUGGAAGUAAUGGAUGCAUGUUUGGAGGACUCAUGUAUUGAAUCCCAGCUACUAAGAUGCAUACAAGUCGGUUUAUUAUGUGUUGAAAACCUCCCAGCAGAUAGACCAGCUAUGUCAUCUGUGAUUUUCACGUUGGGUAAUGAGGGAGCAACACUACCUUAACCUAAACAUCCUGGUUUCUUCACAGAAAUAAGUAUGAUCGAUACAGAUGCAACAACAGGACGUGAAGAGUUACCUUCAGAAAAUGUAGUAACCAUCUCAGUGCCAGAAGGUAGAUAAAGGAUUCAAGCACUAUGUCAGCAUGUGCAGGGUGCAUCCAAGGUUUAAUUCAUGUAGGAUAUAGCACUAGGCUCUUCAAUGGAUGGGCACCAAUUUCCUUAAGGUUGCAAAACUAGAUUAUAGCUUGGGCCCAAGGAGGCUAAGGUAUUGGAUUUACUGCACUAGAACCAUAUCUGCUGGGCUUCAUAAUCCUCUAAAUGUAUGAAUAAAAUGUGCUGGAGUGUGUCCUCUAUGGCAGCUCAGGGCAGUGUGAUUUGUAACUUAAAACUCACUAGUAAAACUUUUGAAAUUCAUAUUUUCACAGGAUCAAGUUGCGUAUACGCACAAGAAUGUGGAUUCUGCAGUGACCUUAGCUGAUUCGCUUUAUUUUCCUCAGAGUUUACAUUUGCAGGGCUUGUAUAGAUGCUGAGCUAUACAAAAAAUCUAGAUUUCAAAUCUCUCAAGAAUUUCUAGAGGUGUUCAAAAUCCUUUGAAAUGUCCUUGGGAAGUGCAAUGAGCUUGCAACAAAUUGGAGUGAAUGGAGAUAAACAAAUUGAAAAUCAAAUGAGAGGAUUUGAAGCUUAAACAAAUAAUCACCUUCACAUAAUAAGGUGUGAAUCUCUACUGUCUCUCUCAAGUUAGAAAUUAUGCUGUUGAGCAAUAACAAGGCAAUAUGCUUCUCCAAGAUUGUGUGCAAUUGAUUAAAUAAGUGGAAUAUAUACAUCUUUUAACUUCUUUUCAUCUUCCCAGAAGCUUCAAAAUUUUUUGCAAAACAUUAACUUGAAUACUGUACAGUGGCAAACCUUAGUGGGAGCUUUCAAAUUAUUUAGGAGAAAGAAUUCAAGAACUAUGUAACAGAUGAUUCACAUAGGUUCUUUCCUUAGGACUAACAUGGAAAGAAUUCAAGUAAAUGGAGAUGAAUGUUUAUCAAAUUAAUAGAGACAAACCUACCAAGCAACCAUUGAGAUGCUACAAGCUCAAUUCAGAUAGUUUGAUCUUGCAACAUUUUUUCCAAUUAAUUGAGGGGGCAUAAGAGAAGACACUGAUUUUACAUCUUAGUAACUUGUUUUUCAUUGGAUUUGGAAAAUUCCAAGUUACCCUGUUCAGACAAUUCUUCCAAUUGAAAUAAUUGAGCUUGCAUAGCACGGUACUCUGUUAAGAUUCUGGAGUCCUUGAAGACUGCAACCUGAUCCACUUGAUGCUGUGUCAUGGUUCAAUUAACUAGCUAGUCAUGCUUGAGAGGACCUGUCUGACAAACUCCAAGAAAAAUCUACAUUAGCAACUAUUUUAUUUUAAUUUUCUUCCUAUGUCUAUAAGCAGAUAGCAUAGAGUGAUUUAUGGUAUAUCUUCAAAUUAAUAAAUGGUAGUUUUUUCAUUUUUUUUCAUUCGUUCAUGUACAGAGUAUAUAUAGAGGGUAAUUACCAUUCUAAGAAUGGGAAGGAACGAUACAAGGAAAGAAUGAUAUAAGGAAAUAACAACUAAUAUCCUAAUAUCUCAACUUUCCUAAUAUCUCAAUAUUCUUAAUAUCUCAAUAUUCUUAAUAUCUCAAUAUUCAUAAUAUCUCAAUAUUCCUAAUAUCUCAACUUUCCUAAUAUCUAAACAUUCCUAAUAUCUCAACACUCCCCCUCAAGUUGGUGCAUAGAUGUCACACAUGCCCAACUUGUCUAAAAAUUUUGAGAACACUUGACUUGAGACAGCUUUGGUGAGGAUAUCGGCCAAUUGAUUUUCUGAUUGAAUCUUAGACAAUUCCACAAUCUUAUCAUCCAACUUUUCCUUAAUGAAGAAUCUAUCCACCUCGACAUGCUUUGUACGAUCAUGUUGUACUGGAUUAUGAGCAAUGUCACAUGCGGCUUUAUUGUCACAAAACAAUCGGAUUGGUUGCUUAGAUAGGUAACCUAAAUCCUGUAAGAGGAGUCUUAGCCAUAAUGCCUCACAAAGUCCUAGAGCCAUACCUCUAAAUUCCGCUUCUGCACUUGAAUGGGCGAUGACAUUCUGCUUCUUACUUUUCCAUGUCACAAGAUUACCACCUACAAAGGUAAAGUAACCAGAUGUAGAUCGCUUAUCAUCCACUGCACUAGCCCAAUCAGCAUCAGUAUAUACUUCUAUACUCUGAUGAUCAACAUUUUUAGCGAACAAAAUUCCCUUCCAAGGAACAUUCUUCAAAUACCUCAAAAUACGCAUGACUGCAUUCAUAUGUUGCUCUCCAGGAUUAUGCAUGUAUUGACUCACUACACUCAAUGCAUAAGCAAGAUUUGGACUUGUAUGAGCUAAGUACAUUAACUCCCCACAAGUCUCUGGUAUCUUCCCUUAUCGGUUGAUACUUGAUUAGGCUCAACACACAAUUUCAAACCUUCUUCUAUUGGUGUAUUAACAGGUUGACAUCCCAACAUUCCAGUCUCCUGUAAAAGAUCUAAGGCAUACUUUCUUUGAGACAGAAAAAUUCCUUCACUUGAUCGAGAAACUUCAAUCCCAAGAAAGUAUUUCAGAGGACCUAGAUCUUUCAUUUCAAAUUCUCUAAAUAGAUAAUUUUGCAAAGCUUUUCUUUCUUCAGGAUCAUUUCUUGUAACUACCAUGUCAUCCACAUAUACGAUAAGUGUCGUAAUCUUACCAUGUUGCUUUUUUAGGAACAAAGUGUGAUCUAAAUUACUUUGACGAUAGCCAAAAGCUCUCAUUGAUUUUGUGAACCUUCCAAACCAUGCUCUCGGGGAUUGCUUCAACCCAUACAAUGACUUCUUCAAUUUGCACACCUUCUGACAUUGCUUUUCUGACACCAUGCAUCCUGGUGGAAGAUCCAUGUAUACUUCUUCAGAUAACUCGCCAUGCAGAAAGACAUUUUUCACAUAGAACUGUUGUAAUGGCCAAUCUAGGUUUGCAGCUAAAGAUAGUAAUACUCGAACUGUGUUGAUCUUAGCUACAGGUGCAAAUGUCUCUGUGUAGUCAAUUCCAUAAGUUUGAGUGUACCCUUUUGCUACCAGUCUUGCUUGAAAUCGUUCAAUACUACCAUCUGCCUUGUUCUUCAUAGUAUAGAUCCAACGACACCCAAUUGGUUUCUUUCCUGGUGAACAUUUUACGAGUUCCCAUGUUUCAUUAUUCUGCAAUGAUUUCAUCUCUUCAUUCAUGACUGUUUUCCACCUUGGAUCAGCUAAGGCUUCCUGCACACUGUUAGGAAUAGCUACAAUAGAUAAUUGAUUUAAAAAUGACUUAUUUGAUUCAGACAAAUGAUGGUUAGACACAUAGUUGCUCAUGAGAUAUUUGACUUUGGUAGACAAUUCAGGUUCAUAUGUGGGUUUAGGAAUACCUCUAUUAUGACGGUGUGGUAACCGUUUCAUGAAUGGAUCAGGUUCCAAAUUAAGAACACCCUCAACAGACGACGAUUGGUUUGGUAUUUCAGUGAAGACACAUUCGAACCCAAAUUGUUGACCACUCAUAUCCAACUCACCCGCUUCUUGGUUCACUAGUUCAGAUUGUCCAAAUUCAUCCUCCUCAGAGAUAUGAUAAUCGUAAUCGAGAGUCUGAAUUUCCUUAUGGUACUCUCCCUAAAGUUCAGACUCAGAUGAANNNNNNNNNNNNNNNNNNNNNNNNNNNNNNNNNNNNNNNNNNNNNNNNNNNNNNNNNNNNNNNNNNNNNNNNNNNNNNNNNNNNNNNNNNNNNNNNNNNNAUGCAUGAGAAGUUAACUUGGUGCGUUGGUGUUUGUGUAGAUGCACAAAUUCCAUGCAACCAAAAACACGAGGAGGUAGAUUUGGGACGGUUGGGGCAACUAUGGCAUUAGUAAGAGCUUGGAGAGGUGUUUGGAAGUUAAUUAGGCUAGAAGGCACCCGAUUGCUCAAGUAUGUGGCAGAUGUGAUUGCUUCUCCUCAAUAAGAUAUCGGUAUUUUUGCUGCUAUCAAGGAAGCACGAACAACCUCUAAUAAGUGCCGAUUUUUUUGUUCAGCGACUCCAUUUUGCUAGGGUGUAUUGGAACAAGUAGUCUAAUGAAUGAUGCCAUGUUCUUUCAAAUACUUUUGAAGAUCAGAACUUUGAUAUUCUCCACCAUUAUCACUACGCAAAACCCGAACCUUUGCAUUGUACUGAGUUUCAAUCAUUUUAUGAAAAUUUUGAAACAACAAGUUCACUUCAUCUUUGGUCUUCAUCAAGCAUAACCAUGUCAUUCUGGUACAAUCAUCAAUAAAAGUAACAAACCAACGUGAGCCACUCAAAGUUGGGACUUUGGAUGGGCCCCAAACAUCAGAAUGUAAAACCAUAAAAGGAAGCGGACUUUUAUUCAAAAUUAACGGAAACGAAACACGAUGACUUUUAGCCAAUUCACAAAUAUCACAACGGAAACCAGAAAUAUCACUCUUUGCAAACAAACUAGGAAACAAUUUUUUUAAAUAACCAAAGGAAGCAUGUCCCAGACGUCGAUGCCACAACCAAAUUUCAGACUUUUUCUUCUCCUUCUCAGAUCCAUCUGCCAUCAAGGCUUGUUGCAACUUAUUUGAAUCCUUUGACUACAAGUCCAAGUAAUAGAGUUUUCCCCGCUUAAUACCCUAACCAAUCGUCUGUCUUGUUUGGAUGACCUUAAUCACACAAAAUUUAGGCCAAAAUAUGACAAUACAAGAUAAGGCUGCAGUGAUUUGAGAAACUGAAAAAAGAUUGUAAUAUAGAGAUGGAACAACUAAAACAUAAUCCAAAUUCAAAGUAUCAGUAAGAGUUAAGGAUCCUUCCCCAAUGACUGGGGUUGUGUUACCAUUGGCUGUGGAAACAAUUUUUUGUGAGGAAGGUCUAAGAGGUGAAACCUGUCUAGAAUCAAAAGUCAUAUGAUCUAUAACACCAGAAUCAAUUAUUGAUUCGUGUGCCUAGCUGGUGUACCUUGAGUUUGGUCCUCAGACAGGAGUAAUCAACAAAAUUUAUAACCUAUAUCACCAUGCACUAGGAUAGCCUUAGCUAAUAUAGCAUAGUGGCUCUAGGAUCGUUCACUGGGAAGGGUUUUCAACUUAUAACUGAUACCAAUUCAAAGUUGAAUUGGUGUUUUUUCAUUUCAAGGUUAGCUUCAAAAGAAAACAUAAACUUUUGUUGAAAAAUGAUUUGUUUUAAGCUAACUAAAAAGAAAGUAAUGGGAAUUACUUAUGAAGAAAACGUUCCUUGGAGUUUUAGGAUCACUGGGAUCAGGCUCCUCAUGCAAAAACAGAGCUCCGGUCACUUGAAUCUUUUCCUCGCAUUAAAGAAUUAACAUGUAGUUAAUUCUCUAACCGGUGUUGUACAGAUGCUUCCCUUUUAUGGAUUUCAGCACUAAUUCCUUCUUACUGAUGCAUCUUGCAAUGGCUCGUGCCUCUCACCUAGCAUUUGUCAUUCAAGGUGAUCAUUAACCUUGGACUUCCUUUCUCAAGCUCGCAAGAGAUAACUAAUGGAUGUCUCCUUAGAGUCCAAAAGCUUACCAAGUGUUGGCAAUUCUAGAAAUCCUACCUUCAAGUCACCUCCCAAAGGCUCGUAAAAGGUAAACUAGCGCAUCUCCAUGGACGGAGAUCAUUUGCCUUACCAAGUGUUGGUCCAGGUGAAUUGAAGGCGUUUUAAGUUAACUAAAAACAUAGAAACCAUAAACGGGUCACACUUUCUCUUCAUUAACAGCUGAAACAACAAAACUACCAAUUCUUGCACUCGGGGCCUUACCCAGCUACCUUAGCUCCAAGAGACAAAAAAGUCUAGCCACUCAUUCUCUGAGGAAACAUCCUCAGAGCUUGUUUGACUAGUAAGAAAAAUACAAUCAAAGUGAGUAGGUAAGGCAGAGCAAAGCUCUGUAUUUUACUUCCUUCAAAACUAUACAAAAAGUUGUGUCUCUGAGAACAAGCUCCCGAGAUGUCUCUGUAAUGAAAAUUACAAACAAUAUAUAUAUGAGGUUAUUCACCCUUUGUGCUUACUUAAUAACUAAGGAAUCUUAUAAUUGGUGGAUUACAAGGAGAGAAUGGGGAUUUAGACAUCAAAUAUCUGAAGCAAAAAAUCUAAAAAUAUCGAUCGCAAAUAUCUGGAAGCACUCUGGAGGAUUUCGCAGGUGUGCAAGAUGGCUGUGAAAUUUUACAACCUGAAGGACACCAUUUCGCAGCCAAAGGCUGAUUUCCCAGCCAUCACCUUGUGAUUUCGUAGCCUGCGGAAUUGACCUUCAGCUUGGUGUGAUUUGCUUGCUCUAACUUCUUCAUUUCAACUCCGAAUCGCACAGCAUUUGAAGCGUUGGAUUGCUGACUUCUCGAGCUUCGAAACAACAUAUAGUAUGCAUAAAUUGAGCUCUAGGAAAUGCUCCAAAAGUGUCCAACAAUUGCUAUCCUCUUGAAUUCUUCAUGUUAGAUUUCUCUCUUUGCUUUCCCUCCUUGUAUUCAUGAUUUGCUUAUGGGAAAGGACUAUAAAGCUUCAAAGCUUAGGUUCUUCAUGUUAAUGAGCUUUCAAUUGCUUUGCCAUGGAUUCCAUAGAACUCUCCUCAAUCUUGGAUUGCUUUGGUGAUCAAAAUACUAUCAAAAACACCAAAACUUACACAAUUUGAUUAGAAAUGAUUGCAAAGGUACUUAAUAUGCUAAUUGAGUUAAAAGGUAAUAACUACUACUCAAAAGUGUUUAAAAGAGUUAAUUACAAGCUAUCAAAUAACACUUUUUGAGUAGUAAUCAAUUAUCCAUGCACUAUUAAUAACAGGUGUAAAAGUAUUUAAAAACUUACCACCAUGAUCUAUAGCGGCUACCAAUGCAGAGGCUUUCUCAGCAACAUUAGCCUUUAUUUUUAUUUCGGCAAUAGUUGCAGUCGAGGUUUUCUUGGAAUCCUUCUUCCGUUGAUCACGAUUAUUGUCAUUAAUAACAAAGUGGUGAUAGCCUAAACAUGAUCUAAAGGUCUAUGGUUCAAAUCCUCGGUUCCUCAUUGUUUUCAUGGUCAUACCAAGAGUCGUUGCUUUGAAAUUGUGGGAUAACCAGACUGGUGGGAUCAGUCUUAUUGCAGUGAGUGCAUUUGAAGGUUGACUUAUCAAUAUUAGGGCUUGUCUUAGGAUGGUUGAUCACUGUUGGACUACCAUAGCAACAAAAUAUCCAGGAUGUCAAUUCCAUGGAUCUGAUACCAUCUUCAAAUUGAUAAAUGGUAGUUUUUUCAAUUUUUUUUCAUUCGUUCAUGUACAAAUAUAUAGAGGGUAAUCACCAUUCUAAGAAUGGGAAAGAAUGAUACAAGAAAAGAAUGAUAUAAGGAAAUAACAACUAAUAUCCUAAUAUUUCAACUUUCCUAAUAUCUCAAUAUUCCUAAUAUCUCAACUUUCCUAAUAUCUAAACAUUCCUAAUAUCUAAACAUUCCUAAUAUCUCAACACUAACUAAUAUAAGGAAAGAAUGAUAUAAGGAAAGCAUUCCUAAUAUCUCAACAGUAUAUCCUCUAUGGCACCAUGUUUUUCCAUAAACACAUUGAUGAUGAAUAAGCUUUCAUAAAUUAGAUAGGGCAUGAGCUUUCCAUGUGGCACUAUUUUUUUUUUUUUUUUUUGUGGAAAAUAAUUUAGUAUUUUAAGCUUUACUAUAACCCAUAAAACUUUUCCUUCAUUUGGAAAAAAUGAAUCUGAAGCUACCCAGAAGCUGACCUGAAAAGACAUGUCUUAAUUGUUCUUUUAAUUAUUAAUUUUAUUGUGGGCAUGACCUAGGUUGAGAAAGGUCCAAUAAGGCUUAGAAAAUUCAUGGAAAGAUAUAUAUAUAUAUAUAUAGAAGUGAUAGGUCAAGUUCAUUCAUCCGCAUGAAAAGGACCAGGGUCGACUUCUUAAUGGUUCGUACUUACUAACGUAGAAAUUAGGGAAGAAAUCACGACAGGUGCUGCUACCUAGGAAAGGUAACACCAUUGCACUUGACUAUGAUCCUCUACCUCAUGUUCAUGUGAUGAUUAUGACGUAGGUGACAACUGUUUUAUCAGAUUGGAAGUAUAGAAUUCCAAGAAUAUUGAAGACAAAUCAAGCGCAAAUGAAGGCGAAGAUUAACAGAUGGAUUAUUACUCACAAAGGAAACUAAGGGUGAAUCUUCCCAGACAACGAUACAGAAAUGAGUGAUGGGUGCUGCAGUCCCUGUUUCAAGGCGGCUGUAUCGCCUACAAUUAAUCAAUCUCUACAAAAAGUGAUUAAAAAGUGAAUUUUUUUAACAAAAAAAAAGAGUUCUUUUUUCUUUUUUUUCUUUGAGGUCUUAACUCUAUAACACUCGAUCUAAUUAAAACUAACAUGGAAAGAAUCCAAGUAAAUAGAGAUGGAUGUUUAUCAAAUUAAUAGAGACAAUCCAGACAUCAAGAUUGGCAUGCCAAGCAACCAUCGAGAUGCUACCUUCCAAGCCCUAUAACACAAACUCAUUUAAGAUAGUUUGAUUUUCUGACAUUUAAAAAAAAAAAUUCAAUGAGGGAACAUUUGGGAGGACUUUACAAUUUUACAUUUCAGUAACUUGUUUUUCAUUGGAAUUGGAAAAUUCCUAGUCACCCUGUUGAGGCAGUUCUUCCAAUUCUAAUGCUUGAUCCCUUAAACCUACAUAACACAAUACUCUGUUGGACUAAGACUGAAAGCUUGACCAAGUCAAAAACUGCAGUGUUGUCCUCUUGAUGCCGUGUCUUGGACAACUUCCAGGAAAAACCUACAUUAGAGAAAUUUUAGUAUUUUUUUUAACUAGUGUAUAGAAGUUUUCCUUCCAUUUGUGAGAAAUGUCAAUGGAGACCCAUAUUUUCUUCUCCAUCUUUUGUGCUUGGAUUUGUCUCUUUCCAUUGGAGUUUUGUAUUGCAGCUGAUUCGUGCCCAAUUGGUGUAUCAGCUGAUUCAUGUCCAGUUGGUGCUCCUUGAUUGAGGGAGUAAUCAACAAAAUUUAUAACCUAUUACACCAUGAACUAGGGUAGCAAAGACAAAGCUACUAUAGCAUAGUGGCUCUAGGAUCGUUCACUGGGAAGGGUUUUCAAUUCAUAAAUGAUACCAAUUCAAAGUGAAUUGGUGCUUUUUCAUUUCAAGGUUAGCUUAAGAAAUAAAACACAAACUUUGAUUGAAAAAGGUUUAGGUUUAAACUAACGGCAAAGGAAGUAAUGGAAAUUACUUAUGAAGAAAAACAUUCCUUGGAGGUUUAGGUUCACAGGGGAGGUUUCUCAUGCAAAAACAGAACUCCGGUCAUUUGGUUCAUUUCCUCUCAUUAGAGAAUUAACAUAUAGUCAAUUCUCUAAUCGGUGUUGUACAGAUGUAUCCUUUAAAUGGAUUUCAGCUCUAAUUCCCUCUCACUGAUGCAACUUGCAAUGGCUUGUGCCUCUCACUUAGCAUUUGCCAUUCAAGGUGAUCUUUAACUUUGGACUUCCCUUCUCAAGCUCGCAAGAGAUAACUAAUGGAUGUCUCCUUGGAGUCCAAAAGCUUACCAAGUGUUUUGGCAAUUCUAGAAAAUCCUACCUUCAAGUCACUUCCCAAAAGCUCACAAGAGGUAAACUAGUGCAUCUCCAUGGACGGAGAUCACUUGCCUUACCAAGUGUUGGCUCAAGUGAAUUGAAGGUGUUUUAAGUUAACUAAAAACAUAAAAAUCAUUAAAGGAUCACACUUUCUCUUCAAUAAUGGCUGAAACCACAAAGCUACUAAUUCUUGCACUUGGAACCUUUCCCAGCAACCUUAACUCUAAGGAACUAAAAGUCUAGCCACUUAUUCUCUGAGGAAACAUCCUCAGAGCUUGUUUGGCUAGUAAGAAAAUACAAUCAAAAUGAGAAGGUAAAGCAGAGCAAAGCUCUGUAUUUUUCUUCCUUUGAAAACUAUACAAAAGAUGCGUCCUCCCCUAUUUGAUCGAUAUAUGAUCGAUAUCUUAUGUAAAGGAAAUUACAAACUAUAUAUAAGAGGUUAUUCACCCUUUGUUCUUACUUAAUAACUAAGGAAUCCUAUAAUUGGUGGGUUACAAGGAGAGUUUGGGGAUUUAGACAUCAAAUAUCUAAAGCAAAAUAUCUCAAAAUGUCAGUUGGACAUAUCGGGAAGCUUCAAGAGAACACCGCGGCACUAUGCAGAAAAAUAUCUCAAAAUGUCGAUCGGACAUAUCAGGAAGCUUCAGGAGAACAUCGUGGCACUGUGCAAAAUGGUUGCGAAACUCUCCGGGUAAGCGCUAUCAGAGGAUUCGGAUAUGUCUGACCGGGGAAGUUGAAACGCCCUCCUCUCUCAUCCGGUGUCAACCGCCGGAUGUGAAACAUUCGGAUGGAAUGUCGGCGGAGAAGAAUUUCGGAUGUGAGACAUCCGGGUGGAAUGUCGGCGGAGCAGAAUUCCGGAUGUGAUACAUCCGGGUGGAAUGGCAGCGCGCUCCCCUAUCCGGACUCCCUUAGGGAGAAGCACACGGCACUCGCGAUCAUUACACCCUGGACGAUAGCAUAUCCUAUCAGGAUAUGUGGUCCGUAUCAUUGGCUAAAGUGCACAAGCCUUGCUACGUCAUUCCGAUAGCCUGCCACAGCUCACAUUCUGCCGCCCUCUGAUAGUGUGUCCGGACGCCCUGUCCGGACAUCUUUUGCCAUGGAUUUCAAAGAACUCUCCUCAAUCUCGGAUUGCUUUGGUGAUAAAAAAGCUAUCAAAACACCAAAACUUAACACAAUUUGAUUAGAAUUGAUUGCAAGGGUCCUUAAUAUGUUAAUUGGGUUAAAAUGUGAUAACUACUACUCAAAAGUGUUUAAAAGAGUUAAUUACAAGCUAUGAAAUAGCACUUUCUGAGUAGUAAUCAGCAGCUGAUUCCAUAAGGAUGGACGAAUCCAUAAGCCAUGGUGAGACUUUAGUUUCCUCAGGCCAAAGUUUUGAACUAGGCUUCUUCUCUUCUAGAAGCUCCAAAAACAGGUACUUGGGAAUAUGGUACAAGAAUACACCCCAAACAGUUGUAUGGGUUGCAAACAGAAACAACCCAAUUGUAGAUUCUUACGGAGUUUUAACCAUCAUCAACAAUGGCACACUUGUUCUUCUCAACCAGUCAAAGAGUGUAAUCUGGUCUCCCAAUUUGUCAAGGGUACUUGAAAAUCCAGUUGCACGGCUCCUAGAGACUGGAAAUCUUGUUCUCAGGGAUAAUAGUAAUGAAAGUUCUGAAAGCUAUAUAUGGCAGAACUUUGAUGAUCCAUCAGACACAAUGUUGCCAGGCAUGAAGGUGGGAUGGAACUUAAAGACUGGUCUACAACAAAAAUUGACAUCAGGGAGAAGUGCUGAUGACCCAUCCAUUGGAGACUUCUCUUACAGAAUUGAUAUUAAUGUGCUGCCUUACAUGGUUCUUGGUGUGGGAUCAAGCAAAAAAGUCCGUUUCGGGCCGUGGAAUGGACUUGAAUUCAAUGGUGUUCUUGUGUUGGACUACUUGGUUUACAAAGAAGUUUUUGUUAACAACGACGAUGAGGUAUAUACCCUCUGUGAGUCUAACAACAAUAAGAUCAUUUCAAGACUAACAUUGAACCAUUUAGGUUUCCUCCAGCGUCUGAUAUAAAAAAAAGGAAGCUCUGAAUGGGAUGAAUUGUACUCAAUUCCCAGUGAACUUUGUGAAAAUUAUGGCCAUUGUGGUGCUAAUGAUAUCUGUAGAAUUGGCAAGACGCGGAUUUGUGAGUGUUUGCCAGGUUUCACACCAAAUUCACAAAAAAGGGACAUGUUUAAUACAUCAAGCGGAUGCACACGAAGAAGGCAUUUGGAUUGCCAAAGUGAAGAGGGAUUUGUAAAGGUUACAGGGGUGAAAUUGCCCGACUUGAUAGAUUCUCAUGUGAUUAAUAGUGUGAGCCUUAGGGAGUGUGAGGUGUUGUGCUUGAGCGACUGUUCUUGUACAACAUAUGCCUAAUCAAAUGCAUAUGCUUACUCAAAUCCUAAUGGAAACAAUGGCUGUUUGAUGUGGUCUGGGGACCUGAUUGAUAUCAGAGAGUUAACUUCAGAAAAACAUGCGGAGGACAUCUAUAUCCGCAUGCACACUUCAGAGCUAGGUAAGACACUUGAUUUUCUGUAAAUCACUUUUUGAUUGUAAGCUAUUGGGGUUGUCUCCAAUAGCCUAAGCCCUAAGUUAUCCUGGUAAAUUAAGAUGCAGAAUUACUUAUUUUCCAAAAUCAGAGAUUCAAUUUGACAAGAAUAUUAUAAUCUAGUUAAAACUAAGACCCUAUAUUAUAUUCCAGAAGAACCAUAGCUGUUAGGAUUCAAGUUAAUUAAUGAUGAACUGACUUGUAAUAAUCCUAACAAACAGAAAGCAAAUAUCCAAUUCAUUUUCCGAAGAAACAGGAAAAUCUGAAGAAAUGGACAAAGCCUACUUCUGAAAGUACUAAUGAACAAAAGGAUUUAUAUGAAAAGUGGGAGCGCUCUAAUCGCAUGAGUCUAAUGAUUAUGAAAGGUUCAAUCACUCCUGCAAUUCAUGGAGCAAUCCCGAAUUCAGAUAAUGCAAUGAGCUAUAUUAAAUAAGUUGAAGAACAAUUCUUAGGAACUUCCAAGUCCUUGGCAAAGUACUCUUAUGAUCAAAAUGAUAACAAUGAAAUAUGAUGGUCAUAGUGGUGUACGUGAGCACAUCAUGAAGAUGAGUGACAUGACUUCUCAAUUAAAAGGAAUGAACAUGGCAAUUUUUGAAGGUUUUCUUGUUCACUUCAUAAUGACUUCCUUUCCUUCACAAUUUGGUCCUUUCAAAAUUAAUUAUAAUACUCAGAAGGAUAAGUGGAAAAUGAAUGAACUAAUUACCAUGUGUGUUCAAGAAAAAGAGAGGCUUAAAAUGGAAAAGCCCGAUAUGGCUCACUUCACUAUUGGUCCAAAUAAAAAAUCCUUCAAGAAAGGUAAAGGUAAGAAAAAGAAGCAAGGUAAUGAUGUAUCUCAUAAUGGGAAAAAGGACGAAAAUAAGAUACAAUGUCAUUUUUGCCACAAGAAAGGUCACAAAAGAAGAUAUUGUUUUGGCUUUAAGGCUUGGUUGGAAAAGAAAGGCAAAACUCAAUGCUUAGUGUCUUAUGAAUCUUAUUUAGUUUAUAUACCACCAAACUCUUGGUGGAUUGACACUAGUGCAAGGAUUCACAUAAUGAAUUCAUUGUAGGGAUACCUUACAAGCAAUAGACUAAGUAAAGGAGAGUGAACCAUUACUUUGGGAAAUGGAACGGAAGUGGAAAUUGAGGCUAUUGGCACUCUUCGUUUAAUUUUGGAUACUGGUUUCAUUAUGGAUUUAGUAGAUACAGUUUAUGUUCCUGUUUUUACUAGAAACCUAAUUUCAGUUCCAAGACUUGAUUCUUAUGGUUAUGAAUUAAAGUUUGGAAAUAAUGGAGUUUCCUUGUUCUAUAAUUCUUGUUUGGUUGUCUCUGGCACUUUACAUGGUAAUCUUUAUUCAUUGAAUUUAGAUUGCAAAUAUUCACAGUCUCUUUUAUCUUAUCAUGUGUAUGAAUCUCUAAAAAACGAAAUCGAGUGAAUGAAAAUUCAUCCAUAUUAUGGCAUAAGCGAUUGGGUCACAUUUCAAGAGAAAGGAUGGAACGUCUUAUUAAAGAUGAAAUUUUGACUUCACUUGAUUUUUAUAAUUUUACUAGUUGUGUUGAAUGCAUAAAGGGAAAAAUACACUAAGGUUAAGGAAAAGGGUGCCUCAAGGGUCACUGAAUUGUUAGAAUGUAUUCAUUCUGACAUUUGGGGACCUUAUUCAAUUCCAACUAUCAAUGGACAUAAGUACUUUAUUUGUUUUAUUGAUGACUUUUCAAGGUAUUCUUAUGUGUAUCUUAUUUGUGAAAAAUCUGAAGCAUUAGAUGUUUUUAAGAUUUAUAAAGCUAUGAUUGAAAAUCAACUCAAUCGGUGAAUUAAAAGUGUAAGAUCUGAUAGAGGUGGUGAAUAUUAUGGUAAGUUCACUGAAUCAGGUCAACAUCUUAGUACUUUUGCCUUAUUUUUAAGAGAGCAUGGUAUCAUUGCAAACUACACAAUGCUUGGAACACCAGAGCAAAAUGGUGUAGUAAAGCGACAGAAUCGUACUCUAAUUGACAUAGUGAGAAGUAUGAUGAGUAACUCAACCUUGCCUGAAUUGUUGUGGGGUGAAACAUUGAAAACUACUGUUCACAUUCUCAAUCGUGUUACUAGUAAGGUUGUACCUAAAACUCCUUAUGAGUUAUGGGUGGGUAGGAAACCAACUUUGAAUUAUUUACAUGUAUGGGGAUGUCCAGCUGAAGCUAAAUUUUUUAACCCACAAAUAAAGAAAUUAGAUUUUAAAACCAUAAGUUAAAAUUUCAUUGGCUAUCCUGAAAGAUCAAAAUGUUUUAGAUUUUAUUGUCAUGGCCAAUGCCCUAAAAUUGUUGAAACUAGACAUGCUGUGUUUUUGGAAAAUGAAUAUUUUAGUGGGAGAACUGAGCUUAAAAAGUUAACCUCUAAUGAAGUAUCAACACCAAUGAUGGAAUAUGGUGUGACUCAAGGGGUUUCUUGUAAUGAAAAUGAGAAUGUCCCAACUACUAAAGUAAUUUUACGUAGAUCACAAAGAGAGAAAAGACCUGCUAUAUCAAAUGACUACGAGGUUUAUCUUAAUGAGUGUGAUUAUGAUGUUGGCUUGGAAAGUGAUCCUACUUCUUAUGAUCAAGCCAUCAAUAGUGAAAAUUCAACUCUAUGGCUUUAUGCUAUGGAAGAAGAGUUGAAAUCAAUGAAAGAUAAUGAAGUUUGGGAUCUUGUAGAAUUGCCCAAAGGAAUUAAAACUAUUGGUUGAAAAUGGAUUUUUAAAACCAAAUAUGAUUCUAAGGGCAAUGUCGAAAGAUACAAGGCCAGGUUAGUUGCAAAAGGAUACACUAAAAAAGAAGGAAUCGACUACAAGUAAACAUUUUCUCCCAUUUCCAAGAAAGAUUCCUUAAGAAUAGUCAUGGCUUUAGUAGCUCAUUUUGACUUAGAGUGACAUCAAAUGGACAUUAAAACUGCCUUUUUGAAUGGUGACUUGCAUGAAGAGGUUUAUAUGGAUUAACCUGAGGGUUUUCAGGAUAAAGGCAAGGAACAUAUGGUAUGUAAACUUAAAAAGUCCAUAUAUGGUCUAAAACAGGCUUCUAGACAAUGGUAUCUUAAGUUCCAUGAAAUUCUCAUCACUUUUGGUUUCAAAGAGAAUCUAGUGGAUUAAUGUAUAUGCCUUAAGAUCAGUGAGAGCAAAAUUUGUAUUAUUGUAUUGUAUGUUGAUGAUAUGUUGCUUGCUAGCAACAAUAUGGGAAUGAUUUUUGAGACCAAACAAUUUUUAUCUAAGAAUUUUGAUAUGAAAGAUCUUGGUGAAGCAUCCUAUGUGAUAGGAAUUGAAAUUCAUCGAGAUAGGUCACGUGGAUUAUUAGGAUUAUCCCAAAAGAACUAUAUUGAAAAAGUUCUUAAAAGAUUCAAUAUGCAAAAUUGUUCUAGCAAUGUUGCUCUUGUUGUGAAAGGGGACAUAUUUUGUGAACUUCAAUGUCCUAAAAAUGAUCUUGAAAAGAAACAAAUGGACAAAAUUCCUUAUGCUUCUGCAGUAGGGAGUAUCAUGUAUGCUUAAGUAUGCACUCGACCAGAGAUAACUUAUGUGGUAGGCAUGCUUGGUCGAUACCAAAGUAAUCCAAGUAUUGAUCAUUGGAAAGUAGUUAAGAAAGUAUUACGUUAUUUACAAGGGACUAAGGACUACAUGCUUACAUGCAGAAUAACAGAUAAUCUAGAAAUUAUUGGUUAUUCUAAUUCUGAUUAUGUUGGCUAUAAGGAUACCAGAAAAUCUACAUCUGGGUAUAUUUUUAUGUUAUCAAAUGUACCUAUUUUAUGGAAGAGCCAUAAGCAAUCAUUGAUAGCUUCUUCUACAAUGGAGGCAGAAUAAGUAGCAUGUUAUGAAGCCACAUGUCAUGCAAUAUGGUUGAGAAACUUUGUAUCAGGGCUUCAUGUUAUUGAUUCGAUAAUGAGACCAUUGAGAAUAUAUAGUGAUAAUAGUGUUGUUGUUCGAUUCUCUAAAAAUAAUAAGACUACAGGAGGAUCAAAGCACAUUGAUAUUAAGUAUUUGGUUGUAAGGGAGAAAGUUCAAAAUGGAGUUGUCUCUAUUGAACAUAUUGAAAAUACACUCAUGUUGGUAGAUUCAUUGACAAAAGGUCUUCCACCUAAGCUUUUUAUGGAUUAUGUUGCGCACAUGGGCUUGGUGGCAAGUUUGUCAAUUUUAGAUUGAUUAAGAGUGUAAUGUAUGUGAUCACAUUAUAAUGAGAAUAAAGUUCUUGAUUAUGAUAUAUUGAUGAUUAUUAUGUUACUUUUAUACAUCAUUUUUGUGCACAAUCUAGAUGUUUAAAAGUUGAUGGGACCAUUAUGUGAAUGAAUUAGUAUUAUCACCUUAAUGUUGCUAAUGUCAUAAAAUUCAUUGAUUCAUGUUAAUGGAGGUGCUAGUACUAUAAUCCUUGAAGAAUAUUGGAUCAUUGUGUGAUCCAAUCAUUUCAAUGAUUUUGUGUUAGUGGUUCUAUGAAACAUAAUCUUAAUGUAAAGGAUGCCUAUUUUGAGAAAUUGUUAUGGCCAUAUUAUGUUUUAAUCUAUUCACUACUACAAAAAAACAAAACAAGGACGCUCUUAUCCUUGGCGUUUUUGAAAAAACGUCAUUAUUUAGUUAGAUAUACUAAAAUGUUGACGCUUGUUUACUACGACGCCUCUAUAAGCGUCAUUGAACUGUAAAAGUUUAAAGACGUUGGCGCUUAUUUUAAGCAUCAUUGUAUACACAUUUCAAUAGGCGUCCUUGGCGCUAAAAAGCGUCAUUUUCUUUCUUACAUAGUAUGUAAUAUAUUUCCCAUUACCUCCAUAUAAUUCGCUGCACCUGUCAAAAGACAAAUUUAGCACCCCGACAAGCCUUAGAAGACCAGUUGUGAGUAUCGAAACCCUUCGAAGACCUAAACCCUCAGAGCAUAAAAAACCCUAAGCCUUCACUCUCGUUGAAAACCCUAGGCUUUCACUCUCGUUGAAAACCCUAAGCUUUCUCUCUCUCUAUUGAAAAACCUUAACCUUUGGAAGAGUACUAUAUUCAGACUCUAAUCUACAACUAUUCUUAACUAGCUUGUUGGUAAUGGAAUCUCAUAGAUUUGAGUGGCAACGAAAUCAAAAGUGAGGUGGGAGACAAUAUUGGGGUGAUAUAUCACAUUGUGAAACAACGACGUGUAGUUGGUGAGUAGCCGAGUUGUUUGGGGGUUUUCAUUUUCAAGAUCCUACUCCGAUCUCCUCUGUGAAGCAACCAGAAAAUGUGAAGGUUUCUGUUCUUAGACCAACUCGAAUAUGAUCUACAUCUGGUUAGGAAGAUUUAUUUUGGGGGUCAAUGUAUGUAGUUCGAAUCAAAGGACCAUCCAGAUAGAGGAGUCCAUGGGUUGGAAGAAAAUGAAGCUUUAUGGAGAUGAUGGUCACUGGAGGUAGCAUAGGCAUGGAAAUUAGAAAUCUUAUUGUGGAAGGUAAAAUUUUUUAGCAAAAGUGAAAAUUUUUAAUUGGAAAGAUUUCAGAAAUUGGGACUCCGUGGAUUGUGAAUUUGUGACUUGAAGGGUUGGCUGUUUAAUAUGAGUUUUUGCAUUUUUGUGGAAACAAAGCUGCAAAUUUUCAUAUUUUUAUGGAUGAAUAAUCCUCUGCAUGUAUAAGAUCCUUGUAGGAUUUGAAAAUGUAUCAAAUUUCUGUCAUCACUAUAGUGGCAAUUCCUACUUGUAUCAUGAUUCUUGACUUGAAUUCCUAAGUUUCCAACUUAGUUGGAGGUGUGGCAGUUCUAUUGCUGAUUUAUCUUCUAUGUCAUUAAGUAAAAGGGAUGUUUGGUAAGUCUUGUAUGGUAUACGAUGGAGCAUUUUUUAUUGGUAAAUUCACAUGUUGUUUUUCCCAUUGAACUGCUGUUUUUCUUUCUUUAUUUUUUUAAAGCUAAUUUUGGUUGUAAUUUUGUGCAUAGUAUUUAGAACAGAGCCUCCUUGAGAGUUAUUCAUCUAGUUGAAGGCUUCCCUUUGUGGUAUUGCUACUUUAUGCUUGCUAGAAAUAUUUAAUCAUCAAUUAACUAUCUUGUGUUUAUCUCAAAAUAUGAUGGGCAGUUUGCUAUGAGGGAUUUUAUCUGCAUUACUAGUUGAUAAUCACACUUUGGAAGGUGAAAAGACCUUCAUUUAAUAGAGGAUCAUAUUUUUGAUCGGAUACCGAAUUUUGUUUACCACUUUGUCAGGCUAUGCACUUCAAUUUGGCAUUGGGUUAUCAUUUCUAAUUCAAAUUCCAUUCCAAUUGUUACCAUUUCCGAAUAGUGCAUAGCAAUGACACACAACGUUUGGAAAUUUCAAAAUCUUAUGUACAGGAUGCCAUGAAUUUAAACAAUGUACUAAUAUUUAUUAUGUAUUACCUAUCUUUCCGCCCUUGGAUUCAUGUUGUGGUUGUUCAAAAAUACCCCAUUAUGAUUCAAUUCAUACUGUGCAACAUGAAAGAAUAAUGAAACUUGAAGCUUCUGCCAAGGCAGGACAUGGAUCCUUUCUACUCUUGAUAGCCAGUUAUAAUAUUUGAAUCUAUAUUCUGUUAUUUAUAGUCAUUGGCAUUGGUGUUUAGUCCCUUGACUUCUAUAGUAGUCCAUGGUGACAUGAUGAAAAAGGAAAUGGAGGCAAGUGCUCUGCUGGGGUCCAUGGCUUUGCAGUGAAGCUUAAUGUGGUAAUACCAUUCAGAUCAAGAUUUUGUUUUCUAGUUUUCUUUCGUACUUCGUUUUACUGGGGUUAUGUGUUCACAUCCACUGUUGACAAUUUGGAGAAAUUUAUGAGGUUAUGCAUUUUAGACUACAUUUGAACAUAUGAAUUUCAAUAUUUUCAUCUGGGAAGUUAUUUUCCUUAGUCUCCAGUCUCCACUGUAGUUUCCAAUAAGAUGUUUUAUAUUUUGUGGUUUAUGGAUUAUUGCACUUGGAAAUAUUUUUUGCUUCUUGGAACCUAUCCACAUUGUAGUAGUUUUGGGUAGAUGAUUAUAUUAUGUGUUUGAUAUACUUCCUGUUUUUUGUUUCUAAAGAUAUAAGACAUAAGGUAAAUCCAUACUUUUCAUAUAAAAAUUAUGAUAUUUCAUGUUAAAGUUACUACAAUUUUUUAUUUAUUUUUAAAGAUAGAAGCUUACAUGUUAUCCUUGUAAUGUUGUUACUAUUUUUCAGUUUUAAUCUCUAGUAGUGUUUUUCUUGCUAUUUUGUAGUCUUACCAUUUGAUUUUUUUUUGCUCAAAAUCUCUCCAAAUUUCUUCUUGGUUGACUGAAAAACAUGAUGAGCCUAUGUUUUGCAACGAAUUUCCAUCUAUGGUCACUAUUUUCCUCACCUCCCUUGAAUCCAUUUCAGAAGUUUGUGCAUGUCCAUGGAAGAUUCCACAAAGACCCUUGAAAUUAAAUGUGAAUUUUUUUUAAUUUUUAAAAAAUAAAAGGUACAAAAAAAAUUUCCUUAUUGACUAAACAAGAAGAAAAUUAGCAUAACACACUUAAAAAUCUUCUUUGUCAUCCAUAUGUAGAGAUGUAAGAGAAAUUCAAGUGUUAUAAUAUCAUUAUUGGAAGUGAUUACAUCAGUUAAGAAAAAAAAAAAAAGAUGGAAGGAGCAGCAUUGGGUCAAAGGCUUACAAUAAGAAGAAAGCAUGAGCCUAUCUGUUAAGCAUUGGUAAGAUUUGUGUUGGGCCACUUGAAAGCUAAUGUUUGAGAUAAAAAAAACCUAUAGGUAUAGAGCUGAUUGGAAGGGAUUCACUUAUUAAUGUCAUUCAAAAUAUGAUUCUCUUUCUUGUGUUUAUCUAUUCUAAGCAGAAGAUUUUCUAGCAUUAAACUUUGCUCUGUGACAAAAGAAUGCCAUUCAACCAUACUAAUUAAACUAUCUUGAAAUUAGGAAUUUGUUAUUUAUAUAAAAACUGAAACAAUUGUUCUUUGAAUUAGGUGGCAAGAAAAAAAAAACACAAUUGUAAUGCUUUCUUAAAGAGGAAAACAUAAGCUAGGUGUUCCAGAAUGUGACAAAAAUCACAAGGUAAAAUUCCCAUUUCAAUGUUGAUUCCCAACACCUAAAAAAAUGCAUAAAACAGGAAACAUAAUGGAAUUCUUUCUAAUUUUCUUUUACUUGUUCUUUAUCUAGUCUCUUAUGGAUGGAUUUCUUUAGAUAUAUGAGAUUUGGGAUUAAGAGAUAGGUUGGAGCCCUAUUUAAGUUUCAGUUUUUUGAGAAACUAUCACAAUUUGGAGAUCUACAACCAUUUUGUCCUUACAUUUUUCUUGUUAAACAUUGCAAUAAUCUAUUUUGAAUUUUGCCAAAAGACCUAUAAUUGAUGUGAAUGUUUAUUAGAAUAUGUGUGGUGUUGUUGAGAUUGCUUCUAUUCUCUUUAUAUAUAUAAAAAAAUAAUUGGUAUUUUUUCUAUGGUGGUGAAGAAGCAUAAGAAUAAGGGGCUUGAAUCACUUGUAUCCUAUAAUAAAUAGUUUGGACUAAAUGAAGAAAAAUUCUGGUAUUUGACCCAUAGCCUCAUGCUGGUAUUUGACCUUUAGGAAAACACUUCAAUGAAUCCCAUUUAUCAAGCCCAAGAUGCAGAUAAAAAUUCUGGUAUUUGACCCAUAGCCUCAUGAUUCCAAUGCAUGGACCAUGCUCUAAUUAAACAUUUAUUGCCUUUGCCUCCUGUAGGUCUCAAGGUGUAUUAGGUUUUCUACUCCUUCAGUGGAGCUUAUGAAGUUCUAAGACUGCUGCAGAAGGCUUGAUCUCGAAUUCAGGUGAUGCACUCCCACUUCUCCAAUGUUAAUGAAGAUUAUAUCUAAAGUAUAAUAUAUGUGAGUGACCUUAUUAGUAUAUAUAGAUGGAAUCUUGUGAUGUGUUACCUUAUUGGUAGUGCUGAUUUUUCUAAUAGUAAACAAUGGUUGAUAUAGUUAUUUAAGAAUUUUGAUUUUCAAUCCUACUUGAUUUCUAGAAGGAAAUAGAAAUGUUAGAGCAAAGCUAGCAAGUUCAUCAUAAUCUUUAGAUCAUUCUUGCGAACACCAAUGCAAAGAGGCUUUUUGGAUUUUAUUUUAUAGAUCAUAUCCACCAACUUGUCUGUUUCCAAAGUACUAUAAUGAAAUGAAUUCUAAUAAGCCAUAGCAAAGGGUUAAAACUUAAUUGGGAAAUCAUAUUAUUUAAUUUAGAUAUGCUCAUUGAAAUUUUGGCUUAUUGUCAUAUGAUGAACUUCUCUACUGGCCUUAAUGAGCAUCCAAGUUCAAGUCAAUCUUCAAACCUUCUAGGUGCAACUUUUGUAACUUUUUGUGAUUAGUUUUUUCAUAUAUAAAUUAAAAAUGAAAUUCCCUAUCAUUCUUCCUUCUCCUAUUUUAUCCGAUGAGCUACACAAGCACUACCUAUUCUUUUUCUCUGAAUAAACACUACAUAUCCUAAAUUUCAUUAGGAAUUCUCUUGAAUCUUCCUGUUUUAGAAUUUUUGAUCCAAUGACCUAUACUUUCUACCCUACUCAAAAGGUCUUAGGCUCUCUUGCUACUAUUGUGGGUGAUUCUGAAAAGGAAGGGAAAUCGAAUCCAACUUAACUAUUUCUAUCUAAAAUGCAUCUCAUCCAAAACCAAUAACAGGAAAUCUCACCUAGUUGUUUACUUUGUUGCAUUUUAUGUUAGAUGCCAUUAAUGUAAUUUUUCUUGCUUAUAAAAAAAAAAAAAUUGCAAGCCACCCACCUCUCUCAAAUUCUUUAUUUCUAUAAUUGAUAUACUCCUUCACAACUAGGGCAUCAUCAAGAAUUUUUUCUACCUUCUCAAACAUUAUUCUGAGAUUCUAAGAUCAUCUCAUCAAUGACCCUUUUUAGCCUUUGAACAAUUUUGCCAUGAGUUUAUAAUGACCCCUUACCAAACUAUAUAUAUAUAUAUCAACAAAUUUUUAUGCUUAGAUUUAGUUCACAGAAAAUUUGAACCAAGUAUAAGGAGAAAAAAAACAUGAAAAUGAAAAUAAACAAAAAAAGAAAAAUAUAAUAAAAAUUUAAAUUAAAUUCUUAUUUUUCUACCACAAUCCUCCAAUUUUCUUCCUCUAAAAUUGUAUAAAUUCUCAAAAAAAAAAAAUUCUAUUUCAUUAAUUUUUCUUUAUAUCUUUGAAACCAACUAAACAGAAAAUCAAAUUGCCUUUGUGUUAUUUAUUCUCUUUUUCUUACUAUUUCUCAAGUUUCAUAUAAAAUCUCACAAAAACUAUUUAUUUAUUUAUUUAAAAUUAAGUUUUUUCCUAAAUAACCAAGUAAUUAUCCAACUAGGAGUCAUACUUUUCAUCACUUUCCCAACCAAGUAAGUGCCCAACUAGCUCAUUUGCAUUAACCUAAUAACUAUAAAUCGCAUUUACUUAAUUGGCCAAUCUUCUUUAAAGCUUUAAAUGUGUCUGGAUCCUUACAUUGUACUAAUCCAAAUCCUUUCUUAAAGCUUUCAUUCUUCAAACUUGUACUCUUAUGAGGUUCUUUAAGAGUUAUUGAGAAUAAUUUGCUCCUUGUUUCAACUUCUCUAAUCUCUAACACCAUUUUUUCUCAUUCCAAAUAUUAAGGUUGGUAAAAUCUAACUCCAAAUAAAAAGUAAGUUCUAUUGCCUUAGUUAUAAUAAUUUCAUAGUUAUAAUAUUAAGUAUGAUUAAACCCAACUUAAUGUUCAUAGCUAAUUGCUUUUCUUUCAAAUUUUAAAGUCAAAACUUGAGAUGUUUUUUUCUGAACAUCAUCAUGCUUGUGAAGAAGUUGAUUCAUUGUUGCUUUCAUAGUAUAAUAAAGGGUCACCAUUCUCAACCCAACUACCUUCUCCUUUUUCCUUGCUAAUUUUGCUUAGGUAAAUUUUCAUCUUGUUGAAUAUUUAUUUUGGGUUAGUUAAUGUUUAUGUCAUGUUUCAUUUAUCCUCUUAUUGUUUUGGGGUAUUAUGAUUUGUCACUUUUAAAUUUUGAUGUUAUAUCAUAUUUGGAAAUAUAUUACUCGUAAAGAAUUUUUUUUUUUUUUUACUAAUGAAGAAUUCAAAUUAAAUUUCCCUUAACUUUAACAAAUUGAUGUUUCUCUCUAUUUCUUAAUUUGGGGUUGCAACAAUUAUUUGGCUUGUUUUAAUGAUGUAGGAGAUGAAUGGGCCUUAAAGAUUCAAAAUACUAACUUAAAUUGUACCAACAGUAAUUUUGGCUUAGGAAUUUGACAGUGUUGGUGAUUGAUUUUCCAUGUUUUCUUUCUAUCUUGAAUUGUAAUUUUAGUUGAAUGUUAAUAGAAAUAUUAGACACCGUCACAACAUCUUAUCUCUCUUCUUCAUGUUUUCAUUUAUUAAUCAUAAUUUUUCUUUUUUAAUAUAUUUAUCUAUCUAUUUAUAGAUCACUCUCCUUUUCCUAGCUUGGAAGAGAGAGAGAGAAAGAAAUAGUGAAAGAUAGAAAGGGAUAGAGUGUUCUACUCUACCAUCUAAGUAUGUGAUGAAAAAUGAGUACAAUUGAACUCUUGUUACUAUUUUUAUUAUUUUUGAAAUUUCUACGGCUAUUCUCCUCGGAUUGAUUUAAUUCUAUUGCUCCUAAUUUACCAUCCCUCAAGGCUGAAUCACAGCCUAAAUCACAAUUUUUUUAUUUAUUUAAUUUCUCCUUAGAUCUAGAAUAAAUUUAUUAAAAUUGCAUGACUUCUCUAUCAUUUAUUUCAUAAAAACAUUCAACUACUUCUUGAACUUUUAGGUUGAAUAUAUAUUUCGUUAAUAUUUAGUAUUGUGAUUGGGUUUCUUAAUUAUUUUCAUUAUGUCAGUUGUAUUUUCCUUAUUGACUAUUAUAUUACAUAGUGUAGUUAGCUUAUUAAAAUUUAAAUGAGUCUAAAUCUCUUAAGCUGUUAUAACAUCAUAAUAGUAGUUGCUCCUCCAUUGCAUAUUAGUAGCCUCUAUAUAGAAGAGGUGCAUGUUAAGGUUUGACUUCUUAGUAUCCCUUGUUCUUGUUUUAUUUUUUGUAUUAAAUGUUAAUCAAAUUAUUGCCAAAAGUUACUCUAGAUGGCUUAUUAUUGACCACAACUAAUACCGGUAGGGAAAUACAAAAGUUUGACUAUUCUAUAGAUGGGUUCAUAAAUUUGUGUUCUCCUCAACAUGUUUGUAUUUUUCUAUCUUUUCUAAAAUAUUUGUUUAUAAUAUUAAUAAACAAGAGAUCCAACUUUCAAUAUUUUUCAAUAAUAUAUCUUCAUAUUGUUCAGUGCAAUUAGUUGCACUAAUUAGACAAAGUGGUCUUCUAUCAAGGAUAUAGAAAAAGAAUAAAAGAAAAAAAAAACAAGGCUAUCAUUCUAUAUGAGAACAAGAGUAGGAGGUAAUGAUUGUGACAACUAGGAGUAAGGGGUUAACUACUAAUAAGAUAGAAUUCUAUUUGUACUAUAACUUUAUAAUUUAAUUAUUUACUUUUAUAAUUAGAUAAAAUUUUGAUCAUAACAUAGUGAUAACAUGAUGGUUUUCAUCGUGUUUGGACCUUGAUAUUUUUUUUUUAUUGUGCAUUAUAAGACUUAUUCUUGUAUUCAAGAAUGCUUUAAGAGGUCACCAUUAAAUGUCCAUACAGAGCAACCCUAACUCAUAUAUACACUUUAUAAUAAGCAUUUAAUGCAUAUUUAUUCACUUAGAGUCUAUGAGUUUAUUAAAGAUUUAAUUUAACUGUUAAUUUAUACUAAAAAUACAAUAUUUUAUCUCAUAAAAACAAAAUUUAUUUCUUCUAUGUUGUUGAAUAAAAAAUUGAAGUACAUUUUUUUCCUUAUUUUGGGGAAAGCAUAAUAUGUUAGUUGAAAUUGUAGUUAAGGUAUUUUGUUGAUAGAGUACGAAUUUAUUUAUUUAGCUUCAACUCAUUGGUCUCCUUAAUGAAAUAUUUGUAUGUCUAGUUUUACUUUGAUGAAUUCUUUAUGAGGUCUUUUUCAAAGUAAUGCUCUAAAGGUGCAACAUAGAGAUGACAAUAGAGAGCUUUUUAUCUACAUUAGAAUAAUUUGUUAUAUUUUAUUUCGAAAACACUUCAUAAUAUAAUUUUUUUUCUUAUAAUGAAUUGAAAGGAGCACAAUCCAUGUAUCUAAGAGGCUAAUUCAUGUAAGCAAACUUGAUAACCUAAAUUAAUUUUGUGAAAGUUAUACUUUCAUUUAUGCUUAUUAUUUAUUGUAUGUAUAUAUAAUUUAGAUGUUUUCUACUCUUCCUUAUAUUUAUUUACAGGUUACAAAGGAAGUUUGCUAAAAGAAGAGAAGCCAUUAUGCUAAAGAAGGCGAAGUCAAAAACCAUGAAGAUUACAUCAGUGAACUCAUUAGGAGGUUGAACUAAGCUUUUAAAGAUUAUGGUUUAUUUUAGUAGUCUUGAUACCAAUGUUUGUUCUUAUGUUAGAAUUAGAAAUUCUUAUUGAAAUAUUUUGGUAUAAUUAAUAAGUUUAUGUGUAAUUAAUAUAUAUAGGUGGUUACAUUAACUGUUUAAACUAGGUUCAUGUAUAUCAAUAUUUGGAUAUAUUUUAAUUAAUAAAAUUUGAUUUUAUUUUAUAGGUUGUAAUUGUUUUUUAAAUUUAAUUAUAUAAGAAAUCAACUAUUUUAAUAAUGGAAUCAAAAUAUUAUUUUUUAAUAGAAAUUGUUCAAAGAUGAUGCUUUUAUAAGCGUCAUUGUUAACGUGAAACAAAGAAGACAUUUUUAAAAGUGUCAUUAAUAAAAUUAAAUCAAAGAUGGCGUUCACAUAAGUGUCAAGAAAGGUAAUUUUAUACAAAUUAUUUCAACAAAAAAUGUUCAAAGAUGACACAGGAGCAUAGAUGACGCUUCAGGGAAGCGUCAUCUUUUACCUUUCUUGACACUCAAAAAAUGUCAUUAUUUCACUUUUUUCUUGUAGUGAUUACAAAUAUAAUUAUGUAGGCCAAGUGAGAGAUUGUUAGCUUUUUUCCUAUAAUGUGUGGCCAUAUAUAAUUAUAUUUGUAUAAAUAUUAUUUAAGGCUAUCAAUUGAUAGGUAGGUGAAUAAAUUGAUUGGGCAUCCAAGAGUCUUAUGUAUGGAAGACUCAAAUUACAAAUGGGGAGUUAGAAAAUUUACUUUAUAUGAAUGUGGUGUCACAACUUUUGUAACCCCAUCAUUAUGAAAUUCAUGUUGUACAUUAUGUUUGAGUAAUGGAGGAAAAUGGAAAUGUAUAACUUAUGCAAUUAUAUAGAUGCAUUCAAGUUCAUAACCCACCAUUACCCAUUAAUUUGUACAUAAUGGGUGUAAAUAAUGAGUAUAACUCCCAUAUAGUCUUUGAUGGGAAGACUAAGAGAUGUACAACUCUUUAUAAAUUGAGGUCCCAAGCCACACUUUCAUUCUUAUGUCAUUUUUGUUGUUUAUUUUUAACAACAUACACCACACAAGUGACCCAUCCACUAUAUGAGAGUAGUGAGUUGAAGACCUUGACAAUACAAUUCACAAGGUGACUCAAUCUCACUUCAGGAUCAAGGUAAGAAUAUGAUCAUUAUUUUAGUAUUUACAUUUAUUUUGUUUUAUGCAUCUAAAAUUGUUUUUUAAAAUAAUUAUUUUCGCAUAAAGUUUGGUUAACAAGAAGAGAAAAAUAAUUGUGUCUUACACAUCAUAUUUUGCAGGGCAAUCUAUCUAGAGUAGCAGUAGCAGUGAAAAGAUGAAUUUAGCACAGGGUGUUCAAGAGUUCAAGAAUGAAGUUGUUUUGAUUGCGAAACUUCAGCACAAGAAUCUUGUCAGGCUUUUGGGUUGCUGCAUUCAAGGAGAAGAAAGAAUAUUACUCUAUGAAUAUAUGCCUAACAAAAGCUUGGAUUAUUUUAUUUUUGGUUUGACCUUCUUAUCCCUAUCUGUUAGGAUUAGUUUCACUUUUUGAUCACCCAUAUUAUGCUCAGUCGUGUUCAAUUCAAUUCACACAUCUAAGUAAUUAAUUAGGCCUAAUAAAAAAAUUUAUAAAGGCGGAUGUAUUGUGCAGAUCAAAACAGAAGAGCAUCAUUGGCAUGGGAUAAGUGCUGCAAGAUUGUUAUGGGGGUAGCACAAGGGCUUCUCUACCUCCAUCAAGACUCUAGAUUUCAAAUUAUUCACAGGGAUCUCAAGACAAGCAAUAUUUUACUGGAUGACAAUCUCAAUCCUAAAAUUUCAGACUUUGGCUUGGCAAGAAUUUUUGGAGAGAAUGAAAUGGAAAUGAGAACAAAGAGAAUUUUUGGGACUUAGUGAGUUAUAAACCUUUAUAAUCUUAUAAAAUGGAAUUUAUCCCUUCAAAUAACUUAUACUUGAAAAUGUUAGUGCAGUGGCUAUAUGUCCCCGGAGUAUGUGAUUGAUAGGCAUUUUUCUAUCAAAUUGGAUGUCUUUUAGCUUUGGUGUUCUUUUACUAGAGAUUGUGAGUGGUAAAAAGAACAGGGGGUUCUCUCAUCCAGAUCACCAUCAUAACCUUCUGGGACAUGUAAGUAGAAAGAAUGCAAUGGUGUUUACUCUCUCUCUCUCUCUCAAUUUGUCUCUACUCUCUAGCUUUUUCUGUCUUUUUUGAAAGAAAAUAAAUAUGAUUUUUGCUCUAGGCAUGGCUGCUGUGGGAACAAAACAAGGCCUUGGAAUUAAUGGAUGCAUGUUUGGAAGAUUCAUGUGUUGCAUCGCAAGUAUUACGAUGCAUACAAGUAGGUUUACUAUGUGUUCAAAACCGUUCAGUAGACAGACCAGCAAUGUCAUCAGUGAUUUUCAUGUUGGGCAAUGAGGGAGCAACAUUGCCUCAAGCUAAACAUCUUGGUUUCUUCACGGAAAGAAGUUCAGUGGAUACAGAUACAAUGUCAGGAAAGAUAGAGUUACAUUCAGAAAAUGAAGUAACCAUCUCAAAGCUAAAAGGUAGAUGAAGAAUUCAAACAUCCGCUAAGUGAAAUAGUUAUGCAGGUGCCAGCUUCUCUUGAUAAAACGGCUUGCAAAGGCUCCUCCGUUGCAGCUCAGGGCACUGUAAUAUGCAACUUAAGACUCACUAGUAGAAUUUCUAAAUUCAGAUUCCCUCUGGAUCAGGUUGGUAGUAAGCAGAAGAACAUGUAUUCUACAGUCACUUUAUUAGCUACUGUCUUUUUUUUUUUUCUCCUCAGGAUGCAUGGGGCUUGUAUGGUUGGUGAAGUGUAUGCCAAACUAUAAUUUGGUUCCAACCAUUUGCUUUCAAUUAUCUUGAUAAUUUUUGAAGUUCUAAAAUCAAUUAGGUAGUACACAGUGGGAGCGCCAUAAUGACACCCCUCUAACUUUAUGAGAGGGAGAACUGGGGAAAUAUUUGGUCCUUAUAUAACAAUUUAAGCAUGUUUCACCAAAGCCCAAGCCAAUCUGAAGGCUAGGUUGCUACUUGUGUUGCAAGGUAUUUGAGGCUAGGUUUGGGCCAAGCUUCCACUUGUUGUAGAAGCUCCAUAGGGGCUACAGCCGAACACCCAUUAAAAGCCCAAACCAAUUGAGCCUAGAGGAUGAGUACCAAAGCCCAAUGCAAUCUCAAGGCAAGGUGUUUGUACCUUUGAUCCACUGAGCUUUAAAAGCAAAGGUGAGGCCAUUGAGCUAUAUGUCAUGCUACAGUAAUAGCUUUGUAAAAUUAAAUACAUAGCAAGAUUAAUGGUUUUUCUUCAAAAAUUUUUUAUGUAAAUAUUAACUAAUCAUACUAGACAGUGGCAAAGAGCUUUCAAUUUUUUUGAAAGAUAUUAUCAUGGUUUGAAAUAUCGAUAAAUAUAGAUAUAUCAGUACUUAAAUUUUAAGGAUAUAUUGGAAAUAUUAGUGGAUAUUUUGACAAAAAUAUCGAUAAGAUGAAAAUUAUUCAAAAUUCAUAAAAAUAUUUAGAAAAACUUAAAAAAAAUGAUAAAAUAAAUAAAAAUACACAUAUUAAAGUUAUUUUUUAUAAUUGACAUAGAUAUGAUCAAAUAGAAAAAUAUCAAUUAAGAUAAAUCGAUAUUAAUAAUUUAUUGUUUAUCUAAUCAAAUUAAUUUUAAUUUGUAAAAUUUUAGAACUUCAUUAUUAUUAUUUUUUAUUUUAGUAUUUUUUGAAUAAAUUUAUAUUUUUAAUAUUUUAAAAUAAAAGCAUUCAAAUUAAAAUAAUAAAUAUAAAAAAUUUAAAAGUGAAGUGAUAAUAAUUUUUUAAAAUAGGAUUAAUGAAAUAAAUGAUUAUACAUUUAAUAUUAAAACUAUAAUUUAUUUAUUUCAAAUACAUUCGAUAAUAUAAAAUAAAUGACACAAUGCAUAUAUGAUUUUUUAAUAUUUAUAUUUUUUAUAUUUAAUUAUCAUAUAAAUGAUAUUAAAAAAUUGUUAAAAAAAUUAUAAUAAUGGUUUCAAUACAUUUAUUAAUUAAAUAAAUAAAUUUUAAAGUAAAAUAAAUAAAAUUAAUUAAUUAAUUUUUUAAUAAUGAAGUUUAACUAAUUUACUACCAACAUAUAUUAAUUGGUGUGAAAUUAGCUUAGUGGUAAUUUUGAAAGGGGGCAACAGCAGUGACAGGCAGAAACAUGAUUGGGCAGCAGCAGCCAAUAUAAUUAAAGGGUUGACCGAAGUUGACCACGGAAAAUAUCGGAAAAUUUCCCAAAAAAAUGAGCAAAAUUUGAGAGGGGUACAAGCAAGUACCUAAAUUCUUUUCAUGUUAGUCCUAAGCAUUUAUCGACAUUUUUGCCGAUUUUUUAAGAAAUUUCCCGAUAUUUUUUAUGGUCAACUCGAUCAACCCUUCAAUUACAUUGGCUGCUGAUGUGCAAUCACGUUGUUGCUUUAUGGAGAUGAAUGUAUAUCAAAUUAAUAGAGACAAACUAGACAUCAAAAUCGGUAUGCCAAGCAACCAUUGAGAUGCUAACUACUUCUAGGCCCUAUGAGGCAAACUCAAUUCAGAUAUUUUGCUCUUGCAACAUUUUUUUCCAAUUAAUUGAGGGAGCAUUAAAGAAGACACUACAAUUUUACAUCUUAGUAACUUGUUUUUCAUUGGAAUUAGAAAAUUCCAAGUUACCCUAUUCAGACAGUUCUUCCAAUUGAAAUGAUUGAGCCCUUAAACCUUGCAUAACACUCUACUCCGUUAGACUUUAACUGAAAGCCAAGUGUAUUCGAAGACUGCGACCUGAUCCACUUGAUGCUGUGUCAUGGUUCUAUUAACUAGCUGGUCAUGCUUGCGAGGAGCUAUCUCACAAAUACCAAGAAAAAUCUACAUUAGCAACUAUUUAAUUUUAAUUUUUUUUCCUAUGUCUAUAAGCAGAUAGCAUAGAGUCAACUAUUUAAUUUGGAAAAAUGGAAUCUGAAGCUACCCAGAAGCUAACCAGAAAAGACAUGUCUUUAUUGUUCUUUUAAAUAUCAAUUUUGCUUUGGGCAUGACCUAGGUUGGGGUACAAGGCUUAGAAAAGUCAUGGAAAGAGAUGUAUAUAGAAGGGAAUCUUAAUAUAUAAAAGUGGUAGAUCAUGUUCAUUCAUUGGCAUGAAAAGGACCAGGGUCGACUUCUUAGUGGUUCCUACCUACUAAGCGUGGAAAUUAGUGACGGCAAUUGUGGUUUCUUCUCCUGCCUAGGGAAGGUAAGACCAUUGCACUUGACUAUGAUCAUCUACCUCAUGUUCGUUUGAUGAUAAUGAUAACAAAGGUGGACAACUGUUUUAUCAGAUUGGAAGUAUAGAAUUCCAAGAAUAUUGAACAAAAAUCAAGCGAAAAGGAAAGAGAAGAUCAACAGAUGGAUUAUUACUCAGAAAUGAAACUAAAGGUGAAUCCUCCCAGACAACCAUACAGAAAUAGGUGAUGGGUGCUGCAGUCCCUGUUUCAAGGCAGCUGUAUCUCAUAUAGACAAUCAAUCUGUACAAAAAUUAAUGUUUUAUUGUUUAAGAGACUUUAAUUUUGUUCAAAUCUCUCACCAGUCUUAUGGUGUAUAAUCCUGUGAAAUUAUCACUGAAAAAAGUACUACCCACCAGAGUAUAAUAGUCAUUCGAUCUUAGACUAAGUAACAGAUGAUUCACAUAGGCUCAUUCCUUAGGACUAACAUGGAAAGAAUUUUCAGGUGAAUGGAGAUGAAUGUUUAUCAAAUUAACAGUGACAAACCAAACAUCAAGAUUGGCAUGCCAAGCAACCAUCGAGAUGCUAGCUACUUCCAGGCCCUAUGACACAAACUUAUUUCAGAUGGUAUGAUCUUCUGUAGCUUGUUUUUCAUUGGAAUUGGAAAAUUCCAAGUCACCCUGUUGAGGCAAUUCUUUCAAUUCAAAUGCGUUAACCCUUAAACCUACCCUGUUGGACUUAGACUGAAAGCCUGACCAAGUCAAAAACUGAAACCUUAUCCUCUUGAUGUUGCGUCUUGGACAAAUUCCAGGAAAAACCUACAUUAGAGAAAUUUUAGUAUUUUUUUAAACUUGUGUAUAGAAGUCUUCCUUUCAUCUGUGAGAAACGUCAAUGGAGACCCAUCUUUUCUUUGCCUUCUUUUGUGCCUGGAUUUGUCUAUCAAUUCCCUUGGAGUCCUGUAUUGCAGUUGAUUCCAUAAGGAUGGACCAAUCCAUAAGCGAUGGUGAGACUUUAGUUUCCUCAGGUCAAAGCUUCGAACUAGGCUUCUUCUCUCCCGGAAGCUCCAAAAACAGGUACUUAGGAAUAUGGUACAAGAAUACAACCCAGACAGUUGUAUGGGUUGCCAAUAGAAACAACCCGAUUGUAGAUUCUUAUGGAGUUUUAACCAUCUUCAACAAUGGCGCACUUGUUCUUCUUAAUCAAACAAAGAGUGUAAUCUAGUCUCUCAAUUUGUCAAAGGUACCAGAAAAUCCAAUUGCAUAGCUCACGAUCCAGAGUCAUUCUUCUUAUUUAUGACCCAGAGUCAUUCUUAGCAUUUAGAGCCCUGAGCGCAUGACCUAGAGUCGUUCUUCUUAUUUAUGACCCUGAGUAAUUCUUAGCAUUUAGAGCCCUAAACUCACGAUCUAGAGUCGUUCUUCUUAUUUAUGACCUAAAGUCAUUCUUAGCAUUUAGAGCCCUAAGCUUACGAUCCAAAGCCAUUUUCACCCUUUAGGCGUUCAGAGUCACCACUUUCUUUCAAGGGUGUUUAGAAUCGUAGGCCUUCAGAUCCAUUCCUCACUUAGACAUUCAGAGCCAUCUCUUUUAGUUUUAGGCAUUUAGAGCCAUUUCUCUUCCAGUUUUAGGCAUUCAGAGCCAUAUUUUCUAGUUUACGUGUUCAGAGCCACCUUCCUCAAUCAGGCGUUCAGUGCCACCUUGCUUAAUUAGGCGUUCAAUGCCACAUUGCUUAGUUUUUUUAGUGUUCAGAGCCAUCACUUUCUCUCAUAGGCUUUCAGAUCCACCUUGCUUAGUUUAAGCAUUCAAAGCCAUUUUUCUUACUUAAGCGUUCAGAGUCAUCUCUUCCAAUUUUAGGCAUUCAGAGCCAUAAUUUAGUUGUUCAAAAUCGUUCGUCUCAGUCUAGGCAUCUAGAGCCACAUUCUGGGCGUUCAGAGUUGUGAUGUUCCAGAGUUUGUCCUCCUCUAUUGUGUGUGAUAUAGCCCUUUGAGCUUAUAGCUUAUGUUUUGAUUGUAUCAUUGGUGCCCUUCACUUUGCGCUCUUGUAUGGUGCAUGUAUAUUUUUCCUUCUAUAUAUGUUCAUUCCUAUGUUCCUAGGUGGUUCGAAUGCCACUCAACUUUGACAUUAAUUUUCGAGUCACUUUUGGAGACAUCUUAGAGGGAGUCUGGAUCCAUAGUGCAGCUUUAGUUUUUAGGAUUUUAGAGCCCUUUUUGUUCAUUUGUGGGUUUGAGCCAGUUUGUGGUCUACUUGUGUACCUUUAGGGGGUUUUUUUUUCUUUGGUAGUGUGGACCCGCAUCUUUCACGUGCGCCCCCACUCGAUCGGCGAGACUCGCUUUUUAUUCGUGAAAAAUAACUUUUGGAAAAGUCGGAGUCGCCACUUAUUUUAUUUUUAUUUUAAAGGGAAAAUAAAACAAGAAAGAAAAACCCUAAAAUGUGACUCCAUAAUUUUUGGAAAAAGCAUGUCUUUGAAAAACCCGAGUCUAAGUCCGGGGAUCAGAUUACCUAUUGGGAAGGUACCUUUAAAAGGUAGCACCCCUCUAAGCCCUAUAAAGGUCUCUACUAACUAAGUUAAGGGGAAUGUGGCAAUUAACCGGUUAAUUAUGGAUACCUAAGUAGGCUAGAUGGUUCCAAAAAAUAGCAUGCCAAACAAGAUCAAAUCAUAAUAAAGGAAGGUUAGGAUGCGUACCUGGACCGCUUCUCAAGUGCUAUCAUAAAACAUCAAUGGUUAAUUUAAACAAUAUAUCAUCCAGCAUGUAUUUUAUUAGAAAUAAUCAAACAAUGAAACAUGUAUAUCAGAACACUCAAGCAUUAUUAGACAUAAGCAUUAUUUCACAAUGACAAGCAUAUUCACAGAAUUCAGAAAGUAGGUGAUAGAGGACAUACCUAGAUAGCAUAGAUAAUUUGUAACGUGCUUCCUCAAGUUGUAAGGGGUUAGAUAAAUAAUAAAAUAUAGAAAUCCUAGCAUGCUCGUUGUCUAAUUAGCAUAGUAGAAGUGAUCAAAGUAUACAAAAUCAUCAAUUAUCACAUACAUCUUGUAUAUAAUUCCUAAAAAAAAUAGAUAUGAUUUCAAUAAAUGGCAAGGGUGACAGUAAAGAUGAGUUUUAAAAAGAUGAUUUUAUGUAGGGGUUUCACCAAUUCCCCAAUUGAUAUACACAAAUAUAGCUUGGAAUUAAAUGUUAUCACUUUCAUAAAAAUAAAAAAUAAAAAAUAAAAAAUAAAAAAUAAAAAUUCAUGAGUAUUAAAAAAACAUUUUUUUGAUAGUUUUAAUGAAUUGUAUUUAUAAAAUAAAGUUUUGAUUUACUUAAAUAAGAAGGCUUUAAUUUCAUGCAAAGAAAAUAUUUUUUAAAAAAGUUUGUUCACAAGAAAAUAAAUGUUAUCACUUUUAUAAAGGAAAUGUUUCAUAAGUAUUAAUAAUAACAAUGAUAAUAAUAAUAAUCGAUUCCAUAGUUUUAAUGAAUUUUAUUUAUAAAAAGAAGCUUUAAUUUAUUAAAUAAAAAUACUUUAAUUCCAUGCAAAGAAAAUGUUUUUAAAAAGUUCAUUCACAAGAAAAUAAAUGUAAUCAUCACUUUUAUAAAGGAAAUAUUUCAUAAGUAUUAAUAAUAAUAAUAAUAAUAAUAAUGAUAAUUGAUUCCAUAGUUUUAAAAAAAGUUUUAAUUUAUUUAAAUAAAAAGACUUUAAUUCCAUGCAAGAAAAUAAAUGUAAUUAUCACUUUUAUCAAGGAAAUAUUUCAUGAGUAUAAUAAUAAUAGUAGUAAUAAUUGAGUCCAUAGUUUUAAUUAAUCUUAUAAAAGGAAGUUUCAAUUUACUUAAAUAAAAAAAGCUUUAAUUCCAUGCAAAGAAAAUGUUUUUUUAAAAGAAAGUUUAUUCACAAGAAAAUAAAUGUUAUCACUUUUAUAAAGGAAAUAUUUUAUGAGUAUUAAUAAUAACAAUAAUAAUAAUAAUAAUUGAUUCCAUAGUUUUAAUGAAUUUUAUAGAAGGAAGCUUCAAUUUAUUUAAAAAAAGACUUUAAUUCCAUGUGAAGAAAAUGCUUUCAAAAAAAUUCAUUUACAAAAAAAAGAGAAAGAAAAUUAAUUAAUUAAUAAUGGUAAUAAUAAUAAAACCUUAUAAAAAAUAUAUUUGAUGAUUUAAAAAUAUUUUUUUUUUAUGUAAGAAUAUCUUUUAUAAUUUAAAUUUUCCUUUAAUAAUUUUUUUUAACUUUAUUUUAUUUACAAGAGGAUGAUUUCCACAACUCUUUAUUUAGAAAGCACAAAAUUUUUUUUUAUUAUUUUUUUAAAACAUAAUAAAUUUUUUUUAAAUAAGAUAAACAAUUAUUUUAUAUUUUAAUCCAAGAGAACAAAAAAAAUGUUUAAAAUAAUUUAAAUAUUACAACUUUUUAUUUUUUAUUUUUGAACAAAGCUAUCAUAAAAAUUAUCAAAACACUUAAAAAUUCAAACUUUUUCAUCAUCAUAAGGAAUUAUCCCAAAACUAAAAAUUAAGCACAAUAUAAAUUUUCAUUAAUAUCCAAAUUAUUGAAAACUAAAAAAAACUUGCAAAAUAUUUCAACUUUUCAUUAACAUCACAAAAUUAUCCAAAACGAAUAAAACAUCUAAUUUUUAAAUUAUCAUCCCGAAUCAUCCAAGACAAAUGCCUACAAAAAGUAACAUGAGAUUAGCAAUAAUAAUAAUUAUAACUAAAAUAAAAUAAACAAAAUAAAUUCAAAAAACCAAAAAAAACUAAAAAUCCUAACUUGAUUUAUAUUUUAUUCAAACAAUCAUUAACACAUCUCAUAUAAAUACAUUAAAUCCAACAAAACACUCACCGAAAGACAUUAAAUCCUAUUAUAACCGUCCAUGAUUUCAUUCCCUUUUUUUUAACAAAUAAAUAAAAACAUGCCAAUAGCAUCAUUUACAUCAGGACUGACCAUAUAUUCACAUUCGUUUGCAUUUUAAAUCCAACAAAACGAAGUCAAAGAACACUAACCUUGCUUGCAGCUACCCUCUUUCACGAUUGUGUCACUUUUUCUUCUCAGUCUAGUUAUGUCUGCUUCUUCGAUCUGGCUCUUGUGUUCCUUCACCACAAAGAGUCCCCAAAUCAGCCUAUGCGUCCUUUAGAAGUUCCACCCGGAAAUGUGAUCUCCAUGUCUACAAUUUUCUUCUGAAUCUCAUUAAAAAAAAUCCACCAAAAUUCUUCCAGAACUCUUUUUUUUCUUUCUUCUCCCUCAGACGUCUCCCUCUAUUUUCAAGCUCUCCUCUCCAAAAAAUCCUCCUCUCUCUCCUCAAAUGUCUUUCUCAUAUUCCCCAAAAAAAAAACCUAAAUCCCCUUCAUCACGCCUCUUCUCCCUUUUUUGCAUGUGAGUUGACUUUUCUUUCCUUCUAUGAAUUCCCCCUGCUCUCUUUCUUGCAAAAUACAGUCUGUCUAUUCAAUAUGCCACCUCAAUUCUUCCUAAAAUAUAUCAUCUCUUUUCCUUUUCUGUUUAAAAUAUGCUUUAACCCAAAACACUACUGAAUCCUCCUUCCAUCAUCACAUGAUUCUUUUUCCAAAAGACAAAUUACAUUACCUUCUUUGCUGCUCAUCAUUUCUUUUUUCAUACAUAAGCUGAAUCUUCCCCAUAACAUGGCUCCAUUCAUUUUUUCCAUAUGUCUACUCUUGGAACCAAUAUGGUAGCUACCCACUCCAAGCUUCACAUCAUAGGCACUUUCUUAUCUUUCUAUUGGUGGACUUCCUACAAAAUUUCAAAGUUAAUAAAGUAAUAGUAAUAAUAAUAAUAAUAAUGAAAACGUUUAAACAAAAUUAUUAAAUUAAACUAAAUAAGUAAAGACAAGUAUUAUGGAAAAGUGAUAAAAUAAUAGGAAAAUAAAAUAAAUGAAGAAAUAUACAAAAUAAUAAAUAAAAUAAAAUAAACAAAAAUAUAAAGGUAAAAAAAAAGUCAAGCAAUGUGAUUUUACAAAAACGAGUCUUGCAAGUCAUACAAGCCAUGCAACCACGCAAGCCAUGCCCAUGCAAAAAAUGAUCUAAAUGGGCCUAAGGUGCCUAAAUGGGCCUAGAAUGCCUAAAUUGGCCUAAGGUGCCUAAAUGGGCCUAAGGUGCCUAAAUGGGCCUAGGGUGCCUAAAUGGGCCUAAGGUGCCUAAAUGGGCCUAUGGUGCCUAAAUUGACUUAAGGUGCCUAAGUGGGCCUAAAGUGCCUAAAUCGUCCUAGGGUGCCUAAGUGGACUUAGGGUGGUGCUUAAGUAGGUCUAAGGUGCCUAGGGUGUAUCUAAGUGAACCUAAAGUGCCUAAGUGGGCUUAGGGUGACGCCAAAUGGGCUAGGUGCGUCUAAUGGGCUUAGGGUGUACUAAGUGGGCCUAGGGUGCCUAAAUGGGCCUAAAGUGAUCUAAGUGGGCCUAAAGCGUCUAAAUGGGCCUAGGGUUACCUAAAUGGGCCUAGGGUGCCUAAGUGGGCCUAAUGUCACAGGAUGCUUCAAAUGACCCUCCCCAUGGGCUUAUAUAGGCGGAGGGAAGCUUCUGGAGACUCCUGGAGCCAUCUACACUAAGCCAUUGGUGGGAAGAGUGUGGAAGGUUCUAGAAAUGCCUAGAGAUGUCCACACAUCUCUACACUAUGGUGGAAGGCAUGAGAGGAGUCCAAGGCUUUCUAGAGACUUCUAGGAAUCUCUUGUAUAUUCUUGUACAUAGGGAUGUACAUAGAAUAGGGUAGGAUGUUCUAGAAUAUUCUUGAUUUGUAAGGGAACCCUCCAAGGUUCUAGAGAGUUCCCUUGGUGCUUAUAAAUAGGUGAGGGCCUCAUUUGGCCAAGGCACCACCCAAAUCACUUCCUAAUCAAGCAAGUGAGCAUCCAAGCACUUGUAAAGGCUUCUUGAGUUAAUAGAGCUUCCAUUCUUUCAAGAGUUGCCUACCAAGCUUCUUAAGCUUUUGAGUCGCAAGUGUCUUAGCCGAGCAAGCUAAGCAUUGGGGAGCAAGGCUGACUUAGCAAGAUCAAGCGUCUUGGCUUGUCUAAGUGCCGCACGAGCUUAGUGAACGACUAAGUCCGUGACACUAAGGUGCCUAAAAGCUAUCCUAAAAAAAACAAGAAAAGCCUAAGUCUAAGUUAGGGCUGCCAAGGGUCACAAUAAGAGGUCAGAUAAUCCCUCAACCAAAGUCUCCGAGGUGACUUAAAAAAGAUAGGCUACACGAGUAUUAAUGGGCCACCAGGGAAUUGCUAUAAACGACAUGUGCGAGGAAGACAAAAUGGAGGGUCUACAGGUAGAGUUCACUUCAUUCCACUCACUAUUCACACUUUCUUUUCACUCUAGUGUUCAUAUUCCUUACACUUGUGAACUCUACCGAAGAGGGGCAUAUUUGUAAACCCCUCUUGGACUAGGGGAUUUUUUUCUCACUCAGAGGAGCUAGUUGAACAUUUCAUUUGGAGUGGGGGACGACUUCCAGGUGAGUUGCAUGCAUAAGAUGUGUGGCAAGGAUGUGACCACCUUGCCAUGGUGGUGGUUGAAGUAGUAGAGUUGGUGGUGAAGUCUUCGCUGAACCAGGAGCAGUGAGAGUGGGUAGAGGCUUGGACUGGAAGCUAAAGAAAUAAGGGGAAGAAAACUAGCUCAAGGGGGGACAGGAAAAGGAGGACAGAGAGUUGGGAACCUGGGAGAGUUUAAAAUAGAGAGUUGGGUACCUGAGAGAGAAAAAACGAGAGGGUGAGUGAGGAAGAAGAAAAAUUUUCAGCAGUGGAGUUUUCAGAGGAAUGAGCUAGGCAUAGGGGGACGGGGAUUGAGAGAGAACAAAUUUUUUUAAAAUGGGACGUUUUGAGAGAAAAACAAGGGAGCUUUUUGGCAACCCCUCCACCAGCAACUCCAUCAUUGGCUACUCCGCCACCAGCAACCCCUCCAUUGGCUCCUCUUGCCUCUCCAUAGUAGCGAUUCCAACGUAAGCUCCAAGCACGAAGGUGAAAUCUUUGGCCUUGGCUCCAUCGCCACUUACGAACAGUCCACUGGCACCACCAGUGGAGGCGUCUGGACUGAUCUCAGGCGGAAACUCACCAGGCCAGAUGCGAACGAUGUGAAUGGAGUGGAAAGGUUAUGGUUGAUGAAGAAGGUGGUCGAGAGCUUGGCAUUUGGACUAGCAUUGAGCUUGAUGAUUUGAAAGAGAAAAAACAUCGAGAGAAAGAGAGAGAAGUCUUCCAAGUGAGAGAUUUUCUCUUCUUAUAUCUACUUCUAGAUGUUAGUUUUUCUGCUAAAAAUUCAUAAUGGGUAAGAGGAAGGUUCACGUCAACAUUGUCGUCAUUGGCCAUGUCGACCAUGGCAAGUUGACCACCACUGGUAAUUUGAUUUACAAGCUUGGAGGUAUUGACAAACGUGUUAUUGAGUUGUUUGAAAAAAAAGCCGCUGAAAUGAAUAAAAGAUCAUUCACGUAUGCUUGGGUCUUAGAUAAGCUCAAGGCUAAGCGUGAACAUGGAAUUACCAUUGAUAUUGCUUUCUGGAAGUUUGGGACCACAAAGUACUACUGCACUGUUAUUGAGGCUCAUGGUCAUUGGGAUUUCAUCAAGAACAUGGUUACUAGCAGCUCACAGGUAGGCUGUCUUGUUCUCAUUAUUAAUUCCACCACUGGUUGAGCAUGCACUACUUGCUUCCAUCCUUGGUGUGAAGCACAUGAUUUGCUGUUGUAACAAGAUGGAUGCCACACAUCCUCUUAAUCCUUCAUCUCUUGGUGUCAAAAAAAAAAUAUAUAUAUAUAUAUAUAUAUAUAUAUAUAUAUAUAUAUAUAUUAAAAAAAAUCCAUUUUCAAGUAAUUUUUCGAAAUUUCCUUUUAUAAAAUUUAAUUUGUAAAAAUUCCAUUUUCAAAAUCCCACUUUUCAAAUUUAAUUUACUAAACUUAAUUUUUUCCAAACAACUUUUCAAAAUCCCAAUUUUCAAAUUUAAUUUUCAAAACUUUCAUUUUCGAAUAAUUCUUCAAAAUUCCAAUUUUGAAAUUUAAUUUUCAAAACUUCCAUUUUCAAAUAAUUUUCCAAAAUUCCAAUUUUCAAAUAUUUUUCCAAAAUUCCAAUUUUCAAAUAAUUUUUCAAAAUUGCAAUUUUCAAAACUUCCAUUUUCAUUUUUUUUUAAAUUCCAAUUUUUAAAUUUAAUUUUUAAGAUUUCAAUUUUCAAAUAAUUUUCAAAAAUCUAGUUUUCUUUCAAAUAAUUUUAAUUCCACUCCAGUUUUCAAAUAUUUUUAAUUCUAUAACUUUUCAUCCUUUAUUAGGGUUUUAGGUAAAAAAAAAAAAUCUUGUUUUUUAAUAAACUUGCUAUCUUUCCCUUCAGGUAAGCACUUUCACAAAUUUUCUUUGAUUUUCAAAUAAUCUUUUGUUUCUCUUGAUUUUAAAUAAGUAUGAAUAUGAUUUCCAUAAUUCCAAAACAAUGGAAUUUGUGGGAUUAAUUCAUGCAAAAUCAAUUGGGCUUUGGUGAGGGCCCUAUAUAUGAGUUUUCUCUACUGAUUGUCAACUGUUAUACUUAAUGAAUAUUGUUUGAUCUUUGUCUUGCUCUUUGAUAUGCAUGUGAUGAUUUUAUACUUUAGCUAACCUUGUUUCCAUGAUAACAUACUAUUACUUGUUGCUAAGGUACGAUUUCACUCCCACUUUGCUUAUUCUUACGCAUGAUUUGUUUUAUUAUCUGAUCAUUCCAUUGAUUUCCUAAUGAAUUGUCAUGUUUACUUCACCUUAUUUAGUAUAAACCCAUUUUUUAGGGCUUAGAGGGGUGUUGCGGUCUUUACCGUACCUUCCCAAUAAGUAACCUGAUCCCCGAACCCAGGUUUGGUUUUUCACAUACCGUUUUUUCCAAAUAAGGAGUUACACUUAGGGUUUUCUUUUUUUAUUUUGUUUUCCAUUUAAAAAUAAAACAAAAAUAAGUGGCGACUCCAAGUCUUUUUCAAAAAAUCAAAUUUUCACCAAAUAAAUAAAAAAACGAGUUUCACUAUCGAGUGGGAACGCAUCAAGCGAAAUGCGGGGUCCACACAUACAUACUUUAGCAAAUAAAAUUAUUUUCUUUUCUCUUUGAAGCUAGAAUAAAUUCAUAAAUAAUCAAAUCAAUUGGUUCAAUGAAUGAAAUGAUAAUUCCUUUCCCUUCAUUUAAAAUAAGCUUGUAGUUUAAAUUAAAAAAACAAAACAAAAAAAAAAAACUAUUUUAACUAGCCAAAAUUAUUAUUAUUAGAGCUAUCACUAUCACACUUAUCGCCUUUUCUUUAUUUUAUUUUAUUUUUUUAUUUUAAUUAAAAUUGACAUGUUUAAUUAAGAUAUGUGCCCUUGGUUCUUCAAUUUUCUAAAUAAACUUCAACAAAAAGAUUGAUUCAUUUGAAAAUUUUACUCAAUAGAUUUGCUAAUAAAAUGAUGGUAUCACCAUUUUCAAUUAAAUUGAUUUAAAUUAUUGCUUGGGUUAAAAUGAAUCUGACCAAUUCCAAAAUUAACUUGACAAUUAUUCCAAAAUUUUUUUUGUUGUUGUUGUUUUAUUUUUUAUUUAUUUUAUUUUUUAAAAUCAAAGGUAACAUAUUAUCUUAUUUGAUUAAGUAGUUUCGAGAUAAAUUUUCAACUUAUGAGUAUUUUUCGAGAAAAUGAUCUUUUUCAAUUAUUUGAGAAGGAUCAACUUUAAAGAAUUUUCUUUUUAUUACUUCAUAAAUAUUUUUCCCAUUCAAAUAGCUUUCAAAUCAAGAUUGUUUUGACUUCAAUUAAAACAAUUAAUCUACUUAGUACUCUUGCCCUUAAGUAUCCCAAAACUCAUUUAAUAUUUCAAAUAAAUAAUAACAUGAUUAUUUUGCAAUCCAAAUAUAAGCAAUCAAUUAAAUUAAUGGAGACAUCAUAUCCCUUCACCAAGCAUUCCCUUAAUUCUAUUGGUUCAACAACAAUGUCUAAGUUGUUGAAAUCAUAAUUCGACUUAAAGUCAAAUUAGAAUAAGUUUAGGAAUUGGAUAAAUAUUAGGAAUUGUAAUUUAUUUAGCCUUCCUAUGUUAAUUAGGACUUUUAGUCUAAUAGGAAUUGAAGUUUUAUUACAAGUAUGAUUAGUUUAUUAUAAAUAGGCUUGUUAUUAUGUUGAAAAUUAGAAUGCAAUAAAUUUAUUUUUUUAGUAAAGUAUUAUCAAUACCCAAUUGUGUGGGUUUCAACAAUUGGUAUCAAAGCCAGAAGAUCAGACAAGGUGAAAUGCCAUAUCAGAGCUAGAAUACCAAGGAAUGUGCAUAAUUACAAGAAAGUUCCAAUCUUGUUGAUGAAAUUAUAGCUACGAAUAAUAACUCAAUUCAUCUUCAACUCCUAAAAUCCACAGGUAAAAUUUUUUACUAUUGGUGUAUUCAAAUGCAUGUCUUAUUUAGAUUUCAAGAUUUAUGGGAUCUAGUGAAUAUUAGUUACAAUGAAGUGACGGAUUCAAAAGAAGUCGAGGCACUAUCAAAGGAGCAGAAAAAUUAUUUGAAAGAUUCUUGAAAGAAAGAUCAAAAAGCACUUUAUGCCAAUAUUCCAAGUAGUGGAUGAAUCCAUAUUUGAGAAGAUCUUAGAGACGGAAACAAAAAAAGAGGCAUGUGUUACUUUACAAAAGUUAUACAAAUGUGAUGAACAUGUCAAGCGAAUGAAGUUGCAAACAUUAAGAGGUGACUUUGAGUCUCUUCGCAUGAAUGACUCUGAAUUUAUCUCAGAUUAUUUUGAUCGGGUACAAACUAUUGUUAACCAGGUGCGGGUUAAUGGUGAGAAGCUUGAUGAUCAACGAAUAGUAGAGAAAAUUAUGCACUUUUUUAAGUGCAAGAUUCGACUAUGUUGUUGUUGCAAUUGAAGAAGAAAAGAAUAUUUUCACUCUCACUGUUGAAGGGUUGAUGAGUUCAUUGUGUUCACAUGAACAACGAAUGAAUUACAAAAUCAACUCUACAAAUUUAGAGCAAGCCUUGUAGAGUAUAGCAUAUACUGGAGGUCAUGGUGGCCAACUAGGUGACUGAGGCCGUGGUCGUGGCAGAGGUAGAGGAGGAUAUAACAACUUCAACAAUAAAUAUGGAGAUGGUGAUACAAAUUCUUCUAAAGGAAUGGGAAGCACUUUUAAACCUAAAGUUAAGUCACACAUACAAUGUUUUAGGUGCAAAAAGUAUGGACAUUAUAAGUCAGAAUGUCAAACAAAAUUGUAAAAUGAAAUAGAUGAGCAUGUAAACAUCGUCGAGGUAGAAUAGAAUUUGGUGUUGGCUUGCAAUGUGGCAACCAGGGAUUGAAAAAUCGGAAAAUGUCGCCGAUAUUUCGAAGAAAUAUCGGAUAUCGGACGGCGUCGAAACGAUAAUCGUCACCGAUUAUCGAUCAACGGAAAAAUCGACAAAAAAUCGGCAAAAUCGCCGAUAUAUCGGCGAAAUAUCGGCGAAAUACCGAUUUAUCGGGAAAUUUCCCGAUAUUUUCCUACCAGUCCAGCCCGCGCACAGGAUACAAAAUCUGGCUCAAAAAUCGUGGAUUUAGGGUUCGUGAAAUUUAAAUCCAAUGGCACAACAACAAAGAGACCCUUAAAACAGAUCCAGAAAACACAGGGAGCAAAAGAAAAGCAAAUUUUUUGGUUUUCUUUGGGGGUUUUGAAUGGAUGGAUUUUCUCGGAAAUCAAACGAGAAUGAAUUUUCCCGGAAAUCAAAUGGGGGAUGGAUUUUCUUGGGAAUCAAACGGGGGUUGCAAAAAAAAUAAUAUGAACGUGAUUAGAUUAGUACCUGCGAGGAUUGAGAGUGGCAGAGGAAGAUAGGUCUUUUUAGGAAGAGGAACUCUUGGCUGGAGGGCAGCUUCAGAAAAGGGGAAAGGGGAAUUCUCUCGGCUGGAGGGCAACUUCAGACGUGGGUGGCCCUUUUAAUUUUUAGAUUUAGUAGAGGUAAAAAAAAAAAAAAAAAAAAAUCAUGAGAGCAAUUUUCCUCUACCCAUAUAAAUAAUUAUAAAUUAUUGAAUUUUAUUUUGAUUAUUAAAUAAAUUAAUAUUAAUAAAAAAAAGUUGUUACUAUAUGUUUUUAAUAAAAUUUUAAAAAUUAAAUCUCAAAUAAAAUAUUUAUAUAAAUUAAUUUAAUUUUCAUUUAAAAUAUAAUAAAACAUGUUUUAAUAAAAAUAUUUUAAAAUUUUUUAAAUAAACAUUAUCUUCAGCAAAUUGGGUCAUCUUCAUCUAACAAUAUAAUGAAAUCACAUCGAUCUCUUCCUUAAUAUAAGGACUAUUGUAAUAUCAUAUGUAUUAUAUUUAUGUAUAAAUUAUUUUUAUUCAAUAAAAUCAAAUAUUUUUUAAUUUAAUUCUAACUCUAUAUACUUUCAAAAUUCAUAUAUAUUAUUUUUAAAAUUCAAAUAUCGAAUCUAUCAAUAUAUCUUUAUUUAAAAUAUCUUCUUAAUUAUAUAUAUGUCAAUUACACUUACAAGAUAACUUUAAAAUGUGUAUUUUUACUUAUUUUAUCAUUUUUUUAAGUUUUUUCAAACAUUUCUAUUAAUUUUAAAUAAUUUUCACUUUAUUGAUAUUUGUGAAAAAAUAUCCACGAUAUUUCUCCGAUAUUUCUCCGAUAUUUCCGAUAUAUCCGUAAAAUCGAAGUACCGAUAUAUCCGUAAAAACCGAUAUUUCAAUCCUUGGUGGCAACAUCAAAUGCAGAUCGACAAGAUGUUUAGUAUCUUGAAAUAGGAAAUUGUCAACAGAUGUUUGAAGAUUUUAGGGAGACAAUGAAACAACAAUUUGAAAUGAUAGAUUUAGGAUUAAUGUCCUAUUUUCUUAGAAUUGAAGUCCAACAAACAAAUGAUGGUAUCUUUAUCUCACAAAAGAAAUAUGCUUUAGACAUUCUAAAGCAUUUCAAGAUGGAAAUCAUCAUCAACAAUCCAUACUCCUAUUGCAGAGCGACUAGAGAUGAAAAAGGAAGACACUAGAGAAUUAGUAAAUCCCACAUAUUUCAAGGGCAUAGUAGGAAGUCUUCGUUAUUUAACUUCUACUAGACCGGAUAUUGUUUAUGGAGUCGGAAUUAUUAGUUGAUUUAUGGAAAAACCAUAUUAAUCACAAUUGCAAGCGACAAAGCGAAUUUUCAGGUAUGUAAAUGGUACUUGUGAUCAUGGAAUCUUCUACUCCUACUCAAACAACUUCAAUUUAGUGGGCUACACAGAUAGUGAUUGGGGAGGUGAUGUAGAGACUAGAAAGAGUACUGUUGGAUAUGUUCUUUUUUAUCUUGGAACAAGAGCAUUCUCAUGGUCAUCAAAGAAGCAACAAGUUGUAGCAUUAUCAACUACAGAAGUUGAAUAUAUGGCAGUUACUUCCACAUCAUGUCAAGUAGUUUGUCUUCGUAGGAUGCUUAGUGAAUUGAAGUAUGAAUAGAAGGGUCCUACAAAGAUUUUGUGUGAUAAUAAGUUUGCUAUUGCAUUGACAGAAUCUGAAGUUUCAUGGUAGAAACAAACACAUAAGCAUCAAAUUUUAUUAUAUUAGGGAACUUCUGAAAAAUCAAGAGAUUGAAAUUAAGUUUUGUAGAUUAGAAGAUCAAGUUGCAGAAAUUUUUACCAAGCCAUUAAAAAUGGACAUGUUUGAGAAGUUUAAGAUGAUGCUUGGUGUGAUUGACUUUACAAUUCGGAUUAAGGGAGACUGUUGAAAUCAUAAUCCGAAUUAAAUUCAAAUUAGAAUAAGUUUAGGAAUUGGAUAAAUAUUAGGAAUUGUUAUUUAUUUAAGCUUCAUAUGUUAAUUAGGACUUUUAGUCUAAUUGGAAUUAAAGUCCCAUUACAAGUAUGAUUAGUUUAUUAUAAAUAGGCUUAUUAUUAUGUUAAAAAGUAUAAUGCAAUAAAUUUAUUUUUUUAGUAAAAUAUUAUCAAUAUCGAAAUGUGUGGGUUCCAACAUAAGUCUGAGAACUUAAACAAAACUAAUCAAGCCUAAAAUAGAAAAAAUAGUAAAUUUAACUAAAAAAACUAGAACCCAAACUUGUUUGAUAAAAGGGAAAAGCACUUACUAGGCAAGAUGGGCAUUGGGCACCUAAAAUGUGAAAUGCACUCUUACCACCAGGCACUGAUGGACACUCAGAGAAUAAAUAGUAGAAUUUGAUUCGAACCCAAACCUUCUUUAAAAAAAAAAAGAAUGUAAAGAUGAUUAUGAAAAAUUAGGUGUUGGCAUUUUUUUUUCCUAAUUUUUAUUUAUUUAUAGAAAAUAGCUUAUUUUUAGAUUUCAGAUAGUUUAUUUUUGUACUUUUUGUUAAUAUAUAACUUAUUUCUUAAAUUUUUUAUUUAAAAGAAAAAAAUCAAAAUAUUUUACUUUUUCUGAUUACUAAAAUUAAUUUAUAGCCUUUUCUUUAAUUCUUAAAUACUUAAUAAAAAUAAAAUAUGAAAAAAAACAAAUAACUUAAUAUUUAACACUAUUAAAUACUAUUUAGUUUUAAGUUCCGAAUAAAAUUAAGUCAAAAAAGUAACACCACCUUAGAAUUAAAUUUGGUUGAAAAAAUAAAACUCUUAUAAUUUACCUUCUACCCAUAAGUGACUUUGUGUCAGCAUACAAAGAAGAAAUGUGGGCCUAAUGGGGGAUUUUUGAUAUUUUCCUUUUUUUUUUGUAAUACAAUAUUUGUAAAAAAAAAAAAUGUAGUUAUAUAAAUAAUUUUAAACAAUGUUGUUUCCCAAGGGGACCUCAUUCGGUACAAAAAAUGCAUGUGGUAUUCUUCCAAUUAUUAAAUUGUAUCGAGCGAAAAGGUCCAACGCAUAUUUGAAAAAGGGAGAAUUCCCAUUUAGAGUAGGCUGCUAGUGAUAAUGAUUAUUAAAUUGUAUCUAGCAAAGGUCCAACAUGUAUUUGAAUAAGGGAGAAUUCCCAUUUAGAGUAGGCUACCAGUGAUAAUGACCUAAAAGGAUCAUCAUAUUUGCAAAUUCUUAUCAAGUCCUUUGAAAAAUUAAUCAUUUCAAAAUCCCAGUUAUACAUUUUUUUUUUGUCCUUUUCUUCUUUUUCUCAUUUAAUUUUACCUUUUUAUUGUUUUUCUUUUAUACUUUUUUACACAUUAUUAUUAACUAUUAAUAUUAUUAUUUAUAAUAUUAAUGUUUUGAAUUAUUCAUGUUACUUAUUAAAAUCAUUCUUAUUAAUAUUAUCUAUUUUUAUGAUUAUUAUUCAUAUUUUUAAAAUAAUAAUUAGAAGAAAAAAUAAAACAAAGAAAAGACAAAAUAGAAAAAAGAUAAAGUAAGGAUAUGUUUAACUUUAAAGCGAAAGGUAUAUUUGAAUUUUUUUAUUUUGAGAUACUUUGAAGAAUUAUCAAAGUUGAUGACCCUUUAGGAUCAUUAUCAUUCAUAGCCCACCCUAUAUGAUAAUUUUCCCUUAAAACAACUCUUCUGUGUCAUACCUCUAAUGACCACAAGUGAGAUUGUGAUCAAUCAAGACAAUUACAAUAAAAUUUAACAACUAAUCACUUUCAAUUUUUUUAUAAUAUUUAUUUUAUUGAUUAAGAAUUAUAAUUUAAUAAAAAAGGAGGUUGUUAUUCACAACAUCCCUUUUGCUAAACGUAACACUUUUUUGUCAUAUUUUUUUUCUACAUAUGCCCUUUUAAAUAAAGAACUCUCUCUAACCUCCUCUCAACAUAUUGAACCUAAAUUCUAAUUGGUUAAGGCUAUGAAUCACAUACGAAAUACAAUGAAUGAUGAAAUUCAAUCAUUUGAUGACAAUUUUUAGGUAAGAUUUAUAACUUUCAUUUGUUUUUAUAAAGAAAUAUAUAUAUUUAUCAAAAAAUAAAAAUAAAAAUCGGCAACUUGGGUGGGGCUCUAGCGUCCUGGGAGGCGACAAUGACCACAGUGGUUAUGGUUUGGAGUAGGGAUGGAAGUCAGUGACCAUCGGCAACGGUGGUUGGGCUAAAUUUUUUGUUUAUAAUAAUUAUAAAAAUCGAAUUUUUUAUUAUUAUUUAUAAUAGUUACUAAAUUACUUUUCGUUUAUAAUAGUUAGAAAAUUCUUCAUGACAUAAAUUUUUGCUUAUAAUAAUUAUAAAAUUCUAAUUCUUUUAUUUGUUUAUAAUAUUUACUAAAUUACUAAUUUUUUUCUAAGAAAACAUUAUAGUAGCCACAUAAAUUAUUAAUUUAAACAAGAUUUGUUUUUGCCAAUUUUCACCAAUUUUACUAAUUUCAAUGUUUUAAUUUCUUUUUUUGAAAAUUUUAACUAAUUGCUUCAUGUUUUAAUUUUUUAAAAACUGUCAUGUACAUUCUCAUAUAAUUUGGAUAAUGUUAUUGUCUUCAUGAUAUAAAUAGAAUUUUUUAUCUAUUUUGUAGGAUGAAUAUUUUGUGGAGGAAUUUCCAUCACAAUUGAUAGAUUAUGGCAAACAUUUCACUAUACAUAAAAGAGUCAAAGACCGAGAAGAGUUUAUUGAAGAGGUUAAACAAAUUGGAGAACAACAAAAUAUAUUUGUGAUUAUUUGUCGUUCCACUAAAGCUGAUGGUUCAGGAAGUGGCAAAGUAUGGAUAGGUUGCGAGAUAUUCGAAGGUUAUAGACCGUAAUAGAACAGAAAAACUGAUGUGGUGCCUAGAAAUUGAACUAGGACGAAGAAGUGUCGUUGUCCCUUUAUGUUGAAGGGUAUUGAACAGGAUGAUGGAUAUUGGACAUUAGUCAUCAUUAAUGGCAACCACAAUCACUACCUUGGAAAGUAUCCUCACGAUCAUUCAUCGGUUGGUAAAUUAAAGGAAAUAGAGUUCAAGAUAGUAGCUACAAUGACCGAAAGUCAUGUUAAGCCACAACUUAUUUUAAAUCACGUCAAAUGGGAGAAUCCAAGCAACUUGAGUUGUGGGAAACAUGUCUACAAUGCCAGACAAAAGCUUAAAGAUCAGAAAAAGAAUGGUUGUUCAGUGAUGCAACAACUACUAAAAUUGCUAAUUGAUCAUGGUUAUAUCACCACUGGUAUAGAGAAGUGAUAAGGUUAAUUUUGAGGAAGAGAAGGUAGAAGAGAAGAAGAGGACGGAGAAGGAUUUUUGGAUUUUUCUGCUAUGCUUUAUUGAUCAUAAUACCGACUAUUUAUAAUAGUCUUACAACUGGGAAAUAAAAAACAAUGCUAUAACUUAGGAAAGAACUAAGGCUAGUCCACUUGGCAAAACAAAUAAAACAACACGUUGAAGACUAUCUCCGACCAGCUUAUUAAGUGGAGAAUAGUUAACAGACUACUGACUAAGUCUUGUAAGGCUCACGUAUCAUGCCUCCCCCUCCUUAAGGAUCCUUGUCCUCAAGGAUAAAAAUCUAGAUAGGACCUAUUGAAGCGUCAUUCGUUCUCCCAGGUUGCAUCUUCCCUUGGUGCUCCCUUCCACUUGAUUUAAACUUUAGACCUUGGACGGUAUUUCCCUUUUUGAAUAACUCGUCGAUCAAGUACAACUUCAGGUUGUGGUAGUAUAACAAAAUCUUCUGAGACUAGAGGAAGUUGAUUCUGAACUAGAGUAUGUACUGGACCCAAAUGUUUCCGCAACAUGCUAACAUGAAAUACAUUGUGAAUUUGAGUCCUCAGAGGGAGAACUAACUGAUAAGCCACUGGAUCUACUUUUCCCAUAAUUAGAUAAAGGCUAAAGAAACGUGGAGCAAGCUUCAUUGAAGCUCGAAAGGCCACAAAAGUUUGGCGAUAUGGUUGGAGCUUCAGAUAGACAUAAUCACCAAUAUCAAAGAAGACUUCUCAUCGUUUCUGAUAUGCUUGACAUUUCAUUCGUUGACUAGCUUGUGAAAGGUUGUGGCGUAGCACACUUAAGAUGGUGUCACAGUCACGAAGGUAUUCAUCAAUUGCUUGAAUGCGAGAAGUACCUGGAACAUAAGUUAGAAUGCUUGGUGGAGGAAUUCCAUAGACGACUUCAAAUGGUGUCAUUUUGGUUGAGGAAUGUAUGAAAGUAUUAUAGCUAAACUUAGCCCAGGGAAUCCACUCAAGCCAUUUUCGUGGUUGAUCACCUGCAAAACAUCGCAAGUUUUGUUCCAAAGUGCGGUUUACUACCUCGGUCUGACCGUCAGUUUGUGGGUGGUAACUUGAGCUCAUGCGAAGCUUGGUUCCUUGUAGCUAGAAUAGUGUUUGCCAAAAAGAACUGAUAAACACUUUAUCUCGAUCACUCACUAUGGAUGUCAGAACACCGUGGAGGCGAACCACGUUGGCUAUAAAUGAUUUAGCAAUAGUGGCUGCGGUAUAUGGAUGUCUUAAGGCAACAAAAUGAGCAUAUUUUUUUAAGCGAUCAACAAUUACCAUGAUGACUAUGUGUCCAUUUGACGGUAGUAAUCCUUCGAUAAAAUCCAUUGAUACUUCAGUCCACAUCCAAGUAGGAAUGGGUAAUGGUUGAAGUAAGCCAGCUAGUUUCAUGCAAUCGGUUUUGUACCUUUGAAAUACACUGCAUUGUUAUAGAAACUCCUUCACUACUCGACGCAUACUAGGCCAUCUGAAGCUGAGCUUGAUGCGAGAAAGUGUUUUAUGGAAUCCACAAUGCCCCCUAGUUGGUGAUGAGUGGCAAUCUUCAAUUAUUUGGUGAAUUAAAAUUGAAGUGGGACUUAAGUAGACUUUGUUGUUUUUGAACCAAACUUCAUCUCGAAGUGUUAGCUGGUAAGGAGAUUGUGUUUGGCUCAACUUCUUAUAAAAAGGAUCUUUUUGUACUUCCUCUUAAAAUUUUGGCUACCAAUUUGCAUGUGGCAUAGAAAUGGAUAAGAACUGAAAUUCAACUACAAGAGAAAGGGAGUCAACAACUUGAUUUUCAGGCCCACGCUUGUACUCAAUUUCAUAGUCAUAUCCAAGGAUCUUUGGGAGCCACCGGGUUUGUGCUGGUAUGGUAAUUCGUUGCUCAAGUAAAUAUUUGAGGCUCCUUUGGUCGGUGGGCAUCGUAAAUGGUUUGCCCAGAAGAUAUGGACGCCACUUUUGAAUUGACUUGACAAUGGCCAACAUUUCUUUCUCAUAUGUAGAUAACAAGGCUGACCUCUUCAGAGCUUCACUAAAGUAAGCUAUGGGUCGAUUAUUUUGAGAAAGGAUUGCUCCGAUUCCAAUCCCACUAGUGUCGCAUUCAAUUACGAAUAUUUGAGAAAAAUCUAGAAGGCCUAGGACUGGUGGAGAUGUGAGUGUUUUCUUUAGUCUUCGAAAAGCAAGUUCCGCUGCAUCGUUCCAUUUAAAUCCUUCUUUGGACAAAAGUUGCGUUAAUAGAGCCGCUAUACCUUCAAAAUGACGAAUAAAUUUGCGGUAAUACCCUGCAGCCCGAGAAACCCACGCACUCCUUUUGUUGUGGAAGGUGUUGGCCAUUCAAGAACAACUUGUAUUUUUGUUAGGUCUACUGCCACUCCAUGUUCGGAAAUGAUGUGUCCCAAAUAGUCCACCUAAGAAACACCAAACCUGCAAUUGGUUGCCUUAGCAAACAAGUGAUUAGAUUUUAAAAUAUUAAGGACGGUCCGGAGAUGUGAGAGAUGGUCAUCCCAUGUCUUUGAAUAAACUAGAAUGUCAUCAAAGAAUACCAAGAUAAAUUUUCUGAGAUAUGUGCGGAAAAUUUCAUUCAUGAGGCUUUGGAAGGUGGAGGGUACAUUGGUAAGGCCAAACGACAUUACAAUGAACUCAUAGUGCCCUUCAUGUGUUCGAAAAACUGUUUUUGAAAUAUCUUCUUCAUAUACCCGAAUCUGAUGGUAUCCAACCUUCAAAUCUAACUUGAAGAAGAAUUUGGCUCCGUGAAGUUCAUCAAGGAGUUCAUCAAUUACUAGAAUUGGAUAUUUAUCCUUGACUAUGAUGAGGUUCAGUGCUCGAUAGUCAAUGUUGAUGUCUUGCGUCCCAGGGAUCCACGUUGCUGCCAGGUGGACGCACGCUUUCAACCAAGAUUGAAUUCUGGCUCAAUCGAUCUUGCAAAAGAUGUCCGGACAGGAUGUCUGGACACACCUUUCGAUGGUUUUGUUAGCCAUGGCUCCAGAGAUUAAGUUGUCGGCCUUUUUCAGGGAUAGCAAGCUUACCUUCUUCCUUGUAUGAAGGCCCUUUUAUAUAGUGUCAGAAGCUCUGCCUCCCUCUUUAAUGGUGGGAAGACUUUUUAGCUCGUCAUGAUGUCCUCAAGGUGGUGGUAGGGUCAUCAUCACCCUGCAGGCGGCUGUCAAAGAUCGUGAGAGGCAACUUGCCAUCGCUUCUGUCCUUUCGCUCUACAGGCGGCGGAAUGUGGGUUGUGGCAGGCUGUCGGGGAUGACUCAACAAGGCUUGCUCGCUACAGUCAAUGAUCCGGACAAUAGGUCCAGAUAGGAUAGAGCAUCGCCCGGGUAUGAUAUUUGAGAGUGUUGUGUGCCCCCUUGGGGGACCCGGAUAGGGGUGUGCACCAUGUGUCCUCUUGGGGAGUACAGAUAGAAUUACUCCGGAUAGCGAUGCGCGCCACGUGUCAUCGGGGGGAGGGAUUCCUACAAUGCCUCCCUUUUAACUUGUCGAUUUUGCCCGGGCAAAAUGGGUGGGUUAAAAGUGAUUGUUUUUACAACUUAGGUUACUUUUUUGCGCUCAUUGGGCCACGUGGCGCGCGUAGGUGAAAAGGAAGAAGAGCAUUUAUGACGAGUCGUCGUCCUUGGGAAUUCCCAGGCAGCGUGUCUUUUCAAUAACGGCACGGCUGGGCGUUUGGAAUACCGAGGGGCUGUUUCUCUUUAAAUAGCAGGCCGAGCCCCCUACGCCUGCAUUUUUUCCUUCUGCAUUUCUGCUGAUAGUGUUUUCUCUUCGACUUUUUGCGUAUCUUCGGCUAUAAGUGAAGUUCUAGGGUUUCUGCUAGCGAUAUUCGUGUUGUGAGGGUGACUGCAUCGCGGGCUUCAUCUUCGUUUCGCCAGUUUGUGCUAGGUAUGUUCCCUAUUCUUGCCUUUUCUUCGUUGUGUUUGUUUUUUUUAUUGUUUCUAGCUUGUUGGGUAAGCUACUUGUGAUUGAGGGUCGGUACUGGGGUUCAGGGGUUUUUCGAGGGGUUUUUGGUUUCGUUUUGGGUGCGUUAGGGUUCCUGUUGCACCCCUGCACCUUUUGCGAGUUACCGAUCCUGCUUUGGGGUAGAGCCAAGGGUUAGGAUGGGGAUGUUGGGUAUUUUAGGUUUUUUGGGCGUUUUUGUUAUUAGGGUUGUGGGGUCGGGUCAUUGUUUUUUACUGUUGGCAUCCUGCCAUGCAGGUUCCAUUUCGGCCCCACUCUUUAAAAUGCCUGCGAAAAAGGACAUAGCUUGGUCCAGUGUGGUCGGGUAGAGCGACAAGGAUGCGUCCGGGGUGGUCUAUGCGGAAAGGUUUGUUGACAAGCUGAACGUGAGGCAGUUCUGUGAACGCUUCUGCAUUCCGAAUGGCGUGUCCAUUUAGCUUGUGGAUGAAGAGGUCGUAUCCAUUGAGAAAUCUGCGGACAACGCUAUCUACUUCACCAAGGAGCAAUUCAAUGCGGGGCUCCGGUUCCCUCUCCCAUCCUUGUUCAAAGAAUUUCUUCACUUCACCUAGAUCCCUCCGGCCUACAUCCAUCCCAACAUAGUCCGGGUGCUGAUGAGGUGCAGCAUUCUGAGCAUGCUGUUUAACUUGGAUCUUUCGCUGCUAGAGGUCUUUUUCAUCUAUUCCAUCAAGAAGGGGAAGACUGACCUCUUCAGCCUGGCUGCCUAUAUGUCUUCCCUCUAAUUGGUGACUCAUCUUUCGGAUUCGACGAAGGAGGGAUCCAAGGGGCAUGUACUAGUCAGGGGUGUCUGGGCUGGGCUGUCAGAGCAUCCGGAGAGAGCGUUUUCCCCAAACCGUUCGCUGGUGCUCCCAGGUAGGGCAACUUGUGGGGUUUGUCUAGCGUUUGCCUGUUGUUCUCUUAUUUUAGUGUUAUCAGAUGGCUAACAUUUUUGGUUGUUUGACAACGCAGGUACGGACAGGAGGGGUCGCGUGGUCGAGUGGGUGGAAAAAGUGUUUUUCGACCGCUUGAACAAGUUAUUCGAGAUCACCAUAGCUAAAAGGCAUCAUCAGACGCUGCUCACUGCUCGAAACUUGUUGACGGUUGUCCGGGAGCCUCAGCCAUACGUCACCAACAUUCUCCCUAGGUGGUUGCCAAAACGAGUAGUGCCUGGGGAGCAUUUUGUAUUGAAAGACUUGCCCUUUUACGAGAGGGCUCGCAAGGCUGACGUAAAGGCGCGCCAAGAGCGCAUUGACCAGCUAGAGGAGAAGAGGCAAGAGGGGACGAUAAGGAAAGCACCUAGUGAAAAGGGGCGCUACUCUCCUCCAGCGGCUCGUCCUCCGGCCACAAAGGAAAAAAAGAAAAAGAAGAAGACGAAGAAGACGAAGAAGACACUUGCACAGGUGCUCCAGAUUGCAGCCCCCACUCUUGAGGCUUCGUUUUCCUCUUGUAGGUCCGGACCUAGCCGGUCGGACCACACUAUUCCAGAGUCUGAGGAGGUUGAGGAAUCUGAGGCUACUUCCAGCUCCCUUCAGCUUGUAGUCUUCCACCAGGGUCCUAGCUCUCCCCAGCCUGAUCCGGAGUCUGCUGGCUUGCAAGUCGCAAAUGAGCCAGAAGAGAUGAGAAGCAUAAGUGAGCUUAGGGAGAGGCUGAUGCAAAGACAUGGCAAAAGGCUGCAUAUCCCCAUCGACCUGGGGCCUCCCCCAGCUAAGAAAGUUUGCUUGGAUCGGGGUGGGGAGGACCCGACGCUCUAGGUUCCGGUUCCAGCUGCGACCCGUCCGGAUGGGAAUGGUGCGAGCACGAGUGCCCCGGUCCCUCCGAAUGCCGCAGGGUCUAGCACGGUGGCUAUGGCUCCGAUCGACGCUCCAGGGCGUAGCUCUCCUACUAUGGUGAGGACCCCUAUGCCAGAGGGGGUUCCGGAGGCACCGAACAGUGAGGAGGCUCCGGUCGAGAGGAGUAGUUAUACUGCAGCAGUUCCUCCAAGCUGGGAGGAACUGAUGGAUAUGCUGAAGGGGGUGUCUUGCUUCACAGACGCAAAAGCGUGGCACCCUUUUGGUAUUUCUGAGUUCGCUGUGCCUUGCGUUCAGCACCUACAGGAAUGGACAAUGCCAGAGGCUGUAGAAAUGGUAAAUAUUUCUUUGUUGUUUUUCUCUUGUUUGUUAGCAGUUAUCGCUUUUCCAUGUAACUUUGUCUGCUAUUUUGUUGUCGUUUUGCCCAGGUUAUAUCCGGCAUCCGCUACAUGUUGUGCACACGCGAGCAACUUUUCCAGCGGCUGAGGGUGGCGAAGGCCAUGCGUGCCUUUAUCUCCCAGCAUCCGGGUGGCGUUGAGGGGUUGCGCGCCCAAUUGGAGAAGGUUGAAGCGGAACUGGCCUCCGCGCGGAAAGCGGUGUCAGAUGGGGCGGAGCAGCUGAGCCAGGUUGAGGGGGAGAAGGAGGCUAUCCGGGCGGGGGUUGAUACUUUAAAGAAAGAAAAAGAAGCCUUGGAGGGCCAAGUCAAUGAAGCUGGGCAGGAAAACCUCCAAUUGAAAAGAGAGACGGAGGAACUUCGGGCUAGCCUCGCCGCCCAGAAAAAGGAGUCUGAGGAUUUGCGGGCUAGUCUGGCGGCUCAAAAGGAGGAAAUGGAGGCUAGGUUCGCCGCACAGAAGAAGGAGAUGGAGGAGAAAUACCAACAGCAGGCGGACGAGAUGUACUUCUUCGGCUACCGCUGCUGUAUGAAGAAGCAUGGAAUUAUGCAUGAUACUCCUUCUUUCCAUUCUGAUGAGGAGGAUUCGGUGCCUGGGGUUCCGUCCAGCUGAGAUUUCUUUUGGUGCAGACUUUACAAUUUUUCCUUUGUUUUGCUGCGUAUGGGGCAGCUAUAUUUGUAAAGACACUUUGUUCUUUAUUUUACAAAUACACUACAUUUUCUCUAUCUCUUUUGCUUACUCUUUAUUUCCUUUCAUUGAUAAUACUGCUUAAGAUUGGAUACAUUCCAUGGACGAAGCAGCGGGGUUCCGUCUAGUUUCUAUAGAUGAUAGGCUUCGUUUUCACUUGUCUUGGAUACUAUGUAGGGGUCUUCCCAAUUGGCUUGAAACUUUCCUGCUCCUGUCUCAGCAAUGUUUUUGAAUAUCUUCCUAAGGACCAUCCUUCCACUUUUGAAGCUCCUGGGUCUUGCCUUGCGGUUAUAGUGAGCGGCUGCCCUUUGUUAAUAGUCGGUCAUCCAGAUGGAUGCGCUCUCUCUUACUUCGUCUACCUAGUCCAAAUUUCUUCCUAGUUCCGCAUUUGCAUCAUCCUAUCAUCCUACCUCGGUUCGGAUAGUGGGUAGCCCUAUUUCUGUGGGAAUGACUGCGUCCAUACCAUAUGCGAGGGCGAAGGGAGUAUUUCCUGUCGGUCAUCCGGGUGUGGUCCGAUAAGCCCACAGGACGCUGGGUAGCUCCUCUACCCACUUCCCUUUGGCUUGCUCGAGCCUCUUCUUUAAGGCAGUUAUUAGGGUUUUGUUAGUGGCCUCUGCUUGUCCAUUGCUUUGAGGAUAACGCGGUGUAAAGUAUAAAUUCCAAAUGUUUAGUUCCAAACAGAAAUUCCGGAAAGUGAUGCUAUCAAACUGUGGGCCGUUGUCAGCUAUAAUGGUUUGAGGGAUUCCAAAGCAGUAGAUGAUGUUCUUCCAUACAAACUUGGUGACAUCUUUGUCCUUGAUGCUAGCGUAUGCUUCAGCUUCCACCCAUUUGCUGAAGUAAUCCGUGGCGAAAAGCAGGAAUUUCUUCUGGGCAGCUGCGGCUGGUAGGGGUCCUACUAUGUCCAUGCCCCACUACGCGAAGGGCCAGGGGCCAAAAAUUGGUUUUAACGUCUUCAACGGCACAUGCGAUAUGGGGACAUGCCUUUGACAUUUGUCACACUUUUUGACAUAGGCUGCCACAUCUUUUUUCAUCGUGGGCCAAUAAUAUCCUUGCGAGUGGGCCCGGUGCGCUAAAGAUCGACCUUCGGAAUGAUUCCCACACACCCCUUCAUGUAACUCAGUCAACACAUACAGGGCUUCUGAGUGGUCUAGGCACCUGAGGUAGGGGCCUAUAAAGGACCGCUUGUACAAGUGCCCCCCGAUCAGGGUGAAACGGGCGGCUUGUAUCCGGGUCUUAUGUGCCUGCUUGGGCUCUUCGGGCAAAGUGCCUGUCCGGAGAUACUCUAUGAUGUCUUCCGUCUAGUCUUGGCCGUAUGCUUGGUUUGCCUCAAUGGUAUUGCAAGUGGAGGCUCCUGCGACGGAGGGGUUAGUUUGCACAUGUAUAGGCAAUAAUAUGGCUUCUUUGAUGGGGAGGGAAGCGGCUAUGCCUGCCAGGGCGUCGGCACGUCCAUUUUCAGUUCGUUUAAUUUUUUUCGAUCGUCCAUUCGGUGAACCGUUGUAAAGUGUCUCUUACUUUAGUCAGAUAUCGCGCCAUGCGCUCAUCCUUAGCUUAGUAUUAUUUCUGAACGUGUCUUACCACAAGUUGGGAAUCACUAUAGACCUGUAACCUGGAGACAAACAGGGUGAGGUCCAACCCAGAUAGGAUGGCUUCAUACUCGGCUUCAUUGUUAGACGCGGGGAAUCCCAGUUGGAUAACUUGCUAUAACUGUUCUCCUGUUAGGGACUGUAGCAGGAGCCCUACCCCGGACCCUAAUGACCGGGAGGCUCCAUCAACUUGCAAAGUCCACCAUUCUUCCCCGCAUGGUUCUUUGUGUUGGGCAGGCCUUUGGGAGUAUUCCAGCACAAAGUCAGCCAUUGCCUGCUCUUUCAUGGACAACCUGGGUUGGAAUUCAAUUCCAUACUCGCUCAACUCUAUGACCCAUUGAACCAUUCUUCCGGUCAGGUCUGGCUUGUGCAGGAUGUAGUGAAGGGGUUGAUCGGUCAGUACGACCACCGGGUAGGCUUGGAAGUAAGGGCGAAGCUUCUGGGCGGCACUUCGAAGGGCCAAAGUCGUCAGCUCCAUCUUUGAAUACCUUGUUUCUACGUCCGCCAACGCUCUGCCGACGUAAUAAAUAGGUUUCUGCUCCUUGUGCGAGGGGUAGCGGAAUAGAACAGCGUUGAUUGCCCACUCUGAUACAGUCAGAUACAUAUACAAUUUUUCUCCAGGGAGGGGGCUGGUUAAAAUGGGUGGUUGCCUAAGGUAGUGUUUGAUUUUUUUGAAAGCGCUCUAGCAGCUGUCCGUUUACCCGUUCGUGCCGGCUUUUCGUAUUGCGAGGAAGAAGAGUCGUAAUUCAUCAGUGAAGCGGGCUAUAAAGCGUUCUAGCGCGACGAGCUUGCCUGUGAGGCGCUGUAAUUCCUUUUUGCUCCUGGGGGGUGGUGUUUCCAUGACUGCCUUAACCUGAUCUGGGCUAACCUCUAUCCCCCUUUGGCUGACCAUAAAUCCCAGGAAUUUUCCAGCACUUACGCCAAAAGCGCAUUUGGACUAAUUCAAUUCCAUGUCAUACUUCCUUAAGAGGUGGAAGACUUCUUGCAAGUGGAGGGCAUGUUCCCCUCAGGUUUUGAUUUUAACCACGAUAUCAUCGAUGUAUACUUCCACUGCGCGACCGACUAGAGGUUUGAAGAUUUUCGUCAUCAAUCUCUGAUAGGUGGCGCCAACCUUUUUGAGUCCAAAUGGCAUGACUUUGUAGCAAUAAAGUCCAUGUGGCGUUAUAAAGGCUGUAUUUUCUUCGUCGGGUGGGGCCAUGGGGAUUUGGUGGUAUUCGGAGAAGGCAUCCAAGAAGGAGAGCAUUCCUUGUCCGACGGUGGAGUCUACAAUUUGGUCUAUCCGCGGUAGAGGGAAACUGUCUUUUGGGCAUGCAUUAUUGAGGUUGGUGUAAUCGACGCACACCCGCCACUUGCCUUCCUUCUUGGGAACCACUACCACAUUUUCUAACCAUUCCGGAUAUUCCACCUCUCUAAUGAAUCCAGCUUCCAGCAAUUUGUCAAUCUCAUCCCUGAUAAUCUUUUGCCUGUUUGGGUGGAAACGUUUGAUCCUCUGUCAGACGGGUCUUGCUAUUGGCAAGACGUUAAGCCUAUGAGAGACGAUGGAGGGGUGAAUUCCUUUCAUAUCAGAAUGCGCCCAUGCAAAAACGUCAUGGCUUUGUUGGAGGGCAUCUUGGAUUCCGGUGUUAAGAGGAAACUGAUAUGUGUGAGGCGAGUACUUUCUUCCGAAAUUUGAAUCGUUCGCAAGGGAUCCGCUGCCGGUGGAUCUUUGUCCGCCGGACUCAGUAAUUGCUAUUGGCCAAGUGCGUGGGUGGGCUUAGGAAGGAGUCUAUCCUCCUGGUUGGUCCCUACUUCUCGCGCUAUCUGAUAGCAUUGGCGAGCGGCUAACUGGCUGCCGUAUAGGUCGAUUUGCCCGUCUUCAGUGAGAAAGCUUACCAUUUGAUGGUACGUAGAGGGGAUGGCUUUCAUGUAGUGCAUCCAUGUGCGCCCCAAAAUAGCAUUGAAGGGUGAUAAAUCUUGUACCACAUAAAAUUGUAUGUUGAGAGUGAUUGGGCUUGCUUGGACCGGCAACACAAUAUCUCCCAAUGAGGUAGUCGCAGCUCUGUUGAAUCCGGACAAGAUUCUCCUAGGGUUUUCGAGGCCGGACAGAUCGCGUCCCAUGUGGCUAAUUACCAACUCUUGCAAAAGAUCGGUCGAACUGCUUGGGUCAAUUAGGAUGCGUCUCACGUCGAAGUCUCCCAUCCCUAGGGAUAGGAUGAGGGCGUUGCGGUGAGGCUGUAAUAUCCGUGUGGGGUCUACUAAAGGGAAAAUGAUUGUCCCAUCUAUGGGCUGGGGGCCCCCACCAGCUAUCCCAGGUCGUAUGGAGUUGACGCACUCACGUACCGAUGCUGCCCGCAACAGCCUCUGUCUCUUUCGUUUGGAGUCGUAUUCCUCAUCCAGUGGACUUCCGUGAAUACAGUUUAUAAUGACUUUGGGGGCGGCUGGGAUCCUGGGGGUUCCUAAGUUGUGACUUCGGGAAGUGUCUCUAACUCUGGCGUCUGAGCGGAGGUAUUGCUUCAAAUGUCCCACCUUUAUGAGUCUUUCCACCAAAUAAUGGAGGCUCCUGCAUGCCUCCGUAGUGUGGCCGUGCUCCUUAUGGUAGGCACACUUCUUACUAUGAUCCCUUUGGGCUAGGUCCGCUCUGAGGGGUCCGGGCCACCUGAAGUCGGACAGGUCCUGGAUCAUAGGGAGGAGCUUCUCAUAGGAUAUGGAAAGGGGUGUGAGGGGUGGUCGUUCUGGGCGGCUUUGUUCUUCUUGUCUUCAACCGGACGGCCUUGGCCAGUCCGGAGGUUUGGCACUUCUUUCCACACCACUUCUGGAUGUUUGGCCGGCGACCAAGAUUUGCUGGGUGGUUGCUCGCACAUCAUCCUCCAACAUUGAGUAUUUGCUCGCGCGCCGGAACAAGUCAUCCAUUGUCGUAGGAGGCUUCUUAGCGGCGAUUCAAAGAAUGGAGUGUAGACACUCUAUUUUGUCUUCCUCACACAUGUCGUUUAUAGCAAUUCCCUGGUGGCCCAUGAAUACUCGUGUAGCCCAUCUUUUCUAAGCCACCUUGGGGACUUUGGUUGAGGGGUUCAUUUAACCCCGUUGUGACUCUUGGCAGCCCUAAUUUAGACUUAGGCUCACAUAGCCACCUUAGGCACCUUGGGCCCAUUUAGGCACCACACUUGGCCCAUUAGGCAUCACCCUAGGCCCAUUUAGACACCUUAGGUUCACUUAGUGCACCUUAGGCCCAUUAGGCAUCACCCUAGGCCCAUUAAACGCACUUGGCCCAUUAGGCACCGCCUUAGGCCCACUUAAACACUUUUCAAGGUUUAGUUUCACUUAGAUUUGUUUUCUUGUUUUUAUUUAUUUAUUUAUUUUAUUGAUUGCUUUUAGGAUUAAGUGAGUUUUGAUAUAUUUAUAUUAUUUCAUCAUUAUUAUUAUUUGUAUUUUUUUGUUUAUUUAUUUUAUUUUAUAAUUGCAUGAAAUGAGUUUUUAUUAUUAUUAUUAUUAUUAUUAUUAUUAUUAUUAUUAUUAUUAUUGGUGGCUUGGGUUUGACACUUCGACUAUUAUUAUAUGUUGCAUUAGUUUAAUCCUUUUUAUUAUUAUUAUUAAAUAUAUCUAACAUUUAUUUAUUUAUUUAAUUAUUUAUUUUUAGGUAUGUAUCCUCUUAUCUAUGUAUUGAUAUUUUCCUAUUUGGGAUUUAAGGACUUCUUGAAAUUUUAAUGAAAGAUAUGUUGACUUUGAAUGACGGGAAUGGUUUUGACUUCAUGGAUUCUUGCUUUCUUUUUUGGAAUUUUUUUUUAUUAUUAUUGUUAUUUUUCCAUGUAGGUGGAGUCAAUGGGAAGGUGUGCAGAAGAUGCUCAUGGAAAGGGACCACACUGUUUUUUGGAAAGGUGGAUUGGGGCGUGGAAGCGGAAUAUAAAUAAUGGAUGAAUGAGGAUGUUUUUUUGGGGAAGAUACAAAGAAGGAUCAGAAUUUUUUAGAAAUGAAGGAGAAUGACACACGGGUUGAUGGAUGAAUGAAGCCGGUUGUAGGAAAAAUUACCAAAGUGGUUUUGGCAAGUGAAAAGGAAAAAGAAAAGACUUAGCAUGUACGUGGACGGAAUGAGGGCUAGGACUAAAAAAACAAAAGAAAAUUCUGAACGUGCAUGGAAAGGGUAUGGGGAAGGCUGGCUUUUGGAAGGUGAGGCUAUGCAGGAAAAGAUAGCAGAUUGGGUGAUGAAGUGGGCUGGUUUUGGAGAGAAUAAGGGAGGAUUGAGAGCACGGAAAAUGGGACGAUUGAAAAAGAAAGUGAUUUUCUGGAGGGAAGCGGCAGCCGCACCGUGAAAGAAAAGAAAUUUUUUUGCAUUCAAGAGGAAGGAAAAUGAUCGGCCGAAGGAUUUUCUGGAAGGAAGUGGCAACCGCACCGUGAAAGAAAAGAAAUUUUUGCAUUCAAGAGGAAGGAAAAAGGGAUCAACUGAAGGGAUUCUGGGGGAAAGUGGAGAAGGUGCAGUCGCACCAUUCAGAGAUCCAGAGGAAGGUGAAGGAAACGGGAAAUAAGAGAGGAGAAAAGAAAGCUGGGUUUCGGAGACAAUUUCCAGUUUCUCUCAUCAGAGACACCACAGUCGCACCAGAAUUUUAAGGGGAGAGUCUUCUGUCCAGACAGCUAUAGAUCGGGUUCUGAAACGUGAUCCUCCACUGCUUAUGUUGCCGCAACACCUUGUGCCAUACUCAUGCAUCUCCGGUAACACCCUACUACCAUUGGAGAUCCACACCAGCUUGUCAAUCCCGCUACCUGAACACCACAAGCGCACCAGAAUUUUAAGGGAAAGGCUUCCACCACUCUACAGAUCUUCACGACUUCAUCUUCAAGAGCACAAGUGUGCACGCUAUCAAAGGAAAUUCCUCUCCAUUAACGUGCAGUGCAUUUGGGAUUGUGCAGAAGCCAUCAUGCCAUGCAUUCUUGGCACUAUUUUAAAAAAUCCUACUAUCACUUUUGGUGGAAAACGACCCAUGCUUUAUUGGAAAAGGUAAGCUAAAGGUAAGCUAGAACUCUUUGUUUAAUUUUUGAUGUGUGAAUCUUAAUUUGGUAGUGGUUUUAGAAUUUUAGUUUUUUUUUUAAUUUAAUUAAUUCCAUGAUGAUAUAUUCAUCUAUGUGCUUUAGACUUUAUUUUUUAUGUUUUUAUUUCUUUUUUAAUGUUAAUGUGAAUAAAAAAAUAAAAAUUUGUUUAGAAAUGUUUAGAUAAUUAAUUUAGUGAAUCUCAUAUUGGUGUUUGUGUAUUUCCGAAUUCGUUAAUUUUGAUUUUAAUCCAUUAAUAUUCAAUUGUGUACUUGAUUAUAAUUUUAGUUAGUUAAUUUAGUUAAUCACGUGUUAUCGUUUUCGUGUUUUAAGUUUAUUAAUUUUAAUUUUGAUCCGUUAAUAUUUAGUUUGAGUAUUUUAGAGUUUUAGUCAAUUAAUUUAGUCAAUUACAUGUUAUUAUUUUCGUGUUUUAAGUUUAGUAAUUUUAAUUUAGAUCUAUUACUUAAAGGUUAGAACCGUGUUUAAAUUUAGUUUUGAUGUAUCAUUUUAAAUUAAAAAAGAAAUAAAAUUGAUUUCAUAUAGUUUUAGCUUUGAUUCAUUAUAUUAGAAAAAAAGAAUGAUUUGAUCUCUAUUUAAUUUAAUUUUGAUUCAUUGCAUUAGAUUGAAAGCAUUUGAGUUUUAUUUAUUUAUUUAUUUAUGUAUUUUCUACUCAUUUAAUUACUUGUUAUUCAUUUAUGUAUUUAUUAAUAAGAUUGAUUCUAUAGGUUAGACAUAUAGUUUUAAAAUUUGUUUUGGUUAGUUUUUAAAUGAUUUUAGGUGCAAGUGUUUUAUAAAAUUUUAGUUCGUUAAAUAAUUGAUCAUAUGUGUUAAGGAUUUGAUUUUUAGAUUUGCCUUAUGUUUAAUUCAUUCACCUAUUCAGUUUAGGUAUUUUCUAUAAUAUUAGUUCUUUAAUAAAAUUAAUUCUAUGAUUGGAAAUUCAUUUUGAUUGUUACUCUUAAUUGACGUGUUUCUUGAAAAUUAGUUAUUAAUUCUUGGUGAGUACCUCGUUAGCUUAUUUGACCUAAGUUUGAAUAAUUUAUUUUGGUAGUCUCUGGUAAAAUCUACUUUUCGGAGGCCAUCGGAAAAUAGUGAAGAUUGACCUCCAUUCUCAUCACUUCAAUUUUCUCAGUUGUCAAAAAUUCUACUUUGUGAUUUUGUUCUUUUUGUUUAGCUUGGUAUUUUGAUUCAUAUAUUUUAUUGUUUUCAAAUUAAUUUCUUUCAUUUUUUAAAACAUAACAUUGUUCUCAAAAAAUCGCUUUAAAAAUCCAUUUCAAAAAUUCAUUUAGAGUUCUUAGAAUCAAAAUCUCAUUUUCCUUAAAAAUUCAUUUCAAAAAUUCAUUUAGAGUUUCUUAGAGUCAAAAGAUCCCCUUAACAAUCCAUUUCAAAAAUUCAUUUAGAGUUUUUAGAAUCAAAAUCUCAUUUUUUAAAAUAAUGUGCAACCAUGUUUUGAUCGGUUCAUAUCUUUCAAAUAAAAUUACAGUUUUGAAUAAAACACGAAUCAAAGCUUGUGGUCCCAAAUAAAUGAGAUAAUUCUAGGCUAAAUUCGUGUAUAUCAAUUGGGGAAUUGGUGAAACCCCUACAUAAGAAAAUCUUUUCAAAAAUUAUUUUUGUUGCCACUUUUGUCACUUGUUGAAAUUAUGUCUAUCUUUUUUUAGGAAUUGUAUACAAGAUGAGUGUGAUAAUUAGUGUUUUCAUAUACUUUGAUAAUUUCUACUAUGCUAAUUAGAUAACGAGCAUGCUAGGAUUUCUAUAUUUUAUUAUUUAUUAUCUAACCCCUCAUGUCUUAUGGAAGCGCGUUGUAAGUUAUCUAUGUUAUCCAGGUAUGUCCCCUAUCACCUACUUUCUAAAUUUUGUAAAUAAUCAUGUCACUGUGAAAUAUGCAUAUGAUUGAUAAUCCUUAGGUGCUUAGAUGUAUGCUAGAUUCGCUAUGAUUAAAUACAUGUUCUGUGUUAUACUUCUAUACUAACUUUGAUGUCUUGUGAUAGCGCUUAAGAAGCAGUCCAAGUACGUACCCUAAAUCUUCUUCAUGAUUGUGAUUGGUUUUCCUGCUAAGCAUGCUAUUUUUCGAAAUCACCUAGCCUACUUAGGUAUCCAUGAUUAAUCGGUUAAUUGCUAUAUUCCCCUUAACUUAGUUAGUAGAGACCUUUAUAGGGCUUAGAGGGGUGCUACCUUUUAAAGGUACCUUCCCAAUAGGCAACUUGAUCCCCGGAUCUAGACUCGGGUUUUUUCAAAGACAUGCCUUUUUCCAAAAAUUAUGGAGUCAUUUUUUAGGGUUUUUCUUUCUUGUUUUAUUUUCUCUUUAAAAUAAAAAUAAAAUAAGUGGCGACUCCAACUUUUUUUCCAAAAAUUAAUUUUUUCACAAAUAAAUAAAAAACGAGUCUCGCCGAUCGAGUGGGGGCGCAGGUGAAAAAUGCGGGUCCACAUGGAGUACCUGGACAGAUGCUUCUCUUGAAGAUCUGAAGGACAACAUCCAUGUUGUAAGCCUCUACUUGUAACACAACCUGACCAAACCGCUUCACGAACUCUCUUAAAGACUCAUUCUCCUGCAUUUUUAUGUUUUGCAGGGUGCUAAUGUUCUGUUUAUGCUGAGCUGAGCAUAAGUAUUGUCCCACAAAAGCUUUCGACAGAUCCCUGAAAUUAUCAACAAAGUUAGGGGGUAGAUGGUGAAACCAUGAGAGAGUCUGCCCUUGUAGGCUGGCGGGGAAUACUUUCCAUAGCAGUGCGUCGUUCCCUAUAUCGAGAGUCAUGAGUUGUCGAUAAUGUAUGAUAUGGUCGAAGGGGUCACUGGACCCAUCGUACGUGGAAAAUUUAGGCACGAGAAAUCCCCUUGGGGGGUCGUAAUGAAUAAUAUGCAAGCAAAAAGGUGUGGAGAGCAUGUCGUCCAGCCUUUUGCUGAUGGAGCCAGUAGGUGGCUCGUUUGGGAGGUUUCUCCCAGCUUGUCGUACCGCUUAGUGCAGGAGGACAUUCUUCACCAUGGGUGUGACUAGGGGGUCAGGGUGCGUUCCCCAGGUUGUGGCUACUGGCGGCCUUGUCUUCCCGGGUCCCUGUGGGCCUAGCCUCACGAGCAUCGCGUCCGAAAAUUAGGGUCUUUUGUCACGUUGUCUCUUUGAUGAGAGACGAGUAGAGUCUGAGCUUUCCUCCUGGGGAGCUUGGUGCAUGGGCGUGUGUCGUUCUUGUGGUCUAACAUUGCCCGUCUCGGGGAUGACCCCCGCAGUCCCAGGGUAUAUUGACUCGGGGUCAGGCCUUGAGUUCGCUCCCUGGCCUCUUGAGCGUUGACCAUGAGGGGUCCUGUUGAUGAAGCCUGGAUGCGUAACACAGCGUUUUCUUCUCUGUCUUGCUGUUUCCUGGAGGAGAGCCUGCAUUUGUCACUUGCUUUCCAACUGUCUUCUCUCGAUGGCUUCGCGCCAUUCGAAAUAAUCUUUGUCUCCCUUAGCCGACGAGCGGCUUCUGGAAGGUGUGGACAUUUUUGUCGUCGACUGAAUCAGAGCGUUCCCACAGACGGCGCCAAUGUUUGAGUUUUUAUAUUUUGAAGCAUAUGAAAGAUUAUCAAGUUGAUGACUCAUUAUCAAUCAGAGCCCACCAUCUUUGGUAAUUGUCCUUUUGAAAAAUGAUAAAUGAACAAACGGGUCAAACAUUAGUAGUAUGGAGCCCACCAUCUUUGCUAAUUCUCCCUUUGAAAAAUGAUAAAUGAACAAACGGGUCAAACAUUAAUAGUAUGGUACCGAAAAUAACUCUUCCGUGUCAUACCUCUACAAUGACCACAAGUGAGAAUGUAAAUCAGUCAAGACAAUUAUAAUAAAGUAGCAUCCGUAUUUAUUUUAUUGAAUUAGAAUUAUAAUUUGAUUAAAAUGAUAAGAAUUAUAACAACCAAUUCUAUUAUUUAAAGAUAAAUUGUCUAAAUAAGAUUAAAAAUUAAAAAUUAAUCCAUCUAACAACAUAGUUAAAAUGGAUUUAUAUAUCAUAAAAAAUCAUCACCGAAGAAACCAAUAACCAUAAAAAUAAAAGUUGAAAAUCACCUAUAAACAAAUCAAAAAAGAAAAAAGAGAAAAUAAUUUUUUUAUAUUUGAUUAACUCUAUGAGUUGGAUAUCUUCCACGACAGCUGUGAUGAUGAAUGUAAUUAAAGAGAGAAUGGAAGAGGAGAGACAAAAUGAAGUAUAUAUAUUUUCAAUUUUAAGAUGCAUGGUGAAGAUCUCGUCUUGCACAUCCAUUGGCGCAAGAUAUUCUUCAAUUGCUACCACACAGUGCUGUAGAAUUUUCCUAGAAGAUAUAUUGAAAGGGAAGUCAGUGGAAAGGAGAUUUCGACUCACCAGUCGCUGGGCCACAGGUCUGCCACUGCCUGUUUUGGAUGGCAAUAAGAUUAUUGAUGGGCUGCUUAAACGCUGCUUAUGAGUUAUGGGUAACAUGAAAAUUUCAACCAGAAGGUGGUCUGCUAAUCUCGUUUUCUUGCUUAUUUCUUCAGGUUUUCACUUGCAAUUUGUUGAUGCAUUUACAGAUACAAUCUUACAAGGUCAAUCACUCAUAACCUCUCAGACCAUCAUAUCUGCUGGUGGUAACUUUGAAUUAGGAUUCUUUUCUCCUGGAAAGUCCACAAAAUAUUAUGUGGGGAUAUGGUACAAGAAAAUCUCAGAGCAAACCAUUGUGUGGGUAGCUAACCGAGACUAUCCAUUCACAAAUCCGUCCGUGGUUCUUACUGUCAGCACAGAUGGCAACCUCGAGAUUUUGGAGGGGAAGUUUUCGUACAAGGUGACAAGCAUAUCAUCAAGCAGCAACACUAGUGCCACCCUGUUGGAUUCUGGAAAUCUUGUUUUGAGAAAUAAGAGGUCAGAUGUCUUAUGGGAGAGCUUUGACUAUCCAUCGGACACGCUCCUGCCCGGAAUGAAACUUGGAUAUGACAAAAGGGCUGGAAAAACAUGGUCAAUGGUGUCAUGGAAGAGCGCAGAAGAUCCCAGUCCAGGAGAUUUCUCCGUGCAGGUCGACCCUAAUGGAACUAGCCAGUUUUUUAGCCAGCAAGGACCCAACAGGUAUUGGACUAGUGGGGUGUGGGAUGGGCAGAUUUUCGGCCAGGUUCCUGAGAUGCGUUUCUUCUAUAUGUAUAAGUACAAUACAUCCUUUAAUGAGAAUGAAAGCUAUUUUACUUACUCUCUUAAUAAUCCCUCCAUUCUGAGCAGAGUGGUGCUAGAUGUGUCGGGCCAGAUUAGGCAUCUGAAUUGUCAAGAAGGCACACAUGAAUGGGAUUUAUCUUGGCUUCAUCCAAGAACACAGUGUGAGGUUUAUGUCUAUUGUGGGCCUUUCGGAAUCUGCACUGGGGAUUCUGUUGAAUUUUGUGAAUGCUUGCCAGGUUUUGAACCUCGCUUCCUUGAAGACUGGAAUCUGCAAGACAGAUCUGGAGGGUGUGUGAGGAAAGCAGAUUUGGAGUGUGUCAAUGAAAGCCAUGCUAAUGGGGAGCGAGACCAGUUUCUUUUGGUGUCUAACGUGAGACUGCCCAAGUAUCCAGUAACAAUACAAGCAAGGAGUGCUAUGGAGUGCGAAUCAAUUUGCCUGAAUAGCUGCCCUUGCUCCGCUUAUGCUUAUGAGGGAGAUGAGUGUAGAAUAUGGGGUGGAGAUCUUGUAAACGUGGAGCAGCUACCAGAUGGUGACAGUAAUGCUAGAAGUUUCUAUAUCAAACUUGCUGCCUCUGAGCUAAAUAAGAGAGGUAAGAAAAAAGAGUCAUAGUUGUUAUUGUAGGAGGACAUAAAGCAUCUGGGUCUUGUUUUGUUUUCAAAAUAAAAUGGCCAUCGAUUCAGCUAAAUUUAAUAUGAUAUAUUUCCUUCUACAGUUUCAAGCAGCAAGUGGAAGGUAUGGUUAAUUGUUACACUGGCCGUAUCUUUAACUUCAGUCUUUGUCAAUUAUGGGAUAUGGCGAAGGUUCCGAAGAAAAGGUCAGUAUUUCUCAUGGACAGAAGGAUAGCCAAGCAGUUCAACAGUUUUUAGGUUUCAUCUGCAAAUACAAAACCAGUUCUUUUUUUAAAUGAGUUCAUUACCACUGUUAUUGAAUAAUUGAGGUAACAUUAGGAUUUCAAUGUUCUGAUUACAUGUGAGUGUGUAUGUGGAAUCCAAUGUGAGAAAUAAUUUAUUCCCGUGCCAGAAUUCCUACAUUCUUAUGAUAUUUAAUGUCUGUUUGUUCUUUACCAAGCAGGGGAAGAUUUGUUAGUAUUUGAUUUCGGUAACAGCUCAGAAGAUACCAGCUAUGAGCUUGGCGAGACAAAUAGACUUUGGAGGGGUGAGAAGAAGGAAGUUGAUUUGCCCAGGUUCAGUUUUGCGAGUGCAUCUGCUUCUACAAAUAACUUCUCUAUUGAAAAUAAACUAGGAGAGGGCGGUUUUGGAUCUGUUUACAAGGUGAGAUUACAACCCCUGACAAUAAUGUUCUACAAUCUGUCCUGGAAUGUAAAGGCCCACUUGAUAUACAUCAAAUUUUUUUUACCUGGUGUAAUUGUAGUCACUUGAAAUUCUCAUGACAGGGAAAGUCACAAAGAGGAUAUGAGGUAGCUGUGAAAAGGCUCUCAAAAAGAUCUAAACAGGGAUGGGAGGAGUUAAAAAAUGAAGUCAUGCUUAUAGCCAAGCUGCAACACAAGAAUCUUGUGAGAGUUUUGGGAUACUGCACCGAGCGGGAUGAGAAGAUAUUGAUUUAUGAGUAUAUGUCCAACAAAAGCUUGGAUUUCUUCCUCUUUGGUUUGUAACUUCCACAUACAUAUACUUCCAGCUACUGUACAUUCAAUGAGAAAACUUUACACAUUCAUCAUUCUUCACCACUUAUUUGCUAACAUCUAUUUAUUUGGUGUAAAAUGGAGGUAGAUCCUACAAAACAUGGGAUUCUGAAUUGGAAGACACGGGUUCACAUCAUUGAAGGGGUUGCUCAGGGACUUCUUUAUCUGCAUCAGUACUCCAGAUUGAGGAUUAUUCAUCGAGAUUUGAAGGCUAGCAACAUUCUUCUGGAUAAGGAUAUGAAUCCUAAAAUAUCAGAUUUUGGAAUGGCAAGAAUAUUUGGAGGCAAUGAAUCAAAAGCAACAAAUCAUAUAGUUGGGACUUAGUAAGUGAAACCUGACAAAUUAUAAAAUAUGUGAAUGUUCAUACAACAUUUGAAAUCAUGCAGCUACUGAAUGAUUUUUCUCAUUAAUAAUCAAAUCCAGCGGCUAUAUGUCCCCUGAGUAUGCUUUGGAAGGUCUUUUCUCCACUAAAUCUGAUGUCUUUAGCUUUGGGGUCUUGUUAUUGGAGAUUUUGAGUGGCAAGAAGAAUACUGGAUUUUACCAAACCGACUCGCUCAAUCUUCUUGGAUAUGUGAGUAACACAAUAUUUAUUCACUUACAUAACUAUUUAUGAUGUUUUGAUAUGCUAAUUCCUAGUUUUCAAUUCCCUUGUUAUAUUACCUAUCCGGUUGUCUUGGGAUACUAGUAAAUUUUCACAUUAUGUCUACCACUCAGUUUCAAGGCUUAUUUUAUAUUGUUGGCUGAUAUAUAAAGGACUUUAUUAUCUUUUACUUUUCGGGAAUUUGCAUCAAUGGAUAAUUUUCUUCAUUUAGGUAUGGGAUCUGUGGAAAGAUAGCAGGGGGCAGGAGUUGAUGGAUCCAGGAUUGGAAGAGACAUUGCCAACACACAUUCUGUUGAGGUACAUCAAUGUAGGCCUUCUUUGUGUUCAAGAAAGUGCAGAUGACAGGCCUACCAUGUCUGAUGUUGUCUCAAUGCUUGGCAAUGAAAGUGUACGUUUACCUUCUCCAAAACAACCGGCAUUUUCAAAUCUGAGAAGUGGGGUGGAACCACAUAUAUCCCAAAACAGGCCUGAAGUUUGUUCCUUAAAUGGUGUGACACUUUCAGUUAUGGAAGCACGAUAGUGGUUCUGAACUUAAUUAAUAAUAUGCUUAAAUUUGAGCAUAUUGUCUUGUAUUGUUCUUGGUGAAUUCAUAGCUCAUAUACUAAAAUGGACAAGUGACCUUAUGUGUGUAUUUUUCUUCCAAAACAGUUUAAUAAUCAUCUUGUACUCAAUCCCCCUAUGGAUUCAGACCUGUGUCUUAGCUUCCUAUUUGAAAUUGCUACUAAAUCUGACUUUAUCUGGUCAAAUUUGGAUUUAGUUUGAAAAUGAUCUGUUCCAUUGUCGAUCCAAAGAGUAAAAUACAACUUUUUUCAUUGCUAAUUAGUAGCUAACAAAAGGUGCCUCUAGGGCCAAUCCAGCUAUAGAGAAUCAACCACCCACCUUCCACUUCCUCUCUUAUGGAUGUUUUUGAAUGCCUUGGCAUAUGUAUAUCAUGUACAUAUACACCACCAAUUUGGCCUGGGAUCAGUUUCAUCAAGUAUUUCAGGAGACAACAUAAAACAAGUCAAAAAGUAUAUAAUUACGAACUAAUUGGCCAUCCAGCACAGAAAAUCCAUCUCCCAAUGGGGCCUUAAAGCACUUGAAUUUACUGUUCUUUCCAUCAUUAUUUUCAUUCUGGGCAUGGCCUAGAUUGAAGAAAGGUCCGACACAAAUUGGAAAAGUCAUAGAAGGAAAUAUAUCUAGAAGGGAAUCCUAACAAAAGGUCUUUCAAAACUGCUACACCUUGCUUUGAAUGGUACCUGGUAUCUACAUUGAAUGAGUGUUUUUCCUAUGUCCCACCAUUAAAAUGAAUGGGAGUCUUGCAAAUUACAUAGAUUUUUUUUUUAUAAUGUAUUAUUUUAUAAAUUUCAUAGAAUUAUUAAUUUAGUAUUUUAGCCCCAAAGUCCCUAAAAAACAUUAUUUGCUUGAGGGGUUCAUAUUAUCAUGCAUUAAUUUAUUGAAAUUCUACUAUUUUUUCCUUAAUUAAAAAGUGAAUUUUUUAUUUUAUUAUUUUAUUUUUCUUUAACAAAAAAAGUCACUUUUUCUCUUUUUUCUUUGAAGUCCUCUAACUUCAUAACACUCGAACUCAUUUUCUCAUACAAAAUAAAAUUAAUCAAAUUCAAAUUUGAAACAUUGAAAAUUAAUCAAUAACAUAAAAAUCAAUUUAUAUAAUCAAAAACCUUAAUUAUUAUCAAAUUACUAACUUUCUAACUAUUUACAUGAUUAAUCAUUAUAAGAUUUUUAUUAUGACAAUAGAUUUUGGUACUGAUGAUCUACAACCCUGAUCUGUAGACACACAAGUCCCUGUCAUCAAACCCUGAUCUAGAACAGUAUUUGACAUCAUGGAAAUGCACUGAUGAUCCAUCCACUAGAAACUUCACUUGGAGAUUAGAUAUUCCCAGGCUGCCUCAACUGGCUGUUGGAAUGGGAUCAGUCAAAAAGUACCGCACAGGGCCAUGGAAUGGAGUUUGAUUUAAUGGUUUACCAGUGUUUCCCAAUGAGGAGGUCUAUUUACCAUUAAUGAUUUUUAAUGAGGAGAAUGUAUAUUACUUGCCUCAGGCUGGCAACUACUCUGCUAAUCUGAGAGUCACCAUCAAUCAUUUAGGCUUGCUGCAAUGGAAUAUAUUGAAUGAAAGCAAUGAUGAGUGAACUACUAUGUACACUGUACCAUAUGACCUAUGUGACAACUAUGGACAGUGUGGUAUGCUCUAUGUGACAACUAUGGACAGUGUGGUGCUAAUGGCAUUUGCAGGCUUUCCAGCAUGCCAGUCUGUGAGUGUUUGAAGGGGUUCACCCCCAACUCAAAAGGAGAAUGGGAAAUGUUUGAUUGGUCUAGUGGAUGUGAAAGGGCAGGACCUUGGAUUGCAAGAGCAAAGAUGACCUUAUGAAGGUCUUAGGGAUGAAAUUGCCUGACUUGUUGGAGUUUCGGUUGAACAAGAGCAUGAGCCUCAAGGAAUGUGAGGUAGAGUGCUUGAAGAACUGCUCCUGUGUGGCAUUUGCGAAUUCAAACAUUAAAGGUGGAAGCAGUGGAUGUUUGACCUGGUAUGGAGAUCUGAUUGAUAUUAAAGGGUUCACAGAUGGGAAAAGUGGGCAAGACCUUUAUAUCAGAUGUCCAGCUGGGGAACUAGGUAAGAGUAUUUGACACUCUUUUCACUUCCAAGCUCUUUUAUUGUUCAUCCAUGAAGGUUUAACAUGCAUUGCAAUCCGGAUUGCAUGGUUGAUUAUUUUCUCUAGGUGAGUUAGGAUCUUUUUCAUUUUUGGGAUAUGAAAGAAAGUUAGGAUUGUUUGUCAUAUAUCCUCAGUAAUGGUUUCUAUCUUUUAACUAAAGGCACAGAAACAAUUGAUGGCCAACUCUCUCUGCAGUAAGGUGCAGACAAAACUGAAGCGAGGAUUUGAUAACAAAAGUUUUUAGCAAAAUGAUUAAAUUUCUUCCCAUCUCCUGCUUCAGGGUCAAUCCAUGGUUCAAAUAAGAAGAAAUAACUGGUUGCUGUCCUAGUUGCAUCGACCAUUUCUGGAAUGCUAAUCUUGGGCUUGGUGUUCUGGUGCAUAAAAAGGAAAAAAAAAAAAGAGGUAAUCCUAAUUAUUGGUCCAUUCAUUGUUUCAACUUUCAUCAUUGAAAAUCUAUAUCAUACAACUGGAUCCUGAGUACAGUAAUGAAGUAGGCACUAUCUCAUCAAUAGGCCUGGAAAGUGAGAUGGAAGAUUUAGAGUUACCUUUGUUUGAAUUGGCUACCAUUAAUACUGCUACUAACAACUUCUGUGUCAUAAAUAGAACUGGCACAGGCAGCUUUGGUCCUGUUUUCAAGGUAACAUUUGAUUGUAAGAAAAAGUGUGUUUCCUAUGAGACAAUAUGCAGGGCAGUUUGUCAAUAGGACAAGAAGUAGCAGUGAAGAGGUUGUCAAAGAAUUCAGGACAGGGUCUUCAAGAGUUUAAGAAUGAGAUCUUUUUAAUUGCCAAACUCCAACGCAAGAAUCUUGUAAAGCUUUUAGGCUGCUGCAUUCAGGGACAAGAAAGGAUAUUACUCUAUGAAUAUAUGCCCAACAAGAGUUUGGAUUAUUUUAGUUCCGUUUGAAAUUCUCAACCCUUUAGAUCUCUUUGGACUGGUUUGGGUACAUGAUCAUCCAUACCAUGCUCAUGCAUCUAUAGAGUACAAAUAGUUAUAAUCGCAAAAUUUACAAGGGUUGAAAUGAUGUGCAGAUCAAAACAGAAGAGCGUUAUUGCCAUGGAAAAAGCGCUUUGACAUUGUUAUGGGGAUCGUGCAAGGACUUGUUUAUCUCCACCAAGAUUCUAGACUUCAAAUCAUUCAUAGGGAUCUCAAGGCAAGCAAUAUACUGACAGAUGAAAACCAGAACCCCAAAAUUUCAGACUGGCUUGGCAAUAAUUUUUGGAGGGGGAUGAAAUGGAAGCAAAAACAGAGUGAUUGGAACAUAGUAAGUUCUGUACUUCGACUUUAGAAAUGAUGUGCUUUUCCUUGAAAUAACUUAUAUUUGAAAUCUUCAUGCAGUGACUGCACGUCCCCAGAGUAAGUGAUUGAUUGCAAAUUUUCUGUUAAAUUUGAUAUCUUUAGUUUUGGUGUGCUUCUGCUGGAGAUUGUGGCUGGUAUAAAGAACAGGGGGUUCUAUCAUUCAAACUACCACCAUAAUCUUCUGGGACAUGCAAGUAGAAAGAAAGAAAAUCCACCUCUGUCACACACACACAUCAAAGACGCAUGCCCUCUCUUGCUUUUCUGACAAAGUAUAUGGCUUCCAAUUGCUUUAGACAUGGUUGCUUUGGAAACAAGACAAGGCCUUGGAUGUAAUGGCUGCAUGUUUGGAGGACUCAUGUAUUGAAUCCCAGCUACUAAGAUGCAUACAAGUCGGUUUAUUAUGUGUUGAAAACCUCCCAGCAGAUAGACCAGCUAUGUCAUCUGUGAUUUUCACGUUGGGUACUGAGGGAGCAACACUACCUUAACCUAAACAUCCUGCUUUCUUCACAGAAAUAAGUACGAUUGAUACAGAUGCAACAACAGGACGUGAAGAGUUACCUUCAGAAAAUGUAGUAACCAUCUCAGUGCCAGAAGGUAGAUAAAGGAUUCAAGCACUGUGUCAACAUGUGCAGGGUGCAUCCAAGGUUUUAUUCAUGUAGGAUAUAGCACUAGGCUCUUCAAUGGAUGGGCACCAAUUUCCUUAAGGUUGCAAAACUAGAUACAGCUUGGCCCCAAGGAGGCCAAGGUAUUGGAUUUACUGCACUAGAACCAUAUCUGCUGGGCUUCAUAAUCCUCUAAAUGUAUGAAUAAAAUGUGCUGGAGUGUGUCCUCUAUGGCAGCUCAGGGCAGUGUGAUUUGUAACUUAAAACUCACUAGUACAACUUUUGAAAUUCAUAUUUUCACAGGAUCAAGUUGGGUAUAUGCACAAGAAUGUGGAUUCUGCAGUCAACUUGGCUGCUUCACUUUCUUUUCCUCAGAGUUCACAUUUAUAGGGCUUAUAUAGAUGCUGAGCUAUACAAAAAUCUUGAUUUGAAAUCUCAAGAAUUUCUAGAGGUGUUCAAAAUCCUUUGAAAUGUCCUUGGGAAGUGCAAUGAGCUUGCAACAAAUUGGAGUGAAUGGAGAUAAACAAAUUGAAAAUCAAAUGAGAGGAUUUGAAGCUUAAACAAAUAAACACCUUCACAGAAUAAGGUGUGAAUCUCUACUGUCUCUCUCAAGUUAGACAUCUUUUAACUUCUUUUCAUCUUCCCAGAAGCUUCAAAAUUUUUUGCAAAACAUUAACUUGAAUACUAUACAGUGGCAAACCUUAGUGGGAGCUUUCAAAUUAUUUAGGAGAAAGAAUUCAAGAACUAUGUAACAGAUGAUUCACAUAGAUUCUUUCCUUAGGACUAACAUGGAAAGAAUUCAGGUAAAUAGAGAUGAAUGUUUAUCAAAUUAACAGAGACAAACCUGCCAAGCAACCAUUGAGAUGCUGCAAGCUCAAUUCAGAUCGUUUGAUCUUGCAAUAUUUUUUUCCAAUUAAUUGAGGGGGCAUAAGAGAAGACACUGAUUUUACAUCUUAGUAACUUGUUUUUCAUUGGAAUUGGAAAUUUCCAAGUUACCCUGUUUAGACAGUUCUUCCAAUUGAAAUGAUUGAGCCCUUAAACUUGCAUAGCACGGUACUCUGUUAAGAUUCUGGAGUCUUUGAAGACUGCAACCUGAUCCACUUGAUGCUGUGUCAUGGUUCAAUUAACUAGCUAGUCAUGCUUGAGAGGACCUGUCUGACAAACACCAGGAAAAAUCUACAUUAGCAACUAUUUUAUUUUAAUUUUCUUCCUAUGUCUAUAAGUAGAUAGCAUAGAGUGAUUUGUGGUAUAUCCUCUAUGGCAUCAUGUUUUUCCAUAAACACAUUGAUGAUGAAUAAGCUUUCAUAAAUUAGAUAGGGCAUGAGCUCUCCAUGUGGCACUAUUUUUUUUUUGUGGAAAAUAAUUUAGUAUUUUAAGUUUACUACAACCCAUAAAACUUUCCCUUCAUUUGGAAAAAACGAAUCUGAAGCUACCCAGAAGCUGACCUGAAAAGACAUGUCUUAAUUGUUCUUUUAAUUAUUAAUUUUAUUGUGGGCAUGGCCUAGGUUGAGAAAGGUCCAAUAAGGCUUAGAAAAGUCAUGGAAAGAGAUAUAUAUAUAGAAGUGAUAGGUCAAGUUCAUUCAUCCGCAUGAAAAGGACCAGGGUCGACUUCUUAAUGGUUCGUACUUACUAACGUAGAAAUUAGGGAAGAAAUCGCGGCAGGUGCUGCUACCUAGGGAAGGUAACACCAUUGCACUUGACUAUGAUCCUCUACCUCAUGUUCAUGUGAUGAUUAUGACGUAGGUGACAACUGUUUUAUCAGAUUGGAAGUAUAGAAUUCCAAGAAUAUUGAAGACAAAUCAAGCGCAAAUGAAGGCGAAGAUUAACAGAUGGAUUAUUACUCACAAAGGAAACUAAGGGUGAAUCUUCCCAGACAACGAUACAGAAAUGAGUGAUGGGUGCUGCAGUCCCUGUUUCAAGGCUGCUGUAUCGCCUACAGUUAAUCAAUCUCUACAAAAAGUGAUUAAAAAGUUAAUUUUUUUAACAAAAAAAAAAAAGUCCCUUUUUCUCUUUUUUCUUUGAGGUCUUAACUCUAUAACACUCGAUCUAGUUAAAACUAACAUGGAAAGAAUCCAGGUAAAUAGAGAUAGAUGUUUAUCAAAUUAAUAGAGACAAUCCAGACAUCAAGAUUGGCAUGCCAAGCAACCAUCGAGAUGCUACCUUCCAGGCCCUAUAACACAAACUCAUUUCAGAUAGUAUGAUCUUCUGACAUUUUUUUAAACAAAAUUCAAUUAGGGAACAUUUGGGAGGACUCUACAAUUUUACAUUUCAGUAACUUGAUUUUCAUUGGAAUUGGAAAAUUCAUAGUCACCCUGUUGAGGCAGUUCUUCCAAUUCUAAUGCUUGAGCCCUUAAACCUACAUAACACGGUACUCUGUUGGACUAAGACUGAAAGCCUGGCCAAGUCAAAAACUGCAGCGUUGUCCUCUUGAUGCUGUGUCUUGGACAAAUUCCAGGAAAAACCUACAUCAGAGAAAUUUUAGUAUUUUUUUAAACUAGUGUAUAGAAGUCUUCCUUCCAUCUGUGAGAAACGUCAAUGGAGACCCAUCUUUUCUUCGCCAUCUUUUGUGCUUGGAUUUGUCUCUCAGUUCCCUUGGAGUUCUGUAUUGCAGCUGAUUCCAUAAGGAUGGACCAAUCCAUAAGCCAUGGUGAGACUUUAGUUUCCUCAGGCCAAAGUUUUGAACUAGGCUUCUUCUCUCCUGGAAGCUCCAAAAACAGGUACUUGGGAAUAUGGUACAAGAAUACACCCCAGACAGUUGUAUGGGUUGCAAACAGAAACAACCCAAUUGCAGAUUCUUACGGAGUUUUAACCAUCAUCAACAAUGGCGCACUUGUUCUUCUCAACCAGUCAAAGAGUGUAAUCUGGUCUCCCAAUUUGUCAAGGGUACCUGAAAAUCCAGUUGCACGGCUCCUAGAGACUGGAAAUCUUGUUCUCAGGGACAGUAGUAAUGAAAGUUCUGAAAGCUAUAUAUGGCAGAGCUUUGAUGAUCCAUCAGACACAAUGUUGCCACGCAUGAAGGUGGGAUGGAACUUAAAGACUGGUCUACAACAAAAAUUGACAUCAUGGAGAAGUGCUGAUGACCCAUCCCUUGGAGACUUCUCUUACAGAAUUGAUAUUAAUGUGCUGCCUUACGUGGUUCUUGGUGUGGGAUCAAGCAAAAAAGUCCGUUCCGGGCCGUGGAAUGGACUUGAAUUCAAUGGUGUUCUUGUGUUGGACUACUUGGUUUACAAAGCAGUUUUUGUUAACAACGACGAUGAGGUAUAUACCCUCUGUGAGUCUAACAACAAUAAGAUCAUUUCAAGACUAACAUUGAACCAUUCAGGUUUCCUCCAGAGUCUGGUAUCAAAAAAAGGAAGCUCUGACUGGGAUGAUUUGUACUCAAUUCCCAGUGAACUUUGUGUAAAUUAUGGCCAUUGUGGUGCUAAUGGUAUCUGCAGAAUUGGCAAGGCGCGGAUUUGUGAGUGUUUGCCAGGUUUCACACCAAAUUCACAAAAAGAAUGGGACAUGUUUAAUACAUCAAGUGGAUGCAUCGAAGAAGGCCUUUGGAUUGCCAAAGUGAAGAGGGAUUUGUAAAGGUUACAGGGGUGAAAUUGCCCGACUUGAUAGAUUCUCAUGUGAUUAAUAGUGUGAGCCUUAGGGAGUGUGAGGUGUCAUGCUUGAACGACUGUUCUUGUACAGCAUAUGCCUACUCAAAUGCAUAUGCUUACUCAAAUCCUAAUGGAAACGGUGGCUGUUUGAUGUGGUCUGGGGACCUGAUUGAUAUCAGAGAGUUAACUUCAGAAAAACAUGCGGAGGACAUCUAUAUCCGCAUGCACACUUCAGAGCUAGGUAAGACACUUGAUUUUCUGUAAAUCACGUUUUGAUUGUAAGCUAUUGGGGUUGUCUCCAAUAGCCUAAGCCCUAAGUUUUCCUGGUAAAUCAAGAUGCAGAAUUACUUAUUUUCCAAAAUCAGAGAUUCAAUUUGACAAGAAGAUUAUAAUCUAGUUAAAACUAAGACCCUAUAUUAUAUUCCAGAAGAACCAUAGCUGUUAGGAUUCAGGUUAACUAAUGAUGAACUGACUUGUAAUAAUCCUAACAAGCAGAAAGCAAAUAUCCAAUUCAUUUUCUGAAGAAACAGGGAAAUCCGGGGAAAUGGUUACUUCAUUCUUGUUACUGUCUGUUCCAGGGUUAAACACUUAUCAGAAGAAAAAACUAGUGAUCAUCCUUGUUAUAUCUACCUUUUCUGGAAUCCUCACCUUGGGCUUAGCAGUCUGGUUUCUAUUUCAGAAGAAGAGAACAAUGGGAGCAGGUAUGCAUACUUAUCCACCUUGAUGAUUUUAUUGAAAGAAAACCACGUGGUUGUGCUUUAAAAGUAGCUUCUAAAUUAUUAUCCCUUUUAACAGACCAGGAAAGCAAGGAGAACUUAGAGUUACCUUUGUUUGACUUGCCUACCAUUGCAACUGCUACUAACAACUUCUCCAACACCAAUAUGAUUGGAGCAGGUGGCUUUGGGUAUGUGUACAAGGUAAUAUACGCCAUCUUAUGCAUCAGGAUAACCCAAAAAUGAUUUCAAAAGAAAGAAGUGUUAGCUUUUUUCCUAUAAUGUGUGGCCAUAUAUAAUUAUAUUUAUAUAAAUAUUAUUUAAGGCUAUCAAUUGAUAGGUAGGUGAAUCAAUUAAUUGGGCAUCCAAGAGUUUUAUGUAUGGAAGACUCAAAUUACAAAUGGGGAGUUAGAAAAUUUACUUUAUAUGAAUAUGGUGUCACAACUUUUGUAACCCCAUCAUUAUGAAAUUCAUUUUGUACAUUAUGUUUGAGUAAUAGAGGAAAAUGAAAAUGUAUAACUUAUGCAAUUAUAUAGAUGCAUUCAAGUUCAUAACCCACCAUUACCUAUUAAUUUGUACAUAAUGGGUGUAAAUAAUGAGUAUAACUCCCAUAUAGUCUUUGAUGGGAAGACUAAGAGAUGUACAACUUUUUAUAAAUUGAGGUCCCAAGUCACACUCUCAUUCUUAUGUCAUUUUUGUUGUUUAUUUUUAACAACAUACACCACACAAGUGACCCAUCCAUUAUAUGAGAGUAGUGAGUUGAAGAUCUUGAAAAUACAAUUCACAAGGUGACUCAAUCUCACUUCAUGGAUCAAGGUAAGAAUAUGAUCAUUAUUUUAGUAUUUACAUUUAUUUUGUUUUAUGCAUCAAAAUUUUUUUUUAAAAAUAAUUAUUUUCGUAUAAAGUUUAUAAAAGUUUGGUUAAUAAUUGGUAUCAGAGCCAACCAAUUUUGGAUCAUAAAACAUAUUUUUUCAUUUUUUGAUUAUUGUUUGAUCUUAUGGACAACUAAAAUAUAUAUGAUGUGAUGCAUAUGAAUGAUGUAGUAACACACAUUUUCAAUGUUUCAUGAUUUCAAUCAUAUCUAUUGCAUGAUUUUAUGAAAGUUGCAAAAAUAUGAUUAGUAAUUUAAAUGUGUGAUUAUGGAAAUCUCAAGAAAUAGCUUUUCUAGUAUGCAUGUUUAUUUACUUGUUUGUUUGAAGAUGAUCAUAUAUAUAUGUGUGAUCAACCUAACGAAGGAUCAUCACCAUGUUUGAUUAUAUGACAAGAGUUUAAUAAUAAAAGGUUGAUGAAGUUUUUACCCAACGGUAUUAAACUUCUUUACGUUUCAAUACUUUUAUUUUAAUAAUUAUGUCAUAUCUAUAUGAUUUAUGAAUUAUUAUAAUUCAACCCAAUGGAGGGAUUAUAAUAAUGUACUUUUGUGUUAUAUGAUUGUAGUUCGGUCCAACGAAAGAACGAUGAUAUGAUCUCUAAUGUUUAUGAUUAAUGUGAUAUCUAACUUAAUUUUUGUUGUAGUUAUAUAUUAUUGUAAAGUGUGGUGUUAAAUAUUGUCAUGACAUAAAAUAAUUUUCCUUUUUGAAUUAAAUUUUAUUUUCCAGCAAUGAAUCCUACUGCUAUUACAGGCUAUUUGUCUGGUAUUGAAUGAUUAAGUGGGGCAAAUUUUAAAAAAUGGAAGGAACAAAUUGGAAUUGUUCUUGGUUGCAUGGAUUUGGACUAUGCCUUAAGAGAGCCUACACCCACAAAGCCUACUUCUGAAAGUACUAAUGAACAAAAGGCUUUAUAUGAAAAGUGGGAGCGCUCUAAUCGCAUGAGUCUAAUGAUUAUGAAAGGUUCAAUCACUCCUGCAAUUCAUGGAGCAAUCCCGAAUUCAGAUAAUGCAAUGACCUAUAUUAAAUAAGUUGAAGAACAAUUCUUAGGAACUUCCAAGUCAUUGGCAAGUACUCUUAUGAUCAAAAUGAUAACAAUGAAAUAUGAUGGUCAUAGUGGUGUACGUGAGCACAUCAUGAAGAUGAGUGAUAUGGCUUCUCAAUUAAAAGGAAUGAACAUGACAAUUUUUGAAGGUUUUCUUGUUCACUUCAUAAUGACUUCCCGUCCUUCACAAUUUGGUCCUUUCAAAAUUAAUUAUAAUACUCAGAAGGAUAAGUGGAAAAUGAGUGAACUAAUUGCAAUGUGUGUUUAAGAAAAAGAGAGGCUUAAAGUGGAAAAGCCCGAUAUGGCUCACCUCACUAUUGGUCCAAAUAAAAAAUCCUUCAAGAAAGGUAAAGGUAAGAAAAAGAAGCAAGGUAAUGAUGUAUCUCAUAAUGGGAAAAAGGACGAAAAUAAGAUACAAUGUCAUUUUUGCCAUAAGAAAGGUCACAAAAAAAUAUAUUGUUUUGGCUUUAAGGCUUGGUUGGAAAAGAAAGGUAAAACUCAAUGCUUAGUGUCUUAUGAAUCUUAUUUAGUUGAUAUACCACCAAACUCUUGGUGGAUUGACACUGGUGCAAGCAUUCACAUAACAAAUUCAUUGUAGGGAUACCUUAUAAGCAAGAGACUAAGUAAAGGAGAGCGAACCAUUACUUUGGGAAAUGGAACGAAAGUGGAAAUUGAGGCUAUUGGCAUUCUUCGUUUAAUUUUGGAUAUUGGUUUCAUUAUGGAUUUAGUAGAUACAGUUUAUGUUCCUGUUUUUACUAGAAACCUAAUUUCAGUUCCAAGACUUGAUUCUUAUGGUUAUGAAUUAAAGUUUGGAAAUAAUGGAGUUUCCUUGUUCUAUAAUUCUUGUUUGGUUUGCUCUGGCACUUUACAUGGUAAUCUUUAUUCAUUGAAUUUAGAUUGCAAAUAUUCAUAGUCUCUUUUAUCUUAUCAUGUGUAUGAAGUCUCUAAAAAAUGAAAUCGAGUGAAUGAAAAUUCAUCCAUAUUAUGGCAUAAGCGACUGGGUCACAUUUCAAGAGAAAGGAUGGAACGUCUUAUUAAAGAUGAAAUUUUGACUUCACUUAAUUUUUCUAAUUUUACUAGUUGUGUUGAAUGCAUAAAGGGAAAGAUACACUAAGGUUAAGAAAAAGGGUGCCUCAAGGGCCACUGAAUUGUUAGAAUGUAUUCAUUCUGACAUUUGGGGACCUUAUUCAAUUCCAACUAUCAAUGGACAUAAGUACUUUAUUAGUUUUAUUGAUGACUUUUCAAGGUAUUCUUAUGUGUAUCUUAUUCGUGAAAAAUAUGAAGCAUUAGAUGUUUUUAAGAUUUAUAAAGUUGUGGUUGAAAAUCAACUCAAUCGGUGAAUUAAAAGUGUAAGAUCUGAUAGAGGUAGUGAAUAUUAUGGUAGGUUCACUGAAUCAGGUCAACUUCUUAGUACUUUUGCCUUAUUUUUAAGAGAGCAUGGUAUCAUUGCAAACUACACAAUGUCUGGAACACCAGAGCAAAAUGGUGUAGUAGAGCGACGGAAUCGUACUCUAAUUGACAUGGUGAGAAGUAUGAUGAGUAACUCAACCUUGCCUGAAUUUUUGUGGGGUGAAGCAUUGAAAACUACUGUUCACAUUCUCAAUCAUGUUACUAGUAAGGUUGUACCCAAAACUCCUUAUGAGUUAUGGGUGGGUAGGAAACCGACUUUGAAUUAUUUACAUGUAUGGGGAUGUCCAGCUGAAGCUAAAUUUUUUAACCCACAAAUAAAGAAAUUAGAUUCUAAAACCAUAAGUUGCAAUUUCAUUGCCUAUCCUGAAAUAUCGAAAUGUUUUAGAUUUUAUUAUCAUGGCCAGGGCCCUAAAAUUGUUGAAACUAGACAUGCUGCGUUUUUGGAAAAUGAAUAUUUUAAUGGGAGAACUGAGCUUAAAAAGUUAACCUCUAAUGAAGUAUCAACACCAAUGAUGGAAUAUGGUGUGACUCAAGAGGUUUCUAGUAAUGAAAAUGAGAAUGUCCCAACUACAGAAGUAUUUUUACGUAGAUCACAAAGAGAGAAAAUACAUGCUAUAUCAAAUGACUACGAAGUUUAUCUUAAUGAGUGUGAUUAUGAUGUUGGCUUGGAAAGUGAUCCUACUUCUUAUGAUCAAGCCAUCAAUAGUGAAAAUUCAACUCUAUGGCUUUAUGCUAUGGAAGAAAAGUUGAAAUCAAUGAAAGAUAAUGAAGUUUGGGAUCUUGUAGAAUUGCCCAAAGGAAUUAAAACUAUUGGUUGCAAAUGGAUUUUAAAAACCAAAUAUGAUUCUAAGGGCAACGUCGAAAGAUACAAGGCCAGGUUAGUUGCAAAAGGAUACACUCAAAAAGAAGGAAUCGCCUACAAGUAAACAUUUUCUCCUAUUUCCAAGAAAGAUUCUUUAAGAAUAGUCAUGGCUUUAGUAGCUCAUUUUGACUUAGAGUGACAUCAAAUAGACGUUAAAACUGCCUUUUUGAAUGGUGACUUGCAUGAAGAGGUUUAUAUGGAUUAACCUGAGGGUUUUCAGGAUAAAGGCAAGGAAUAUAUGGUAUGUAAACUUAAAAAGUCCAUAUAUGGUCUAAAGCAGGCUUCUAGACAAUGGUAUCUUAAGUUCCAUGAAAUUCUCAUCACUUUUGGUUUCAAAGAGAAUCUAGUGGAUCAAUGUAUAUACCUUAAGAUCAGUGGGAGCAAAAUUUGUAUUAUUGUUUUGUAUGUUGAUGGUAUGUUGCUUGCUAGCAACAAUAUGGGGAUGAUUUUUGAGACCAAACAAUUUUUAUCUAAGAAUUUUGAUAUGAAAGAUCUUGGUGAAGCAUCCUAUGUGAUAGGAAUUGAAAUUCAUCGAGAUAGGUCACGUGGAUUAUUAGGAUUAUCCCAAAAGAACUAUAUUGAAAAAGUUCUUAAAAGAUUCAACAUGCAAAAUUGUUCUAGCAAUGUUGCUCCUGUUGUGAAAGGGGACAUAUUUUGUGAACUUCAAUGUCCCAAAAAUGAUCUUGAAAAGAAACAAAUGGACAAAAUUCCUUAUGCUUCUGCAAUAGGGAGUAUCAUGUAUGCUUAAGUAUGCACUCGACCAAAGAUAGCUUAUGUGGUAGGCAUGCUUGGUCGAUACAUAAGUAAUCCAAGUAUUGAUAAUUGGAAAGCAGUUAAGAAAGUAUUGCGUUAUUUACAAGGGACUAAGGACUACAUGCUUACAUAUAAAAGAACAGAUAAUCUAAAGAUUAUUGGUUAUUCUAAUUCUGAUUAUGUUGGUUGUAAGGAUACCGGAAAAUCUACAUCUGGGUAUAUUUUUAUGUUAUCAAAUGGACCUAUUUUAUGGAAGAGCCAUAAGCAAUCAUUGAUAGCUUUUUCUACAAUGGAGGCAGAAUAUGUAGCAUGUUAUGAAGCCACAUGUCAUGUAAUAUGGUUGAGAAACUUUGUAUCAGGGCUUCAUGUUAUUGAUUCGAUAAUGAGACCAUUGAGAAUAUAUUGUGAUAAUAGUGUUAUUGUUCGAUUCUCUAAAAAUAAUAAGACUACAGGAGGAUCAAAGCACAUUGAUAUUAAGUAUUUGGUUAUAAGGGAGAAAGUUCAAAAUGGAGUUGUCUCUAUUGAACAUAUUGAAAAUACACUCAUGUUGGCAGAUCCAUUGGCAAAAGGUCUUCCACCUAAGCUUUUUAUGGAUUAUGUUGCGCACAUGGGCUUGGUGGUAAGUUUGUCAAUUUUAGAUUGAUUAAGAGUGUAAUGUAUGUGAUCACAUUAUAAUGAGAAUAAAGUUCUUGAUUAUGAUAUAUUGAUGAUUAUUAUGUUACUUUUAUACAUCAUUUUUGUGCACAAUCUAGAUGUUUAAAAGUUGAUGGGACCAUUAUGUGAAUGAAUUAGUAUUAUCACCUUAAUCUUUCUAAUGUCAUAAAAGUCAUUGAUUCAUGUUAAUGGAGGUGCUAGUACUAUAAUCCUUGAAGAAUAUUGGAUCAUUGUGUGAUCCAAUCAUUUCAAUGAUUUGGUGUUAGUGGUUCUAUGAAACAUAAUCUUAAUGUAAAGGAUGCCUAUUUUGAGAAAUUGUUAUGGUCAUAUUAUGUUUUAAUCUAUUACAAAUAUAAUUAUGUAGGCCAAGUGAGAGAUUGUUAGCUUUUUUCCUAUAAUGUGUGGUCAUAUAUAAUUAUAUUUGUAUAAAUAUUAUUUAAGGCUAUCAAUUGAUAGGUAGGUGAAUCAAUUGAUUGGGUAUCCAAGAGUCUUAUGUAGGGAAGACUCAAAUUACAAAUGGGGAGUUAGAAAAUUUACUUUAUAUGAAUGAGGUGUCACAACUUUUGUAACCCCAUUAUUAUGAAAUUCAUUUUGUACAUUAUGUUUGAGUACGUAAUGGAGGAAAAUGGAUAUGUAUAACUUAUGCAAUUAUAUAGAUGCAUUCAAGUUCAAAACCCACCAUUACCCAUUAAUUUGUACAUAAUGGGUGUAAAUAAUGAGUAUAACUCCCAUAUAGUCUUUGAUGGAAAGACUAAGAGAUGUACAACUUUUUAUAAAUUGAGGUCCCAAGCCACACUCUCAUUCUUAUGUCAUUUUUGUUGUUUAUUUUUAACAACAUACACCACACAAGUGACCCAUCCACUAUAUGAGAGUAGUGAGUUGAACACCUUGACAAUACAAUUCACAAGGUGACUCAAUCUCACUUUAUGGAUCAAGGUAAGAAUAUGAUCAUUAUUUUAGUAUUUACAUUUAUUUUGUUUUAUGCAUCCAAAUUUUUUUUUAAAAUAAUUAUUUCCGCAUAAAGUUUAUAAAAGUUUGGUUAACAAGAAGAGAAAAAUAAUUGUGUCUUACACAUCAUAUUUUGUAGGGCAAUCUAUCUGAAGUAGCAGUAGCAAUGAAGAGAUUGUCCAAGAAUUCAGCACAGGGUGUUCAAGAGUUCAAGAAUGAAGUUGUUUUGAUUGCGAAACUUCAGCACAAGAAUCUUGUUAGGCUUUUGGGCUGCUGCAUUCAAGGAGAAGAAAGAAUAUUACUCUAUGAUUAUAUGCCUAACAAAAGCUUGGAUUAUUUUAUUUUUGGUUUGACCUUCUUAUCCCUAUCUGUUAGGAUUAGUUUCACUUUUUGAUCACCUAUAUUAUGCUCAGUCGUGUUCAAUUCAAUUCACACAUCUAAGUAAUUAAUUAAGCCUAAUAAAAAAAUUUAUAAAGGCAGAUGUAUUGUGCAGAUCAAAACAAAAGAGCAUCAUUGGCAGGGGAUAAGCGCUGCAAGAUUAUUAUAGCGAUAGCACGAGGGCUUCUCUACCUCCAUCAAGACUCUAGAUUUCAAAUUAUUCACAGGGAUCUCAAGAUAAGCAAUAUUUUACUGGAUGACAAUCUCAAUCCUAAAAUUUCAAAUAAAGAAUUCUCUCUAACCUCCUCUCAACAUAUUGAACAUAAAUUCUAGUUGGUUAAGGCUGCGAAUCACAUACGAAAUACAAUGAAUGAUGAAAUUCAAUCAUCUGAUGACAAUUUUUAGGUAAGAUUUAUAACUUUCAUUUGUUUCUAUAAAGAAAUAUAUAUAUUUAUCAAAAAAUAAAAAUAAAAAUCGGCAACUUGGGUGGGGCUUUGGCGUCCUGGGAGGCAGUAACCACGACAGUGGUUAUGGUUUGGAGUAGGGAUGAAAGUCGGUGACCAUCAACAACGAUGGUUGGGCAAAAUUUUUGCUUAUAAUAAUUAUAAAAAUCAAAUUUUUUAUUAUUAUUUAUAAUAGUUAAUAAAUUACUUUUCGUUUAUAAUAGUUAGAAAAUUCUUCAUGACAUAAAUUUUUGCUUAUAAUAAUUAUAAAAUUCUAAUUCUUUUAUUUGUUUAUAAUAUUUACUAAAUUACUAAUUUUUUGUAAGAAAACAUUAUAGUAGCCACAUAAAUUAUUAAUUUAAACAAGAUUUGUUUUUGCCAAUUUUACUAAUUUAAAUGUUUUAAUUUCUUUUUUUGAAAAUUUUAACUAAUUGCUUCAUGUUUUAAUUUUUUAAAUGCUUUAACUUUGUCAUGUACAUUCUCAUAUAAUUUGUAUAAUGUUAUUGUCUUCAUGAUAUAAAUAGAAUUUUUUAUCUAUUUUGUAAGAUGAAUAUUUUGUGGAGGAAUUUCCAUCACAAUUGAUAGAUUAUGGCAAACAUUUCACUAUACAUAAAAGAUUCAAAGAUCGAGAAGAGUUUAUUAAAGAGGUUAAACAAAUUGGAGAACAACAAAAUAUAUUUGUGAUUAUUUGUCGUUCCACUAAAGCUGAUGGUUUAGGAAGUGGCAAAGUAUGGAUAGGCUGCGAGAUAUUCGAAGGCUAUAGACCGUAACAGAACAUAAAAACCGAUGUGGUGCCUAGAAAUCGAACUAGGACGAAGAAGUGUCAUUGUCCCUUUAUGUUGAAGGGUAUUGAACAUGAUGAUGGAGGACUUUAGUCAUCAUUAAUGGCAACCACAAUCACUACCUUGGAAAGUAUCCUCACGGUCAUUCAUCGGUUGGUAAAUUAAAGGAAAUAGAGUUCAAGAUAGUAGCUACAAUGACCAAAAGUCAUGUUAAGCCACAACUUAUCUUAAAUCACGUCAAACGGGAGAAUCCAAGCAACUUGAGUUGUGGGAAACAUGUCUACAAUGCCAAGCAAAACCUUAAAGAUCAGAAAAAGAAAGGUUGUUCAGUGAUGCAACAACUACUAAAAUUGCUAAUUGAUCAUGGUUAUAUCACCACUGGUAUAGAGAAGUGAUAAGGUUAAUUUUGAGGAAGAGAAGGUAGAAAAGAAGAAGAGGACGGAGAAGGAUUUUUGGAUUUUCUGCUAUGCUUUAUUGAUCAUAAUACCGACUAUUUAUAAUAGUCUUACAGCUGGGAAAUAACAAACAAUGCUAUAACUUAGGAAAGAACUAAGGCCAGUCCACCUGGUAAAACAAAUAAAACAACACAAUGAAGACUAGCUCCGACCAGCUUAUUAAGUGGAGACUAGUUAACAGACUACUGACUAAGUCUAGUAAGGCUCACGUAUCAUGCCUCCCCUCCCUCAAGGAUCCUUGUCCUCAAGGAUAAAAAUCUGGAUAGGACCUGUUGAAGCGUCAUUCGUUCUCCUAGGUUGCAUCUUCCCUUGGAGCUCCCUUCCACUUGAUUAAAACUUUAGACCUUGGACGGUAUUUCCCUUUUUGAAUAACUCGUCGAUCAAGUACAACUUCAGGUUGUGGUAGUAUAACCAAAUCUUCUGAAACUAGAGGAAGUUGAUUCUGAACUAGAGUAUGUACUGGACCCAAAUGUUUCCGCAACAUGCUAACAUGAAAUACACUGUGAAUUUGAGUUCCCGGAGGGAGAGCUAACCAAUAAGCCACUGGAUCUACUUUUCCCAUAAUCAGAUAAGGGCCAAAGAAACGUGGAGCAAGCUUCAUUGAAGCUCGAAAUGCCACAGAAGUUUGGCGAUAUGGUUGGAGCUUCAGAUAGACAUAAUCACCAAUAUCAAAAGAGACUUCUCAUCGUUUCUGAUAUUCUUGACAUUUCAUUCGCUGACUAGCUAGUGAAAGGUUGUGGCGUAGCACACUUAAGAUGGUGUCACGGUCACGAAGGUAUUCAUCAACUACUUGAAUGUGAGAAGUACCUAGAACAUAAGUUAGAAUGCUUGGUGGAGGAAUUCCAUAGACGGCUUCAAAUGGUGUCAUUUUGGUUGAGGAAUGGAUGAAAGUAUUAUAGCUAAACUCAGCCCAGGGAAUCCACUCGAGUCAUUUUCGCGGUUGAUCACCUGCAAAACAUCGCAAGUUUUGUUCCAAAGUGCGGUUUACUACCUCGGUCUGACCAUCAGUUUGUGGGUGGUAACUUGAGCUCAUGCGAAGCUUGGUUCCUUGUAGCUGGAAUAGUGUUUGCCAAAAAGAACUGAUAAACACUUUAUCUCGAUCACUCACUAUGGAUGUCAGAACACCAUGGAGGUGAACCACGUUGGCUAUAAAUGAUUUAGCAAUAGUGACUGCGGUAUAUGGAUGUCUUAAGGCAACAAAAUGAGCAUAUUUUGUUAAGCGAUCAACAAUUACCAUGAUGACUGUGUGUCCAUUUGACGGUGAUAAUCCUUCGAUAAAAUCCAUUGAUACUUCAGUCCACAUCUAGGUAGGAAUGGGUAAUUGUUGAAGUAAGCCAGCUAGUUUCAUGCAGUCGGUUUUGUACCUUUGACAUACACUGCAUUGUUGUAGAAACUCUUUCACUACUCGACGCAUUGCUAAGGCAUGCGAGAAAGUGUUUUAUGGAAUCCAAAAUGCCCCCUAGUUGGUGAUGAGUGGCAAUCUGCAAUUAUUUGGUGAAUUAAAACUGCAGUGGGACUCAAGUAGACUUUGUUGUUUUUGAACCAAACUUCAUCUCGAAGUGUUAGCUGGUAAGGAGAUUGUGUUUGGCUCAACUUCUUAUAAAAAUGAUCUUUUUGUACUUUCUCUUAUAAUUUUGGCCACCAAUCUGCACGUGGCAUAGAAAUGGAUAAGAACUGAAAUUCAACCACACAAGAAAGGAAGUCAACAGCUUGAUUUUCAGGCCCACGCUUGUACCCAAUUUCAUAGUCAUAUCCAAGGAUCUUUGGGAGCCACCGGGUUUGUGCUGGUGUGGUAAUUCGCUGCUCAAGUAAAUAUUUGAGGCUCCUUUGGUCGGUGCGCACCGUAAAUGGUUUGCCCAGAAGAUAUGGACGCCACUUUUGAAUUGACUUGACAAUUGCAACAUUUCUUUCUCAUAUGUAGAUAACAACAAGGCUGACAUCUUCAAAGCUUCACUAAAGUAAGCUAUGGGCCGAUUAUUUUGAGAAAGGACUGCUCCGAUUCCAAUCCCACUAGCGUCGCAUUCAAUUACGAAUAUUUGAGAAAAAUCUAGAAGGCCUAGGACUGGUGGAGAUGUGAGUGUUUUCUUUAGUCUUCGAAAAGCAAGUUCCGCUGCAUCGUUCCAUUUAAAUCCUUCUUUAGACAAGAGUUGCGUUAAUGGAGCCGCUAUACCUUCAAAAUGACGGAUAAAUUUGAGGUAAUACCCUGCUAGCCCGAGAAACCCAUGCACUCCUUUUGUUGUGGAAGGUGUUGGCCAUUCAAGAACAACUUGUAUUUUUGUUGGGUCUACUACCACUCCAUGUUCGGAAAUGAUGUGUCCCAAAUAGUCCACCUGAGAAACACCAAACCUGUAGUUGGUUGCCUUAGCAAACAAGUGAUUAGUUUUUAAAAUCUUAAGAAUGGUCCGGAGAUGUGAGAGAUGGUCAUCCCAUGUCUUUGAAUAAACUAGAAUGUCAUCAAAGAAUACCAAGAUAAAUUUUCUGAGAUACGUGCGGAAGAGGUCAUUCAUAAGGCUUUGGAAGGUGGAUGGUACAUUGGUAAGGCCAAACGACAUUACAAUGAACUCAUAGUGCCCUUCAUGUGUUCGAAAAACUGUUUUUGAAAUAUAUUCUUCAUAUACCCGAAUCUAAUGGUAUCCGGCCUUCAAAUCUAACUUGAAGAAGAAUUUGGCUCUGUGAAGUUCAUCAAGGAGUUCAUCAAUUACUGGAAUUGGAUAUUUAUCCUUGACUGUGAUGCAGUUCAGUGCUCGAUAGUCAACACAAAAUCGCCAAUCACCAUCCGCCUUCUUGACUAACAAGACAAGUGAUGAAAAUGGACUUUUACUAGGCCUUAUCAAUCCUGAUUGUAGUAGUUCUCGCACCAAUUUCUCAAUUUCUGUUUUCUGGUAGUAUGGGUAACGGCAGGGUCGCACACUCACUGGUUCAAUGUUUGGCUGUAAUGGGAUGCGGUGGUCAUGUGGUCUUUUUGGGGGUAAGCUGGUGGGUAGUUCAAAUACUUUAGAGAAUUCGGUUAAGAGAUGGGUUAUGUUAGGUGACAGAAGACUUGGUUGGGGUACAUUGGAAGAGAGUAAAAUUUGGAAGAGGAAUCCAGUACCUUGAAAAGAAUUAAAUUCUUUAUCAGAUAAGGCUUCUAGAGCAGCAUGCUUCAGACCUUGGAAGAUGCAGGAUUUUUCUCCAAUUUUAUAGGUCAUGGUCAGUUUUUUGUAGUCCAUCUCUAUUGGCCCAAGGGUCUCCAACCAUUGCACACCUAGGACCAAUUGGCAAGCUGAAACAGGAAGCACAUAAUAGUCAGCGGUGAUCGAUUUACCUUGGAUGGAAAUGGUGACAGUUGGACACAAUCCCACGCAUUCUAUUUUUUCUUAGUUGGCAACCAUGACUUGAAAUUUCUUUGCUGGAAUGAUGGGUAAUCCAUGCUUGGUGACUAUGGCCUGAUCAAUAAAAUUGUGGGUGCUCCCACCAUCUAUGAGCACAGUUACAUUUUUGUUUUUGAGUUUGCCUAAUACUUUUAAGGUGAUUGGUUCCAGCGAUUGCAUGAAAGGAGAUUUCAGGCAAGGUUUCUUGGUUAUCAGGUUCUAUUUGGGGUUGUUCAUCCUUGUCAACGUUUGAUUGAUCCAAAUCCUCCAUCAUGAAUAUUUGUGGACGUUCACAUCGAUUACCCGGAACAAACUUAUCAUCACAAUAGUAGCAUAGUCUUUUUUCACGACGCUCUCUCGCCUCUUGGUUAGUUAUUCGUCGGAAGGUGUUUGGGUUAACAUUUGCACUUUGACUUCCACGCUGAUUAGGAGGAGGGCUUAGGACUCCGGAAGUAGAGUUGGGACCUGCUCUUGAUGUUGAAAUCACUGGUUGAGGUCGACUUGGGUAAUUCAGUUUCCUCUGAAGUUGAUUUCCCUCUUCUAUCAGUCGAGCAACUCCUAUAGCGUACGCCAGCACCUUUGGUUGUUUAAUUUUUACAUCUAGGCGAAUGUAGUCUCGAAGACCUGUAAUAAAACAACCAACAAGGAAUGCCUCAGGUAAGCCAUCAACUUGAUGAGACAGUUUUUCAAAAGUUUCAUGAUAGGCUGCCACAGUCGAAGUCUGUCGGAGUCAUGUGAGAGCUUCAGAAGGGUCCUCAUAAUCAGUUGGUCCAAAGCGAAGAAGGACGACUUUGGUGACUUCAUCCUAAUCUUGUGGUCCACGGAAUUUCAUGAACCAUCAGUGCCACUGUAGAGCUAUGCCUUCUAAAUGGAAGGAGGCUAGCUGAACUCGUUGGUCCGUACUGAUGUUUUUAAAUUCAAAAUAUUGCCCUGCUUUGUAAAUCCACCCGAUUGGGUCUUCUCCAUUGAAUUUUGGGAAGUGUAGCUUGAGGUAGGGGUGAGGGUCGUUUGGGGUAUAGGGUUUCACAGUGCUUGAGGGAUGUGAUGUGUCUCCUUGGUAAAAGGGGUUAAUUUCAGGUGGGGUGGCUGGGGUAGUGUGAGAGACUCCCAAGACUUGUAAUUCGGUUAAUACUGAUUGCAGGGCAGCAUUGAUUUGAUCGAAACUGGACUCAUGUCGAGCCAAGGCUUCAUUCACAUCAUUGCGAAAUUCAGCAUUAGUUUUAUCACUAGUGUCCAUUGUCAGAACCUGGCUUUGAUAGCAAAUGAUAAGGUUAAUUUUGAGGAAGAGAAGGUAGAAGAGAAGAAGAUGAUGGAGAAGGAUUUCUGGAUUUUCUGCUAUGCUUUAUUGAUCAUAAUACCGACUAUUUAUAAUAGUCUUACAGUUGGGAAAUAACAACAUGCUGAAGACUAGCUUCGACUAGCUUAUUAAGUGGAGAAUAGUUAACAAACUACUGACUAAGUCUUACAAGGCUCACGUAUCAAGAAGAUGCAGAAACUAACACAGUGAGUGAUAUAUUAUUUGCUCAUCCAAAAUCUAUUCACUUAUUGAAUGUUUAUUCAUAUGUUUUGAUCAUGGAUAGUACUUACAAGACUAACCGAUACUUAAGCCUCUUAUGUACCUAAAGUUAUCAUGUUUACUACUAUAUUUCAAGCUUCAAGUUAGAUCUUUGAAUGCAAUUGACCAAAUUAGGACUAUAUAUCUUUCUUUUUUGGGGGAAUUGUUCAUCAAAGUAUAAUUUUUUUUCCUUUAGGCAUGGGACCAAUGGAAAAACAAUAGAGAACUGUAGUUGAUUGAUCCAGCACUAAAUGAGAUAUCUUCAAGACAUAUUCUGUUAAGGUACAUCAAUGUAGCCCUUCUUUGUGUUCAAGAAAGUACAAAUGAUAGGCCCACCAUGUCCGAUGUUGUCUCCAUGUUUGGCAAGGAAACUGUACUUUUAUCUUCUCCAAAUGAGCCGACCUUCUCAAAUCUAUCGAGUAUGAAACCACAUGCAUCUCAAGAUAGGCUUGAAAUUUGUUCCUGAAAUGAUGUAACACUUUCAAGCGUGGGAGCACGAUAAGUGUUCUAAAUUGCAGAUUGCAUAUGCUUAAAUGUCUUCAGCGUAUUGUCUAGUAUUAUAUCGGCCAUCAAGUUGAUUGUUGAUGUACUGAACGUGUGAACUUUUGUAUGUAUUUUUCUUUCAAUGCAGUUCAAUAAUGUGCUUACUUUUACUCAAUCCUCAAGGAUUCAGACCCGUAUCUCAUCUUCCCAUCUGUAAUUGCUACUGAAUCUGCUUUUAUACAUUGCUAAUCCAGAGUGUAAAAUACAACCCUCAGAGCUCACUUCAAAUAUUCAACUAGUACUAGGAAAGACGAGCUUUUGUGCAUGCUACAACUAAGCAUAAGUACUAAUUAACAUAUAGGCAAGAGGGAAAGUGAGGAAGUAAAGCAGUUGUAAAUUUUUUUGCCUUUUAAGCUGUGAUAUCAUCUAACAUUUUUUUAAGGGAAGAAAUAUUAUAAUUGAAGGUUUAUGUUGAGUACUUGUAAAACCUUCUUUUCUUAUUGGACAUGGUUUCAAUAAAAUCCAUUUGGUUGCCAAGAAAUCUGAGGGAGUUUAGGAUGUGAAUGAGGAAUUUGAAGUCUACCCUCGUCCCUAUAGCUUAAAAUGAAAAGGCAUAGUUACAAACUAAGCUUACAUCGUGGCAUAAACGUUUAUAUUCCUUAGUGGGGCUUGCAGUAGAGAUUGACCCGGAAGCCAACCAAAAAAGACAUGCAUCUAUGGUUCAAAUGAUUUUCUAAACUUAUUAAAUUGAUUUUCAAGAACUUGAUAAAUACCUCAUUUCUGUAAUAAGGUGAUUUCAAACGUUAGAAAACAGUGAAGGAAAAUGUGAAAUCACUCUACCACCAAGCAUAGAUGGACACUCAAGAAUAAAUAGUAGAGUUGGAUUUGAACACAAACCUCUUUUAAAGAAGAGAAUGUAAAGAUGAUUAUGAAAAAUUAGGUGUUGUUUGUUUUUUUAAUUUUUUUUUUAUAGAAAAAAUAUUUUGUUUUAGAUUUCAAAUAGUUUGUUUUUGUACAUUUUGUUAAUAUAUUACUUAUUUCUUAAAUUUUUUUAAUAUAAAAAAAGAUAUUUGACUUUUUCUGGAUGCUAAAAGUAAUUUAUAGGUUUUUUUUUUACUUCUUAAAUAUUUAAUAAAAAUAAAAUAUUUUAAAAAACAACUUCAUAGUUAACGUUAUUAAAUACUAUUUAGUUUUAAAUUCAAAUUAAAAUUAAGAUCUUCACCAUGCAUCUUAAAAUUGAAAAUAUAUAUAUAUAUAUAUAUAUAUAUAUAUAUAUAUAUAUAUAUAUAUAUAACCGGCCCUCACUUUCCUUGAUAUUUCAUUUUGUCUCUCUUCUUUCUCUUUACAUUCAUCAUUGCAGCUGUCGUGGAAGAUAUCCAACUCAUAGAGUUAAUCAAACAUAAAAAAAAAAAAAAAUCCUUUUUUUUUCUUUGAUUUGUUUAUAGAUGAUUUUCUACUUUUAUUUUUAUGGUUAUUGGUUUCUUCGGUCAUGAUUUUUUAUGAUAUAUAAAUCCAUUUUAAAUUUGUUGUUAGAUGGAUUAAUUUUUAAUUUUUAAUCUUAUUUAGACAAUUUAUCUUUAAAUAAUAGAAUUGGCUGUUAGAAUUCUUAUCAUUUUUAUUAAAUUAUAAUUCUAAUUCAAUAAAAUAAAUAUGGUCAAAAAAUUGAAAUUGACCGGAUGCUACUUUAUUAUAAUUGGAGAGGUAUGACACGGAAGAGUUCAUUUAUCAUUUUUCAAAGGGAGAAUUAGCAAAGAUGGUGGGCUCCAUACAACUAAGGUUUGACCCGUUUGUUCAUUUAUCAUUUUUCAAAAGGAGAAUUACCAAAGAUGGUGGGCUCUGAUUGAUAAUGAGUCAUCAACUUGAUAAUCUUUCAUAUGCUUCAAAAUAUAAAAACUCAAACAUACCCUUAUGUCUUUUAUUUUAAAGUCAAACAUAUCCUUACUUGGCCUUUUCCCUAUUUUGUCUUUUCUUCAUUUUAUUUUAUUUUUUAAUUAUUAUUUUUAAAAUAUGAAUAAUAAUCAUAAAAAUAAAUAAUAUUAGUAAGAAUGAUAUUAAUAAAUAACAUGAAUAAUUCAAAAUAUUAAUAUUAUAAAUAAUAAUAUUAACACUAAUAAUAAUAAUGUGUAAAGAAGUAUAAAAGAAAAACAAUAAAAAAAGGUAAAAUUAAAUGAGAAUAAUAGGAAAAAAAAAGGUACAAUUAGAAUUCUAAAAUGAUCAACUUUUCAAAGGUCUUGAUAGGAAUUUAUAAACAUGGUGACCCUUUUGGGUCAUUAUCACGGGUAGCUCACCCUAAAUGAGAAUUCUCCUUUUUUUAAAUUCACGUUGACCUUUUCACUAGAUAAAAUUUAAUAAUUGAAAGAAUACCACAUGCAUUUUUUGUAUGGAAGGAGGUCCCUUAGGAUACAACAUUGUCUAAAAUCAUUUAUAUAACUACUAUUUUUUUUUUUCAAAUAUCUUAUUUAAAAAAAGGAAAAUAUCAAAAAUCCCCCAUUAGGUCAACAUUACUUAUUUGUAUGCUGGCUGGCCAUAAGAUUAUUGAUGGGCUGCUUAAACGCUGCUUAUGAGUAAUGGGUAACAUGAAAAUUUCAACCAGAAGGUGGUCUGCUAAUCUCGUUUUCUUGCUUAUUUCUUCAGGUUUUCACUUGCAAUUUGUUGAUGCCUUUACAGAUACAAUCUUACAAGGUCAAUCACUCACAACCUCUCAGACCAUCAUAUCUGCUGGUGGUAACUUUGAAUUAGGAUUCUUUUCUCCUGGAAAGUCCACAAAAUAUUAUGUGGGGAUAUGGUACAAGAAAUUCUCAGAGCAAACCAUUGUGUGGGUAGCUAACCGAGAUUAUUCAUUCACAAAUCCAUCCGUGGUUCUUACUGUCAGCACAGAUGGCAACCUCGAGAUUUUGGAGGGGAAGAUUUCGUACAAGGUGACAAGCAUAUCAUCAAACAGCAACACUAGUGCCACCCUGUUGGAUUCUGGAAAUCUUGUUUUGAGAAAUAAGAAGUCAGAUGUCUUAUGGGAGAGCUUUGACUAUCCAU
rnacentral:lncRNA from 1 species